rnacentral:lncRNA from 1 species
ACAAGAAAAGUGUAAGUAUGAGUUAUUGAAGAUGUAAAAAUUAAAACAGAAGUCAACGUCGAUACAAAUUAACCUAACUUGGGCCAUGAACGAGUUGGUGUUAACGUAAAAUAAUUGAAUAAAACAUUAGUUUAUAAUAUUUAUAGAAAUAUAUUUGAAAACAUAAGAAGGAAUGUUGAAUAGCACAGCAUUAUAAAGCCUAAUAAGGAAAAAAUGUUGAGUACUUGGAAAAAUCCGCAUGGGAUGAAGAUAAAGAAAUUCAUAUAAAGUAUUGCAGUGUCUGGCAGCAACCCAAACGUCAUUAUCAAGUGGUGGGAAUCAAAUUAAUGGGCUUCCAGUUGAAAGUUCAGUCACAAAAGGAACCCUAAAUUUCAUAUUCUAAUCAUGCUUUAAGAUUCUUAUUUUUGGCCUUAUUAUUAUCACACCUUUAAGAAUUAAUUAAUAUAUUUUACAAUAUAUAUUUCUUAAAAAUGUUUUUAUAAUUUACAAUAUUUGACAGUAUUUUUGUAUAAUAGAUUUUGUUUCUGUAGUUUACAUAUAUAUUAAUAGUUCUAUUCUGUUAACGUUGUGAAUUGACAGUCAUUUGUAUAUGGAUUAGAGGAAUAUCCCUUAUCUUUAUAAUAAAAUUACUUUGAUAAUCUUUUUUUUUUCUGAAAAAUGUAUCCUUUCUCUGGAUGUAAUAGAACCUUGUUCCAUCGUAAUCCAAUGAUAUAUAAAACAUUGGAAAGUGAAAAUACUUUACCAUAUAAAGAAGUAUAUGCUGCAAAAUGCAAUGGAGGCAGUUGACUAAUUUUAUUUAAGAGAUGUAUCAUACUAUUUUUCAUUAUAUUUUUAUUACCAAUCAUUCUGUUGAUUUUGAAACAAUAUUCUAUCAAACUACUUUACAAGAUAUAUUAAUACCCUCAUCACUAUCAAUUUCUCUUUUUCUUUUUAUUUUCUUUCGUGGAUACUCAAAUUUCGAUAUCUAAACCAAUUAACUUAUGUAGCUGCCUUCUAUCUUUUUAUAAAUCAAGUUUUCGAAUUUAUUGUUGCUUUGAUUUCUUUCAGUAUUAAUUUAUAGAGGGAAUCUCUAUCACUCUUUUAUGAAUCAAGUUUGAGAUUCAAGUUAUAGUGUUAAUUUUAAUCUUGAUUAUAUAAUAUACCAAAAUUUUAUAAUAAAAAUUUAAUUAAAAAUACUUAAAUUUAAAUUUAUGAGAAAAAGUUAAAACUUAAUUAAAUUAUUUUUUAUUUUUUAUAUAAAAUACAUAAAUUAGAACAAUAUAAAGAACCAAUUAUAUAUAACUAAAAAAAUAAAAAUUACAUAUAUUCAAAUAAAAAUUACAAAUUUUAAUAAAAAACUUAAUUAAAACUAAUUAUAUCUAUGAAAAUUUAAAAAGUAUUUUCCAAAUCUGCCUACGACACGAAUAUAAUUUUUUUUUCUUGUAACGAGUUUUUUCCAUCAACUCUUGUAACGAAAAAUCUUAUUACUCUACUUCACAAAUAUACAUGCAUGCUCUGAAUAGAAAAAAAUACACUUGUAUGCUUCUUUUUUAUUUUAUUAUAUAAUCAAUGCCUUCCUUGAUUUUGAAUUAUUUGUCCAGUCAAAUCAAAAACAAAAGAUCAUAGAGCAAAAAUAGUAAUAUAUUUAUUAAUAAUAUAAUAUUUUAUUCAAUUUAAAAAUAAACAUUAAUUAUGAAUGAUCGGAGAUGUGGAGGUUCGAUAAAGUUAUGUAUCAAAUAUUUUUCUUCAUUCUGAUCAAAAGAAUAUAAAACAUUUUCCAUUUUUUAAAUACAGUAAGCAAUGAUACAACAAUGUUAUAUAUACAUUAUACCACCAAUUAUUUUUUAUUUGAAAAUGUUCCAAAUCAAUGAUAUGAACUGCCAAAACAACAAUUAAAGACCCGAUAAGUAGGGAAUGACAUGAAAACAAAGUUAAAGAACAAACAAUGAAUUUCAUGGUGAUUGAUAUACGAUAAAGAUAAACAUGGAAUUCAUGUAAUUAAUAAUAAAAUUAUGUCAUUAGAUGCAUUUGAUGAAGUUCAUGAAUGGCUGUAAUCCACGCUAUAAAUAUAAUGACCCUUAGAACCUCCAAGAGACACUUUUAGAGUUUUCAAUCCCUUUUUAUUUAGAGCAAAGGGUCGUAUGAGCAAGGAAUGAUCAUAAUAUUUAAAUCCAAUUACAACUAUAAAGGGAUAGGUGUUUGUAUGUUUUCACUUUGUCACCUCUUGUUUUAAUAACAAUGUAGUAAAAUGAUUUGAUAAACUAUAAAUAGGGAUAAAAAUGAGUGUUGUACAUACCCACCUCAAAUAUUGCAUGACAUUUAUUACUAAAAUCUCGAUAAUAUGUUAUUUUUAAAUAAUUAUUAAAUGGUUUUUUUUUUUUUUACAUUUUAUCUUUAAAUGCCAUGUUUUUUAUUUAAACCAUACAUAUGAUGUAAGGUUUUGAAAUAAUAUAAAUAUGCAUACAUUUUAUUAGAAGACUCAGUGGAAUUUAUAUUUAUUUUCUUGUAGAUAAAAAUUUAACUCUCUGAUUUGAGCGUUUUUGCUAAGUGGAUCUCCCCUCUUAAUAAUAGGAGACUCUUUUUAAAUAAAAGAAAUAAUCAAAUCACUUUUAGGAUUUCGUCACCUGUAUGCAAAUUCAUUAUAAAAAUCUAGGUAAAAACAUUGGCACCUAUUGUGGGUCCUCACUAAACGUUUCUCCGACAUCUUAUUCCCAUGGCCACCACUCACAACUACUCAACAACGACCAUACAACAUCGAAUGUAGAAGCUCAUACAACAUUAUGAAGAUCUAGCGCAAGUAACAUCAUAUCGAGAUCGAGAUCCUGUGACAUGUAGGAGCUCUGACCAGCUUAAAGAAGGAAAAACCAUCUCUUCGGUCUCAACCAUCAACCAUCAUUGAAACGAAUACACAAGUGCUAAUAAUUAAAUAUAGUUCCUAACUAAAGCACCGUCCUCCCUCUUUAUGAUGACAAUGACAUUGGAAACAUGGACACCACCAAUCCUAAUUUCCCUGGCAGAUAAAAUAUGCUUCUUGAUGGUGUAGAUACAGAGGACCAAGCCUUGACAUCCAAGAAGAUGCUCCUAUCUGGCCCAACAAAAACUUGAACCCAUUUUGAAAGGAUGGUGAAAGGGAUUGUCACCAUCAUUAGUAAAAAAUUUGAGAAAUCAUCUUCCCAGCCUACCGAGCUACUUAGCCCAACAGUUUGACGAGAAUCCAAAAAAGACCGAGAUCGACCUCUUCAACGUCAAACAAAGCAGGACAGUCCAACAAACAAUACAACUUGAUCGUGGAGCUCAGUUUGUAGAGGAUGAACUCAACCUCAGAGCUUAGCUAUAGAGGAUGAACUCGACCUCGAAGCUCAACCUGUAGAGGAUGACCUCAGCUCGUAAAGGACCUUGGCGGCGAAGCCCGAUCACCAGCAAACGAUACACCUCAAUCACGAAGCUCAGCCUACAGAGGAUGACUUCGGCCUCUAAGAUCCACCUAUAUAAGAUGUGCUUGGUCACAAAGGAAUAUUAGUAGAUUAUCACACCUAGGUCCUAUCACAACACAAAUAGAAAUAAACUACUACAAAUGUCACAAGAUAUAUUGGCAAGCAUGAAAUUGAAUUUAUUUAUAUGUUGAAUAAAUGCUAACGUUAUAGGUAAUGCAUCAUUUAGAGAAGUGAUGGGAAGUGUUUAAAUCCCGUGUUGAUUCAUAUAGGGCCAUCAUCACCAGCAAACCCAAAAAAAGUAGGAACCGUCGACAUUUCAAAUAUGAAAGUAGUCCCGUCGACCAGCCCGCCAUGACAGAUUCUCUCCAAAACGGAGUGUACAAAUUAAAGGAGCUCGAAACACAAAUAUCAACAUAACGCCACACAAAUAUCACGAUUGAACUAUUAUAUAUACUUGUUUCUUUUAUAGUUUAAAGAUGUGUACACUUUUAUCCUCCUUUUGCAACUCAUUUAUUUCUUUCAACAUAAGACCUUGAAUGAACAGGAUAUUAUUUGAAUCCAAAAAAAAAGCAGUGUUGAAUUCCUACCUUUCAUGACAACCCCAAAAUAAUAUAAAGUCUUAACAUAAAACAUGAACUAUCAUGAGUUCAACAAUUCUUAAAUGAAGAAAGUCUUCAAGUUGUUCUUUGUUUCUACAUCCAUAUUAUGGCAUAAAGUCUUUGUAAAUAAAAAUAUUUUUUGCAAUACUUAAAUGUUGUAAAUAUUGUGUUAAAUAAAGGUGAUUCUUAGUAAUUAUCAUAGAAAAAUUAAAUAAAUUACUUCAAAAUAUUUUUGAAUAUUAAAUAUAUAUGGAAGUAAGUUAUAAUAAAAUAUAAUAAUUGUUGUUAAUAAAUUAUAUAUUCUUUUUAUGUCUUUACUUUUUUAAAUAAAAUAUGUCAUGGGAGAAAAUAAUAGAUAAUUCUGAAGUGUCACUCUAAUAUGUCAAAAAUUACAAUAAUAUUUAGCAUGACUUAUAUAUAUAUAUAUAUAUAUAUAUAUAUAUAUAUAUAUAUAUAUAUAUAUAUAUAUAUAUAUAUAUAUAUAUAUAUAUAUAUAUUCUCUUUUUGAGAAAUUUAUGCAGUUUUCUUUUCAUCUUUUAAAAUUUAAAAAUUGAUAAAGUGCAAUAAUUACUAUAAUUGAGGUUUGCACAAAAAUAAACAUUUUAGCAAAUUAGUAAAAAAUUUAGUCUUAAUAGAUUGGGCUAGUUAGCUUAUUUGCGCGGCUAAUGGUGGGCCAUGAUUAAGCGGCUUUGUGGUUGAAAUAUAUGGGCCUAUAUGAGUAGUAAAUCUGUAAUUUUCAGAUUUGGGCCUAGCUGUAAUAAAAUAAAUUGAAAUCAUUUUGAUUAACAUAAUCAUUUCAGAAUUGCAUAUUUAUAUUAUAUAAGGGAACAUGACGAGACCUGUAAGUCAAAAUCCGAAUAUUGAGACUAGACAGCAUGCCUCCAACAUUGUGAUUGGUAAGUUGACCUGAGAAAUGGAAAUGUGAAUGGUAUUAUGUUUUGUUGGAUUGUCUCAUUGUCUCAUAGUUUAUCUAACUUAAACUUUAUUGUCAUUAAUCAUGUAAUGUGAUUCUCAUUUUGUAAUUAAAGGUGACAAACUAUCCAUUCACGAAAACAUUUUUUAUAAUUUAUUAUGUACAAAUUAAGUCUAUUAUAUUAAAUUUGAUAAAAUUUUGAUGGUAUAUAUUUUAUAUUGUUAUUCAAAGUACAUGAAAUGACAAUGACCAUAAAAAAAAAGAAAAAAAAAACUUCAAAAUCAAGUUUAUAUCAAAAUAACAACACUUAAUGUUUGAACCAAAACUACACCAAAUUUAUAGUUAUACUUAAUGAGUAUGUAAUAUGAGAUAAAUGGAUCAAAGUAAAGAGACACGUAGAGAGUACAACAUCAUAACAACCUAUAGUCACCAUCACGAGUUCUUUUGUUUGCACUCUUGCUAUUGCAAUGAAGGAAAAGGUCAAUAUAAACAUAAAAAUCAACACAAAGCAUCUAUAUUUACGUAAUUACUAACAACAUUUUACCUACAAAAAUAAAUUUAUUGAUAAAAACUAAAUUUAUCAACGAAUUAGAAUUUAAAGUAGAGAUAAAAAUAUAUGUCAAUAACAAAUUUAUUGAAAAAAUUAAUCGACAGUGUAUUUAACAAUAAAUUUUGUCAGUAGUUUAUAAUUUCUAUUAUUAAUCACAUUUUUUAUUGAUAAAUCUAUCCGUGAAAGAAAUGGCAAAUUUUCAAUCAAGUUUGAUUAAUUUUUUUUUAUAUAUUAAGAAAAGAUGAAUAAAAGAAAAGGAAAGGUAAAGAGAAAGAGGAGAAGUUGGAGUUAAUAACCACGAUUACAACGAAGCCUCGAGAACAAUACAAAAUGACGACGACUGAAGUUGGUGAAGAAGAUGAAGGAGAAGGAAAGAAAGAGGAGGAGGAGAAGCCAAAGACAACAAACACAACGUUAACAAAUGCAAUGACAAUGACAGUAGAGGAUGAGGAAGAAGAAAAAGAAAAAAUAAGAAAAAGAACAUGAGGAAGAAGAAGAAAAAGACCAAAUUGCAACAUUUAUCGACAUAUUUUGUUGAUAGCCAAAAUUCAUCAAUAAUUAUCAAUUGUCGAUAGAUACUAAUGACUUUCACAAUUUGGUAAUAAAAUUGAUCGAUGAUCAUAUUAUCAACGAACUUUUGACCAUCAAUAACCUAUCAGUAAACUUAAAAGUAUUAUCGACAAAUUUUGUGGACAGCUAGAAUUCAUCAAUAAUUAUAGACUUUCGAUAGUUACGGAUGACUUUCACGAUUAUUUAAUAAAAUUGAUUGAUGAUCAUAUUACCAAUGAACUUUUGACCAUCAAUAACCUACCAAUAAACUUAAAACUAUUAUCGACAAAUUUAUAUACUUAUAAAUAUGUAAUGAUUCUUAAAGUAAUAUAAUAUUUUAUGUCAAUCUUAUGACCUCUACUUAUGAACGACAACAUGUUGGAUCAAACACAAAUAAUGUUUAUGAACUAUUCAACCCAAAAUAGAAAAUUCAACAUGUUACAUGUUUUGUUACUCUCUUGAUAUCCGUUUAAAAACUUAUCCACAAUUUUUUCUUUUAAAAUCUAUGGAUGUUUGCACAUAUUUUAAAAAUUAUAAAGUUUUAAAAUGAAAUUUAAAUAAAAUUAAAAAAUAUAAAAUAAUAUAAAUUAAAUUUUAAUUUUAAUUUUUUAAGACUAAAAUAAUAUCUACAAAUAUAAUUAUAGUCAAAAUAUAAUCUAUAUAAAAGUUAUUGAUAAUAUAAUAUGGUCAAAAUCAUAUCAAAAAAUAUACAUACAUAUAUAUAUAUAUAUAUAUAUAUAUANNNNNNNNNNNNNNNNNNNAUAUAUAUAUAUAUAUAUAUAUAUAUAUAUAUAUAUAUAUAUAUAUAUAUAUAUAUAUAUAUAUAUAUAUAUAUAUAUAUAUAUUUGAAUUAUACAUAAUAUUUUAAUAAUUUUAAUUAAAUAUUUUGUUUUAAAAUAUAAAUUUAGAUAAAAAAAAUUCCUUUCACUUAUACUGAAACAAAUUAUAUUGGGUAAGAUAUAUUUUGAUUCUCUAAAAUUUUUAAAGUUUAAUUUGUUUAAAUAUAUGUUUUUAUAGCUCCUCUAGUUUUAAAUCGUGAAUUCUCUCGAAAUAAUUUAUAUAUCACUUAUAUAGGAAGAGAAAAAAAAGUAGUUUAGUUAUCUUGAAAUUAAAGUUUAUGUAUUUCAAAACUAAAAACAAGAGCAUUUGUUAAAAAGAGUAAAUCUAAAUUUUAGAAAAACACACACACAAGACCAUUUCUUAAAAAGACUUAAACACAUAUAUAUGUAAAGUUGCCAAUAAUAAACAUCAUAAAAUUAUUUGUCUGAGUAACUAUUUUGAGCAAUGUGCAAAUUGCAUCCACAUUGCAUGAUCAGUGUUUCAUGUGCUGUUAAAGAACAUCGAAAAUGACACGACAUUUUGAUUACAUCAUCUCAGUCUUGUUUUUAUUCCCUUCAGGCAUCGACAAAUCACCCUUUACCAAUCAUUAUAAUCACUUUACAAACUUCACCAAUAUCUCCAAUGAUAUCUCCAUAAGCUACUUAGCAAGCAUUCUGACUCCUUCAAUUCUCAAAAUUUUAUCUCAUCAUCAACCUCUGCAUGCAUUAUUGGAGUUGGAUUCAGUCAUGUAGUUGUUGAGUUUUCUACAACAAACUAACUAAAAAACUUGGAAAUUUAACUUUUUCAACUUUCAUUCCUGCAGAAGCUUACACUUAUAUAGACUGAAUGUGUUAUUGCUUUUUCUUUCCAUGGAAUCAAUCACGGAGAGUCAAAGAAUUUAAAGAUAGAAAUUCUAUGACAGAUUAGUACCACUUAAUUGAUUCCUAAUUGGUUUGAAAGUUUUUUAGCAACUACAAAUAGUGCUGGGUAAAAAUAAUUGAUCUAUAGUGUACUGCAGUUAACUGUACUAUAUUGUACUAAAAAUAACUGAUACAUUUCUAGUAACGAUUCAGUAUACUAUCUUAUGGUUCAGUUUUUAAAAACUGAACUUAUAACAGUUACAUUUCAGUUAAAUGUGAGAACUGUAUCUAGUCUUACAUCUUCUCUAAUUUCAGUUCAAUUGUUUCAUCUUUUGAAAAAAACUUUAUUUAUUAAUAAAAUAUUAAUAAAAAUAUUUGUUCACAUAAAAAAAAUAAUAAUUAAUUUUUUAAGACAACUUUUUUAUCACAAAAUUUAUAUUUUUAUCAAUAAAAAUGAAAAAUAUAAUUUAUACUUUUAUAUUUUUUAAGUUAUAUAAAUAAAUAAAUAUAUAUAUACACACACAUUCCUCUUUUAUAUAUAUAUAUAUAUAUAUAUAUAUAUAUAUACACACACACAUAUAUUUAUAAUUUUUUAUUAAUAAAAUAAAUAAAUAAAUAAAAAAUAAAAUAAUUUUUAAUAAUAAUAAAAAUAUAAAUAAAAUAGAAAAUAAUAAUAUUAAAUAAUNNNNNNNNNNNNNNNNNNNNNNNNNNNNNNNNNNNNNNNNNNNNNNNNNNNNNNNNNNNNUAUUUAGUUUAAAAAUUAGUACAAUUCAGUUUAAAAUUAGUAUAGUUACUAGUUCAGUUCAUAUUGUAGUUUAGUUAAAAUCAGUGUGGUUUACAAUUUAGUUAAUAGUUCAGUGUAAUUUACAAUUCAGUUAAUAGUUUAGUUCAGUUAGUACAGUUUACAGUUUAGUUAAUAGUUCAGUGUAGUUUACAAUUCAGUUAAUAGUUCAGUUCAGUUCAUACUGUAAUUUAGUACAAUUCAGUAUAGUUCAGUUCAGUUUGAUAACACAAAAAACAGUUCAGUUCAGUAUGUCUGAACUAUUUUACAGUUCAGUUCAGUUUUUAGUAGUGCAGUACAGUUCAGUUCGAUUUGUCCACCCCUAACUACAAAGAAAUAAACCAAAUAAAAUAAAACGACUUGGUAAAAUAAAUUAAAUAAAAAGGUAGAAAUUUUUAUGAGAAUAAGAAAAGUUGAAAUGCAGAAUUGCAUGGGAGUUUCGUUGACGGUGACAAGUGAUGCUCAGGGAAUAUAAUAAAGGAAAGCUGAAUUAUUCCUAUCUUCUGAACCCACUUUAAAUUGGUAUUUAAUCAUAAUUUUCUAAUUUAUUUCCAUAUUUUCAGUCUUAUUUGGUAAACAAAUACUACAAUAUUCCAUUAAUAUGUGAAAAUAUAUAAUGUCUUUAUCUAUUCAAAGUAAUAAAAAUAUUUGUUAUUCUAAGUUUUGAGUUGGAUAAUUUUUAAUUACAUAAGUUUCUAACUUCCUCCUCAAAACCAUGUCGCUCUCAAGCAACAAUAUAAUGUUUGAGUAAUGAGAUAAGUGUUUAUUCUCUCUUCAUUACGAGUUGAAUUUUCAAACAAUGAUUUGGAUACUUAUGUAAGAAAUAAGUGAAACAAAUUAUUUCUUCUGAAAAAUUAUUAUUAAUGCAAAUUUAUUCAAUAUAUCAUUCAAUAGUUGAGUGUACGUAAUUUGGCUAAUGUCUCCUUCAAAUCCAACUAAUUGAUGUGAGUUUGAUUACUAUUUCACCAUAAAAAUUAAGUAAAAAAGCGGGGUUUUUGAGUUGGUAAACAUGACAACAUCAUAUUGCACUAAAGUCAUAAAACAGCAUGUAAAAAACGUUCUUAUUCUCUUACUACAUAAAAUCCCCUUUAAUAUAUUAUUUAAUUUAACUUUCACCAACUUAAGAAAUUAAAAUAGUUCCCACAAAAUAUACAUUUGUAUUUUUUAAAUCAGUGCAUCUUAUACACGUAACAUGAGUAAUCCAUUUCAAAUAUAAGACACCACUCACUUUAUGACUAAAUAACUCACACUUAUCCAUACAAUAAAAGCGAAUUAAUUAAUAAAACAUAAAAGUUUAUAGAAAACAGCUGUGAAAAACAGAGUUAAGAGAUCGAGUUUCUUAUAAUUAUUAUUAUCUGAUGAUCUAAUUUCUUAUGUCAUUCAAUGACACACGUUCUUGCCCCAUAUAAUAAUAACAUAAUGCAAACAACAAAGUUGUGCGUGAGGAAAGUGUCAAAGUACGUAUAAAUCUGCAGGAUGCUAUUGUUUACGCAAAAACCAGCUUUGCCCGCAAAUGCACAAGAAACUUCUUAGCAAUAAAAAAAAAAAGCAUUUAAUAAUAUAGUUCCUAGAUCAGGUAUUAUAUAUAAUCUUGGGUUCGUAAUUAUGGCGAUUCUUGAGCCUUAAUCACCGUUCUCGAGUUUCAUACUAUACUGUAAUUAACAUAAUUACACCAACAAGAAAGAAAUUGAGUGUUGGUGAAGCUGCUGAAACCAACCAAUUUUUUUAAAACAAACAAGCGGGUCUUAUUCCCAACAACAUAUCCAAAAAAGAAAAAGAACAAUUUGACUAUUUUUCUCACAGAAAAAAAGUGUAGGGUAGCCUUUAAAUAAACCAGAAAACAAAGGGUAAAGCAGUAAUUAAGGAGGGUUGGCACCCCAUAUAAACUACAACAACACCUCUCAAACAUGGACCAAACCAAAUACGUGUGUAACGUCUCUCAGACACUGUUUCUACGUACCUGCUCCUUUAGUAACACACAAAAUGUUUAGCCCUUCACAUCUAAAAACCUUGUACCCUCUUCAAGUUUUCUCAGUUAAACCAUCUUCUCCAUCUUCGACCAUAAGCUCCAUGAAGCUGAAAAGAAUCGUCCAUACCCUCAUAAUCUCCCACUUGUGCCGAAUCAUUCGUGCACUCUCCAAAGUCAAAGCUGUCGUGGUUGAGAUUCUUAAGGACAAUUCAAGCAUCCACUUCUCUCACAAAAAGCAUUUCAGCAACAGACGCAAGAAGAUCAUCUUAGGCUCCUUCAGGCUUCACUACAACUGGUGCUCCUCCAAAUCCUCACACGUGUUACCGGUUCCAGAACCUGUUUUCCAAGGGUUGAGUUCUGAGGAGCCACAAGGUGAAGAUUGCCCCUACCUUCGGUGGCUUGAAGAGAAGAAGGUUGAAGUUGAGGGUGGUGAGAAAAAGGGUGCAAAUAAUGAGCAUGAAAUGAAUGAGAUUGAUGUGCUGGCAGAAAUGUUCAUUGCCAAUUGCCACGAGAAGUUCAGGUUGGAGAAGCAAGAGUCUGAUAGGAGGUUCCAAGAAAUGCUGGCUAGAAGCAUGUAAAGUUGUAAACCGAAAAGCUCAAGAUGUUUUGGUGUGGUUGUGCAGUGCUUUCCCACAUUCGAAUUCGAACCUGUUGACAACAUGGGAAAGAAAAGGUUGUCCAUUGGGUCUUAUUAUUUAUGCUCGCUCAUGUUUAUUAAUUUGCCUUUUUCUUUUUAUCCAAACUUUUCAAAACACCAAGGGAGGAGAGUUUGAAGAAUUGUACACGAUCUGUGAUGGGCUUGGGAAUUGAGCAAUUCUUCUGUCUAUACGGUCACAGUGGCUUUAACCUUUAAUUUUCAGACUUAUUUUCAUCAUAAUUGAGAACUGCUGAAUGGAAUUAUUAUGUAGAUCUCAUCUUCACUAUUCUACCUCAUUGUAUAUAUCCAAGAUGCAUGAUCAUUCAAUGUCUAUCACAGUAUUAUUUUACGUUCACACUCGCUAUAAUGGAAAUAUGUGACAAAGAAGUUACUCACAUUCAGCGUACUGUGUUCCAAACACCUAAAUAUAGGUAUAAAUUACUGGACACCGACGUCUUAUCCAUUGUUGAACCAUUUUUGGAGGUACUUUCUUGUUUGUUAGUCCAUGUGUAGGUUGUGGCCAAAACAAUGAGAAAGAAACAUCAAACUUUCCAAUUCAUUUGUUAACAUAUUUGUUUCAGAUCGAGUCCAAAAUAUGAUUUUUUGUUUUUUAUAACAGUUUAUUUAUUUCCAACCCCACCAUAUCUCUUUGCUGAUCGCAUAGCUAUGUAGCACAUGUCAAUUGUAGAGCUUGAUUUUGCAGAAGUUACGUUUACUUAAAAUUGUUAACCAUUUUUGUUUGUAUCUGGACUCUGUCUGUACCCAACUCACCUACUCCAACUCCUCUCUCCUUUUUUUUUUUUUCUUCCUUUGAAUUUUAGCUUACAAAGAUUUGAUGAAAUUUAUGAAAUUAAGAAAAGGGAGAAAUUAUUAGAAAGGUACACUAGGUGGAAGAUACACUAACAGAAAAGACUAGUUCUUGGGUUCAUAACAGAGAAUCUUAAUUAACCUUAACAUGAUGCAGACAGUAACAAUAUUAAAAUGAUGGUCCCCAUUAGGUGGGUAAGUGCUUGGAUCAAGAUGCACGCACUCUCACUCACUACCGGACAGCUAGACAGGUUUGAAGAUAGUUAAGGUGAUAGAUCCAACACUUUUCAAACCCAAAAUCAUGUUUACAAGUAAAGUAAUAUAUACUAAUUCAUUGAGCUUGUCAUCUAUUUCUGCAAUCUUCAGAUGUACCAACUUAGAAGGUUAUCCUUUCCCUUCUACCACUGAUUGUGUUCUGUCUUACUUGACUUUAAUAACAUUUCAGAAAAACGGACAUCUUGUAUCAGCCUUAAAGGACGAGCACAUGUCCAUGACAAGAACAUAGGUCAUUGAUCAUGUGCUUCUGAACUUAAACAAAAGAAAAGUUGUAUUCUUUUAGUCUAGUUUUGAUAUCAAGUAGUUUUUGUUACUCUACCAAGUCAGCCAAGAUUGGCAGAUCCUGUCUUUGCACACAAAUUCGUACACUAUUUAGAAGCUUUUUUUUUAUUAUUAUUAUUAUUGUUUUGUUGAUCUUGGACCAUAUAUGCAGCAGCAUUUGCUCAAAGUUUGAGUAUCCCAAUAAUUGAGCAAAAAUUAAACCUGGUAAAACAUAUGGUAAAAGAAUUGUUUAUCCUCAAGUGGGCUUCUGAAAGUCAGAGAUAAGCUAAUUUAUAGUAGCUAAUUGCAAGGGUAAAUAAUUGAUAUUAUGAUAAUGGACUAGUAGUCUAGGGUAAUCUUUGGGAUGGGACUUCCUGUCUGAUUAAUGUUGGAUCUUGAAGAAACCUGUGAGGAAUUAAUAAUUACACAAAUGAUAAAUAAUUUUGUAAAUGAACUAUUAAGUGUAUUAAAAAACUAUAUAUCUCAGGAAGAUCCAAACAUGAUUAGUAAUAAAUUGGGUAAGGAAAUAUGCUAAGUAUCACAUCAGUUCAUGCAUGAUGAGACUAUCUUAUGUAAUUGUUAAGGAAUCUUAAGUAUUUGAUGAAAGGAACAUAUAAAUAGUAUUAAACCAUUUACAGAUUAGGAUUCAGAAUCAACUUCAAUGAAUAAUAAUCAGAAAGGAAAAUCCUAGUAAAAGUGAAGAUUUUGUACAGAUAAUGUUAUUCAAGAAAUAGAAUAAGUUUUUGAAAGGAGUUAAUUAAUUUUGAGUUGUAACAUAUUUGUCUAAGUAGAGAAGUACAGGAAUUAAGACCAGUCAAUAGUCCUUUAGCAAUUAUGCAGGGUUAAUAUGACAGUAAAAGGAGAUAGCUAUGGCAUCAAUAUGGAUGACUUUUAUUCUGCUGAGUUAUGCUUUAUUCCGAAACUUCUUUUGCUGCUUUAUUGCAGAUAGGUAUGGAAGCUUUAAUGGAUACAAACUUGGUGCCUUUGGUCUCCUUGUUACCAUAGAAACUCUGCUUUUACACAUAAAAGUGAAUGGGUGGAACCACUUGUGAUUUUAUUCUCUAUGACAGGAUCAAAUGGAUGAGGUGCUUCUACCUGCUCUAAUUCCUCACUUCAAAUUUGAAAGCCAACUUCUUGGACCACUGCCCAUGGAAUAGCCCAACUAGUAGUCAACUUCUUGUACCAUUAUGAAUACUUUGUUUUCAUAUCUUACAAAUUAAUUACACAAUAACACCUACCUUUUCGCUAAUUAUUAUGAUUAAUCCUUAUUUAAUGAUAAUUAAUGUUCAAAUUGACAAAAACAAAUUAUUCCUGUUAGUAAUGCUUGAGGUGAUGGGAUAUGUUCUUAUUACUAAUUCAUGUUCCUUUUUGUACCAUACUGAUUGGGCAGGUGAAUGGUACAACUGACAAGCCACCAAUUUCCAUAAAGUCUUAAGUUUAACUUAUAAUCAAAUUUACAUGAUUGAGCCGCAAAUAUGAAUAUGAUAAUAAUAAGAAAGUUUAUUUCGAAAUGUAUAAAUACGAAUCUCACGUAAAAAAGUUAGAUAAUUGUAUUUAUUAUAAAUUUAAAAUAUUAUUAUAAUACAUGAUUGAUUACAUUAUUGUACUGCCUGCACGGUUUGGAGUUAACACACCGAGAACUUAGUUAUGGAUAUCUAAAACAAUAUAAGAUGAUUUAGAAAAAAGUGCUUGAACUGUGAUCAUGGAUUCCACACUUGAAACAUUUUCAAUAUUUGUUGUUCUAAUGUUAAAAGUUAAUUUGAGUUAUUGGAUCUGUUUCAAAUUUUAAAAGAAAAAAGUAAUGCAAACUGAUAAGAACAUAGGAUAAUGAUAUUUAAACAAUAUUUUUUUGACAACAUUUGAAUAUCAUUUGUGUCAUUCUGUGAUUAGUUCAUUGUGAUAUUUAUGAUUAUUAUUAUUGAUUGUGAAAUAAUUUUGGACCAAUCACGUAAAUAAUGUUCAAAUAUUAUAAAAAAAAUAUUAUGUAAGGAUCAUUAUCCAAUAACAUAACAUAACACUUUGGUUGGUAUGUGAGGGAUUGUGAAAGUGAAGAUGACGAAAACGAAAUAUGGGCUCUGAAAUAUAAAUGUAAGACAAAAAAACAGCUUUAGGCACUAUUCUCUCGGCCUUUUAGCCUAUGUAUACAAUCCUUCUUCGUUGAUGGGUCAUGAUCAGUCAUUUUUCUUUUUUAACAGCUUUGGAUUUUGAAUGUUCAAAACUUCGUUUUCUAUCUCUUUUAAAGUACAAGUAAAAAAAAAAAAGUACAGUGAAAGUUGUGUUUGAAUAAUUUUUUGUUUUAUUAACAUCGAUCUUUAUAUUAGUUUUAACUAUUUAAAACUGUAUAAAGUUAUGUAUAAAAAUGUUUAUCAUAAUAAAAUGAUAAAAUACAGUGUUUAAUAAGAGCUUAGGAAAUAUUCCCCAAGAAAACCCAAUACUAAUACUAAUGACACAUACAUAAGCAAACUUUGUACCUAAAAGAUGCAUUAUAUGCCUAAAACAGAGAGAUAAGAAAAAAUGGCAAAGAAGGAAAAGAGAUAAGAAUUUGGAAGAUGAGUGAAGUAUAUGAGCAAGAGACGAAUAAAACGGAGAGAGUAGGAUUUCCUGAGGCUGAGUUCUACAUAUUUGGUCUUGUGUUUCUUGCUUCCGCUUAUCUUACUCAUACUUGUCACUCCUGAAAAGCUCUGUUGGCGAGAGACAGAAGAGUACAAGGAGAACACAAGAAAAUGAAGCAGAAGCAAGGCCAGAUUCUUCAUGUUUUCCCCAACUUGGAAGAUGGGAUCAGUAUAAACUACCAAAUUCAACUCCUUGCAAAAUUUACAUAUUUGAUGGGGUGCAGGAUGAAAUUUCAGGGGUCAAGGAAGCAAUUGGGUCCAAUUUAAAAGUACAAGUCCAAUUUAAAAGGAAUUCUAGUUCCAACUUCAUCAACUUCUAAAUUUUGAAAAAAAGAACACGUCAUUUUUAAAAAUGUUGAAAGUAAUAUAAGGAAAGGUAAUCUAAUUCUACAUUUUACUCAUUUAAUUGAUAUUGUAAGUUUUGGGUUUUGAUAGGAUUUUUUCAUGUCUAAAAAUUUUGAAAAUAAAAUUAUAAAUUUUGGAUAAAUAAAUUUUAAAUGAUAUGUUGCGUUACUCAUUUAGUUUAGUUACUAAUAGUAACUAUAUCUUUUUAGUUAUUAAAUUUAGUCAUCAUUCAUUAAUUUUUUAAUUAAUCAUUUAUAAUUGUUAAUCUAGUCACCAAAUUAUUAAUUAAUUUUAAAAAAUAUAUUUGAUUACUAAUAAUUUUUGUUCUAGAAUUUAGUCAGUAUUUAUUAAUUUUUUAAUAAUACUAAUUGAUCUAGUCACUAAUUAUUUUUAACUGAAAAUCAUGUUAUCAAAUUGAUCACCAACUUAAAAAAAUAAAAUCAGUCACUAAUUCAGUCACAAAUAAUAAUUAAUAUUUUCCGUCACUAAAUUUGGUUAUUAUUUUUUUAGUGUUUAUUUAGUAUUAUAUAAAUAUUUUAUUUGGAUAUAUAUUCACGAUUACGUUUUAUUUAAAAUAUAUUGAAUAAUGGGAACAUUCCAAGUCAAAUUUUAAAUUUUAAAAUUGUGUUUCUAAUACAAAUUUCAAAGUGAAUUUUGCAUAUUUUACAUAUACAUAUAUUGAAUUAUUUAUUUUUAUUGAACUUAUAUAAAAUGUUUCAUUUUGACGUGUGACUUUUGAAAUUAAAAUAUUAGAUUUCAAAAUUUCAAUUUAAAAUUUAAAUAUUAAUAUUUUGUAUUCAUAAAACAUUCAAAAAUGUAAAAUCUUUAUAGAACCAUUUUCAUAUAAAACCACAAUAAUAUGAAACACACAACGUCUCAUUAUUAUUUUUUUUUAAUAACCAUAUUAUUAAAUAUAAUAUUUCAUUAUCCAUAAUUUUCAAUUAUACUAAAUAAAUAUUGGGUACGUGUUUCCUAUAUAAGGGGAAGUUGACACUGCGAAUGGCACUGAAGUCUGCACUGAGAAUAUAUAGCAGUCACAAGCAGAGACAAAAGAAAAUUAAAAGGUUAUUACGAAACUGUUUGAUAAUUUGUAUGCAUUUAGAAUUUGCUCCCACCCAUUUUCUUGUGUUGCAGAGAAUUCCGUUAUUGCUUUAUUUCUUUUUCAAGAACGAGGAAUGGAUUGGAAUACGUCGAAAGAACUGGGUAGCAUGGAGGAAUUGGUUGCUGAACUUGAGAAGGAAGCAUACUAUAAACUCUUGCGUGCUUUCAGGAUUCAAUCCAAUGAUAUUUCAUGGGUAAUCAUCAGUUCCUUCUCUCAGCGAUCUUUGUGUUUUUCUACCUUAAAACGAAACUCCUGCACUUAUUGUUCAUCAGGAGAAGGAAUCGGUUCUAACUAAUCUUAGGGAACAAUUGAGAAUCUCAAAUGAUGUUCACGGAGAGCUUCUUCGCACUCUUGAUUCUGAUGACUUCCUGCAAAAUGCAAUCAGAGAGAAAGAGAAACCAACUAGCCAAGGCGGUGAUCAACAUGCAAUAGGAAACAGAUCUCCCCGCCCCAUAAGAACUCGGAGAUUAUCCGAAUUGGUACGCAUAUUCUUGCAUUAGAAACGUUUGUAAUGAUCUCAAAGAUUCAAGAUUAUUCAAGAAAAAUCAUGUUUCUGUUAUUUUUAUUAUUAGUAUUUACAUGAGGACACAGGAGUACAAGCUACAGAACUUGGUGACAUAGGCCAGUAUAAUAAUAUUCCAGUUGCAGGAAGAAUUGUUAGAAAUGAAAAUGUUGGGUGGAAGAGAGCUGAUCAAGAUUAUAGUUGAUGAGGUAAAUAUGACAUUGCCAUAGCAUGGCUAAGUAUUGAGAUUCCUAAGUAUUGCUAUAUAAUUAAGGAGAGUGGUGUUUUCAGGUGGAUGGAACUCUGGUUUGAAGUCAUCUAAAUUCUCUGGAUCUCAAGAAUGCAAAGAAAUUGCUGUUAUGGUUCUUGUCACCUUCUUUUUACUUCUAUCACUGUUCAUACUUAAGUGUACAGGACCAUGAGCAUUUACAUACCAUGCAGGAUAUUCUAUUCAACGCACAAUAUUUCUGAUGAAUUACUAUGCAUAAAGGCUAAAGUUGACAGAAAAUGAAAAGAGAGUAAAAGAUUAAUUGGUAUAUUCACAACAUGAAAUUUUCACUUUGUUUGUAGGUGUAAGAACAUUAUUUUUUUAUUCAUAUGCUAUUAUUAAAUUUAACAGGUUCUACACAUUUGCUAGAAUAAUUAACAUAUGAUGUUGGAUCAACAAAAAUUAGUUGUGUUAAUAGUAAGUACCUAAAUUAUAAUAACAGUAAAUGUCUAACAAGUAAAUAAUUAUAAUUAAAACUAACCUAAAAUGUAAUAUCAGUAGAGGAGUGUCGGAGAAAAAGUGAAAUAAACAUUUCUUUUUUACUUUUAUUAUUGCACACGCUUCUGAAUCUUCCGGUGGAAGCCAAAAACGUUAAACCAACCCGCUUACGUCACCACCCUCUCUAACAAACCAAACACUACCUUUCAAGGACUAUAUAAAAGGAGCACACAGUGACUCAGAAUUCUGUCUAUUAGAGUCUCUGCCGCUUCUCCUUCUUUCCUCCCUUCCUUUCUCAUUUUACAGUUCGUUAGGCUUUCGAAAUCCUUCUCCUGUUCGUUUUUAUCCUCGCUCUGUUGCAAUAUCCUCACAAUGAUCAACGUGAAACGCGAACUGGACGGUGACGGUGAUUGCAGUAGUAUCGACAAGCGUGACUCUGAACUUCGUGCCGUAAGCGACGACGCUGAUUACCAAACUCCGAAACGCUGUCGAGGUAUCCGUUCUCGGUAUCUGGCCUUCAAGAACAUGAUUCAUGGUAAUUUCGUUUUACUCGUUUUGCUUGAUUCGUACUCCUCGUUUCGCUCUAUAAUGACUUCGAAUAUUCCUUACUAACUACCACUUAAUGCACAAAAACGACCGCCAGUCCUGUGUCUUUAUCGAUUUUCCGUGUCAGGAAUGAAAUAGUAACGUUUUGAAUUUUGAUUGCUUGUGUACCUCUUGGUUUUUCAGAUGAAAGGGAAGAAAUUGCUAGGCCUGACUCUAACAAGUUCGAUUUGAUCUUUAGUGAAAUGGAGAGCUUACAUCAGCAAGGUAUUUAUUUAUUUAUUUAUUUGUGGUAAUGCUUUUGUUCUGAUUAGUUUUGAGGAUUUUUUUAGGAACUAUUAGCUAUUUGUGGAAAUUAAAUUAAUAAUUCCAAACACUGCCAAAUUAAUUAAGCAUAUUGCCGCACUUGUUAUUUACACUCAAACAUGUAUAUUGUCUUUGGAAGUGGAUGAAAAAUUCUAUUUAGCGAAAGAAAAAAAAAUGUAAGCCUAUGUAAGGAUGGGGUGAUAGAAAGUGAGAAAAGAAAAGAACUAAAGAAAAAGAAUGAAAAUAGAAAUUAAAAUUAUAUGAAUUAAGAAAAAAAAUACUAGGAAGAGACGGGAUUUAACUGAAAAGUUUGGAAAUGCAUACCAUUGAUUCUAGAAUAAAAAAUAUAUCGUAAUUGGUUUAUUUAGACAAUGAUCAUACUGUCACUUUAUUCUAAACUAUAUAUGUUAAAUUAUACGUGAUAGGAAAUAAAGUAAGUGAUCGAUACUGACAAAAUCAGAUUCCCGAUUCGUUGGAUAUACAUCAAGCAUAUGGAGAACUAAUUAAAUCAUAUUCAUAAAUGAUUUUAUCUUAUUGAAAUGAAGAUACUUUCUAACAAAUGAGCACACAUAAUCAAUUAAGGGACGUACGUGAGGCAUACUACAUGUAAUAUAUACAUGUUAAUGGUCAACAUAAGUAAUAAUGUCUCAUGCAUAAUCCAUUACAUAAACUCUAUUAUAUUAAUAUAUGCCAUAUUGGCAACUGCUUAUUUAGUUAUACAUACUACAUAUUGGAUUGUGUACCAAUCAUAUGAAUUAGCCAAAUGUUUUGUCUAAUUUCAGUUACAAAACCAAGAGAACAAGUAGCUGACGCAAAGGCUCUUUUGGAAAUCACCCAAUCCCUGGUAAUGUCUGUGAGAAGUACAGCGAAUGGUGGACUAACUCCUUCAGACUUUGUUACAAACAUUCUUAAAAAGUUCGGAGGACAUGUUGGACCAAGUAAUAGCGCAGAAGAUUGCAGUAGAAAUUCAGUAGCUUGGAAUGAUAUUGGUGUUGCGGUGUCACGUGUUUUUAGAGCGGGUUAUGGGUGCUGUACAAUGUAAUGUCCGUUCCGUAUAUAGAAGAGAAUUCUUUCUUAUCGAUUGUAAUAUUUCUUUGGGUGUUCAUUUCGAAUUUUCUUAUUCAGGAUGGCCCCAAUGGAUGCUAAAAUAGAGCAGAAGGUCAUUAUUCGUCGAAAGCGUGUGAGACCCACUGAAUUGGCACGGCCUGAAGAGGUAAAACUUAUUUUAAUGUAAAUUCAGUGAUUUUAAUGUAAUAUGACAUACUAAUCUUUUUUAUCAUUGUAUAUUUUUGCAGCUAUGUGGAGGUUCGGGGGAAGAGAUAGCGGAGACCGAUAAGCAUAUGUUAACGAUGUUUAACAUCUUAAGGAUGAAUAAAGUUGUCAAGCUUGAAAAUCUGGUUUUGAAUCGGAACUCAUUUGGACAAACCGUGGAGAAUUUAUUUGCUUUAUCCUUUUUAGUCCGAGAUGGUCGGGCUGAAAUAAAAGUUAACGAGUCUGGAUGGCAACUAGUUUGUGAGUUAUUUUUAAAAUUAUUAUACUAACUCUCAACUUUUAUUACACUAGAUUUCCCCUUCAUAUUUUUUUCACGCAUUUGCUCAAUGUCAGCGCCUAGGAACGCUCCUGCUGCAAAUUCAGUUGUUUCUGGGGAUGUUGCUUUCAGCCAUUUUGUUUUCCGAUUUGACUUCAACGAUUGGAAGGUAUUUUUACUUGUAAUUCUUUCUUUUAUUAAAUUAAAUUUCGUGCAACAUUUUUCGUUUGUAGACGUUUUCAUUCCGAAAUAAUAGUUUAUAGUUUUUACCUUAAAAAAGUGUUUUUAAGCUAUUAUUUUAAUGAUAUCCUUAUAUAUAUAAUUAAGAAUAAUCAAUAUGUUUUAUUUAUAUUGCAAAUUAUGAGUAUUUUUAUCUAAAUUUUUUUGCUAAUUGAAUAUUUUUUAUUUUUGGAAUGUAAGAAGUAGCUUUAUUGAAUAUUAAUAGUUAGACUACUGAAAUGAAGCUUCGCAAUCAAAUGGUUGUGGAAUGCACCUGUUUCUAGAGAAGAAAUAGUGCUCCAAACACUCAAUUUCGAAGCUGUCCUAUGCUUUAAAUAUUGAGACAUUUACACUACCGCUUUGAUUAUAAUGGUCAUUCAGAAAAAAAAGGAUAAAUUGUUAUAUUUAUAUUAAUUUAGUGUGGAAGUUGUUGCGAACACAUAUAAUUUCGUCUUUUUUAUGUAUUCGUUUUCUUGUAUUGAAUUCUCAGUUGAUGGUUCGCACUGUUAGGGUUGGAGAGGAGCUGAUGCCUCAUAGGAAGGAACAGUGAAUCACAGAGAUAGUGCAGUUUAUCCGGAAUCUCAUGAAACAAAAUUGAUGCAUUUUUUGUUGUUCUAUUCGUUGUAGUAAUUAUACAUGCUCCUCUGUAGUUUAGUUUCAGAUCAAGUUUUCAUAUUUCAAAACUGUCAAUUUAUGAAUAUUUUUUCUGAAGCAUUUCAUACUGUGCUGUGCGUUUAAAACGAGUUCCAUGGUGAAGCGUUUUAUACUUAUCCCUUCUUCCUUUAAUUACUGACUCACAUUAUAAGAAUUACAAGAGAUGCAAGUCAAUAUCACAACAAACAAAUUUAAAAUAAUAAAACGUAAGAUUAUCUAAGGGGUGGAAAAAUAAAAUGAUGUGUUAUAUGUGAAGUUUAAACAAAUUCAAAUAUCGAGGAUAAUUGAAGAGAUGAAACAACACAUUAAAAACCCUUAUAAAAAGAAGAAAAAUACAGUAAAAAAAAAUGAACGAGUUUAAACAAAUUCAAAUACACAUUACUUAUUAUACGGGAGGAACAAACAGUGAAAGUAAGUUGAACUAUCUUUUAUAUCUUUCCAAGUGUACUUACCUUCUAGUCCAUUCUUACAUGCGUUAAAAUUAAAAAUAAAUAUCCCUAUGUAAAAUAUGUCUUUUAAGUUGGUCUUUUAUGACAUAAUUAAUUUGUGGACACGAAGUAAUAACUACCAUGUUACUUGUCAUUUCAACAAACAAACUUUAUUAAUUAACUUGAAUCCUAAGACAACUAUAAAUAAUUAAAAAUAACAUGUAAUUAGUUAUAUAUUUUUGUUUUUGGAAGUUAAUGUUAGAUUUUAUUUAUGAGAAAUAUUUUGUGAAGAAAUUAUAUAAUAACCACUUUUUAAUUUAGGUUUAAACAUUACGAGUCUGCAGUGAUUUUUUUUUUAGUGUAACUGAUGUUUUUAUCGUAUUCAUAAAGUAUAUGAAUUUAAAAUUUUUUCCUUUUUUAGAUAAAUUUGUGGUAGUGUUUUAUAAAAAAAUAUUUUUUUAUCUAUUUUAAAACUCUUUAAGGAACAAAAUAAUAUUUAAGAAUAAUGCUAAAGAUAUCAAAGAAGAGACUAUUGUAUCUAAAGUUAUCCAAAUUAAGUUCUAUUUAAGAAAAUUGUGAUUUUUAAGACAUGUGAUUUCUAUUCAAUGUGUGAGUAUGAGUUGUUUCAUUUGUUGGGGAGGUUGUACGACUCUAUGAAAAUUUGAGUUUGUUUCAUUUCAAGUAGAAGUUUCUUGUAAUGAUUUCAAUAGUGUAUGUAUUGAUGUAUAUAUUGUGUAUUUGGAGAUAUUUUGUUACUCUAAUAACUAUCCAAUGUCGUGAGGUAUGGGACAAGAGUAACAAAGGUCUUAGUCUAAGAAAUUUACCUUGACUAAAGAUGUUAAUGGACUAACACUGUGUGUGAUAAGAUAAACACAUUGACAAUGACUUUACAAAGCAUCAAAGGUCGUCACAAGUGCAUAACUCGCUAGUAUGAUAUCAAUACAUGUGUCUGGAUGGUCGAGUCUGAUAUGAAUGAUUACAUGUUCUAGGAUUUGCUGAUAUACAUGUUUAUAUGUGCUAGUAUCUUUAUACAUGUUGUAAGAUUGCUCUUUUUAGUACAUUGACUUACCUUAUCUUUUGUUUUGGUUCGUAUGUGUUUUUUUGUUGUGAUGAUCACUUUAAUAUUGUGAAUAGAUAAAGAUGUUUUAGAUGAUCAUGUGCAGGGUGAGAGUAAUACAACAACAUAAUUUAAGAUAAAGUUUGUUGUAUGAUCUAUUACUUUUGAAAACUCUAGUUUAUAUUAGUAUAUAUAUAACUCUCUAUACUCUGGUGCAUGCUUUAUGUAUGACUCUAAUAUAACAAUGGUAUAUUUGUCUUACAUGCUUGCUGAUUAUCAAAUCUAUAAUAUUUUAGUUAAUAAUUUUACACUAUUAAAUAAAAUCUUAUAAAAAAUGAUAAUUUAAAAUUAAUUUUAAAAAUAAAACACAUAAGGGAAGAUGAAAAAUAUACAAACAUAUAUAUUAAUUUAUCAAAAUAAAACACAUAAGUAUUUAACAAAAUAUUUAAAUAAUAAAAAUCUAUAAAAAUAUUUGUAUAAAAAUAUAUAAAGAUGGUAUAAAGUUAUAAAAAAUUGUAAUAGUUAUGAAAAUCUAAAAAAAUCUAUAUAAUAAUCUAUAUAUAAAAUUGAAUUUUAAACAUUCAUUCAAAUAUAAGAGAUCCAAAUAAAUUCAAAUUAAAUACAAUGCAUCACUUCUUAUAGAUAUAGUAGUAUUUUGGUAAAUUCGAAAUUAACAGAUACAAAUAUCCAUGGUUAUAAAUACUAUGAUAUCUAUAACCGUUAAAAUGCAGGUAUAAAAAAUAUCCAUAUCCUUACUUGCUAAUAUCAAUUUAUAAUAUAGGUACAAAUUUUUGACAUCCAAAACCAUAAAACUCACUUCUAAAUUGCAUAAUUGUAAAUUGAGAAACUUAUAUUUAACAUUAGAUAAAAUAAAUGCCUUGUUUGUUCGCUAAGCUAAAGUUUUCUUAAUAUAUUAAGAUAUAUUGAGGGACAUACAACUAUUUAUGUGAAAGAUAAAAAUAGAGAUUAGUUAAAUAUGAAUGGUGGCUUUCUUUUAUGUUUUGUUCACUUUGUAUGUAUCUUCUUUCUCUUUUAUUUAUAUAUAUAUAUAUAUAUAUAUAUAUAUAUAUAUAUAUAUAUAUAUAUAUAUAUAUAUAUAUAUAUAUAUGAAAACCUUCUUCUUUUCCCGUUUAUCAUGAUGAAUGUUGAGUGGAAUUCAUAAUCUCUCUCACUCUUCUUUCUAACUUUAUCAUUAAAUCAUCUUAUAAUUCCAUAUUUUAAAGAUAUUUCCUAAUAUUUUGAGAAUGUACAAAUUAUUUAUGGUUUGAUCAAGUUUUAAAUCCCUACUAAAUUUAAAAACUUUCAAUUAAAUUUCUAAUAAAUUUUUAAAGUCUAUUAAAUGUUUAAUAAAUUUAUAUUUUUUUAAUUGAAUUCCUACUGUUUGAUUUUUCUAUUAAUUGAGUUAUAAAACCAUGUGAUUGUUUGUUAUAUUGCAUUACCUAUAUGUCAUUAUAUAUUAUUUUAUCUUUUAAAAAACAUAUAAAAUUAUAUAGAAAUAAUCAAACAUUAUAUCUUGAACAUACUAGAUAACUAAUUACUUAUCAUAAUUAUUAUAUAAUGAAGAUGUAAUAAAUUCUAAUAACAAAGUAUUAUAACAAUAUAUUAUUUGUAAAUAUCUUAAAAAUAUUUUAUGAUAUCAAUAAUAUCUUAAAGUAUGUUAAAAUUUAUUUAGUAAUAUUCAUAAAUUUUUAAUAAUUUAGUUUUUUGAUACAUGAUUAUUCUUUUGUAAUAUUAUUAUUUGAUGUAGUGUAACAUCCCAAAAAUACGCCUAAGACAUAUCAAGUGGAUGCAACAUGUUAUAAUAAUGUAAAGCAGUUAGGAGUGGAUAUUCAGAUGAAAUGUAUAUACAGUACAGUCAUCCAAAAUGCAAGAGAAGAAAUAAAGCUCUACUUAUAGCAUAGAGUCUUUUAAAAAGAAGAAAAGGAAAGAAGACCANNNNNNNNNNNNNNNNNNNNNNNNNNNNNNNNNNNNNNNNNNNNNNNNNNNNNNNNNNNNNNNNNNNNNNNNNNNNNNNNNNNNNNNNNNNNNNNNNNNNNNNNNNNNNNNNNNNNNNNNNNNNNNNNNNNNNNNNNNNNNNNNNNNNNNNNNNNNNNNNNNNNNNNNNNNNNNNNNNNNNNNNNNNNNNNNNNNNNNNNNNNNNNNNNNNNNNNNNNNNNNNNNNNNNNNNNNNNNNNNNNNNNNNNNNNNNNNNNNNNNNNNNNNNNNNNNNNNNNNNNNNNNNNNNNNNNNNNNNNNNNNNNNNNNNNNNNNNNNNNNNNNNNNNNNNNNNNNNNNNNNNNNNNNNNNNNNNNNNNNNNNNNNNNNNNNNNNNNNNNNNNNNNNNNNNNNNNNNNNNNNNNNNNNNNNNNNNNNNNNNNNNNNNNNNNNNNNNNNNNNNNNNNNNNNNNNNNNNNNNNNNNNNNNNNNNNNNNNNNNNNNNNNNNNNNNNNNNNNNNNNNNNNNNNNNNNNNNNNNNNNNNNNNNNNNNNNNNNNNNNNNNNNNNNNNNNNNNNNNNNNNNNNNNNNNNNNNNNNNNNNNNNNNNNNNNNNNNNNNNNNNNNNNNNNNNNNNNNNNNNNNNNNNNNNNNNNNNNNNNNNNNNNNNNNNNNNNNNNNNNNNNNNNNNNNNNNNNNNNNNNNNNNNNNNNNNNNNNNNNNNNNNNNNNNNNNNNNNNNNNNNNNNNNNNNNNNNNNNNNNNNNNNNNNNNNNNNNNNNNNNNNNNNNNNNNNNNNNNNNNNNNNNNNNNNNNNNNNNNNNNNNNNNNNNNNNNNNNNNNNNNNNNNNNNNNNNNNNNNNNNNNNNNNNNNNNNNNNNNNNNNNNNNNNNNNNNNNNNNNNNNNNNNNNNNNNNNNNNNNNNNNNNNNNNNNNNNNNNNNNNNNNNNNNNNNNNNNNNNNNNNNNNNNNNNNNNNNNNNNNNNNNNNNNNNNNNNNNNNNNNNNNNNNNNNNNNNNNNNNNNNNNNNNNNNNNNNNNNNNNNNNNNNNNNNNNNNNNNNNNNNNNNNNNNNNNNNNNNNNNNNNNNNNNNNNNNNNNNNNNNNNNNNNNNNNNNNNNNNNNNNNNNNNNNNNNNNNNNNNNNNNNNNNNNNNNNNNNNNNNNNNNNNNNNNNNNNNNNNNNNNNNNNNNNNNNNNNNNNNNNNNNNNNNNNNNNNNNNNNNNNNNNNNNNNNNNNNNNNNNNNNNNNNNNNNNNNNNNNNNNNNNNNNNNNNNNNNNNNNNNNNNNNNNNNNNNNNNNNNNNNNNNNNNNNNNNNNNNNNNNNNNNNNNNNNNNNNNNNNNNNNNNNNNNNNNNNNNNNNNNNNNNNNNNNNNNNNNNNNNNNNNNNNNNNNNNNNNNNNNNNNNNNNNNNNNNNNNNNNNNNNNNNNNNNNNNNNNNNNNNNNNNNNNNNNNNNNNNNNNNNNNNNNNNNNNNNNNNNNNNNNNNNNNNNNNNNNNNNNNNNNNNNNNNNNNNNNNNNNNNNNNNNNNNNNNNNNNNNNNNNNNNNNNNNNNNNNNNNNNNNNNNNNNNNNNNNNNNNNNNNNNNNNNNNNNNNNNNNNNNNNNNNNNNNNNNNNNNNNNNNNNNNNNNNNNNNNNNNNNNNNNNNNNNNNNNNNNNNNNNNNNNNNNNNNNNNNNNNNNNNNNNNNNNNNNNNNNNNNNNNNNNNNNNNNNNNNNNNNNNNNNNNNNNNNNNNNNNNNNNNNNNNNNNNNNNNNNNNNNNNNNNNNNNNNNNNNNNNNNNNNNNNNNNNNNNNNNNNNNNNNNNNNNNNNNNNNNNNNNNNNNNNNNNNNNNNNNNNNNNNNNNNNNNNNNNNNNNNNNNNNNNNNNNNNNNNNNNNNNNNNNNNNNNNNNNNNNNNNNNNNNNNNNNNNNNNNNNNNNNNNNNNNNNNNNNNNNNNNNNNNNNNNNNNNNNNNNNNNNNNNNNNNNNNNNNNNNNNNNNNNNNNNNNNNNNNNNNNNNNNNNNNNNNNNNNNNNNNNNNNNNNNNNNNNNNNNNNNNNNNNNNNNNNNNNNNNNNNNNNNNNNNNNNNNNNNNNNNNNNNNNNNNNNNNNNNNNNNNNNNNNNNNNNNNNNNNNNNNNNNNNNNNNNNNNNNNNNNNNNNNNNNNNNNNNNNNNNNNNNNNNNNNNNNNNNNNNNNNNNNNNNNNNNNNNNNNNNNNGUUCAGUGAGGAGUGGAUUUAGAGAGAAGGCAGAGCUUAUAGGAGUUUAACUUCUAGAGAGAGGAUGUUCUGUAAGAAUGAAUUAGAAUUUGUAUUAAAAGCUUUUAUUUAUUUUUAAGGAAAUAAAAAUAAGAAAGUCAGGUUCUUACAUGUAGCAUUUUCAUGCAUACCACAGUACUUACAAACAUAUUAUAUGAAAUUUAAAUAAAAAAUUUAAAUAUGAAAAAAAUAUAAAAUCUUAAUCUUUGUAAAAAAAAUGUAUUCAUAUGUCUAUUUAUACUUAAUUACCUUUGUGAUUUGUUAAAAAGCUUAGUUAUCCUAAUAUGAUAUUGUUUAUUAUUCAUAUUUGACUUGAUUAAAAAAUAGAAUCUGAUAAAAAAUUAUCAUAUCUUAAUAAAUAUCGAAAACAUGUAUAAUUAUAUAAAUGUAUAUAAAAUUAAAUAAAAUAUAAAAUAUAAUUUACGUGACAGCAUCAAUAAUCGUUGUCAUGUGACGAUUGAAGGAAGUAGGUAAAAAUGUCAUAACAAAUCGUACCCAAAUCCAACCAAAUUGAUAACAUCAUCAAAAUAAUAUAUUUAUAUAUAUAAUCACAAGAUAUAAAAAAAAUAUAUAUCUUUUCUCAAUCUUUAUCACUUUAUUCAUUUAUAGUCGCUUCAAACUGUCUGCUUUUUCCACGCUCAUUGUUGCAAAACCCCUAUUUCAGAUCAUCACUCCUCCUAGAUUAGGGUUUUUCCUAAUUCAGUUUCCAUCAAUUCUUCUUCGUCUUUUUAUUUACUCUCAUCGAUUGUAAGCUUAGGUUUUCUCUGCAAUCUUAUAUACCUAGAACUCGUCAUUUCUGCCGGAUCUCAUUCGAUGGAUACUCGAAAGAGGGGAAGGCUCGAACUCGGUUUCAACUCCAAUGGUGGAUUUAAGAAAUCCAAGCAAGGUUUGAUUUUGAGCAUUGUUGGUUUCUUGGGUUUUUGGUAUUUUCCUUCGAAUUUGUUUAUUAGGCUUCAAAAGUUGUUUGCCUUUGUUUUCUUCCUCUGUGUUUUGUGGGUGCCCUUUGAGGGAUGGAAUUUCUCUCUCGUGCUUAUGAGCGUAGGGUUUGCUUUGCUGUGGUAGAAUUUUUUCAGAUUAGUCUGUUUUGUAGUAAAACCUAACUUCUGAUUUUCCUGUCUAAUGAACUAAAAUUUCUAAAUGUUGUCACUGAAAAGUAAUUAUAUUAUAGUGUUAUUGGUUAAUACUAAUAGUUUUGGAAUAAAAUUUACUAGAUUAAUAAGCGAAGGGAAUAUUAACUGAGAAUAAGUAAUAAUGUUUUGCAACAGAAAUGGAGUCCUUAUCAACUGGUGUAGGAAGCAAAUCAAAGCCUUGUACCAAGUUUUUCAGGUUCUAAUCCGCUCCUAUCUAAUAAAUAUUUUUGAACUGCUAAUAUUCUUAAUGGUGUUUUAUUAUAAUUAGUUUAAGAAUUAAUUGUUUAGUUGCUUUAGAACUUAAUUGGCCAAUUAACUGGGCAUUCAAAGCUUUUAUACAGGUACGUACUGUUCUUUGUCUAAACAAGGUGUAUCAUAAUAGGGUAGAAAAAGAUAACAAGUGGAUACAAUGUAGUUGGCACCAAGAUCACUUUAUUGGUGAUAAAUUGAUCGUUUCCCACUUAAUGUUAAUGUUUACCUAUCAUCUUAGUUAGUCUGUUUCCCCUGUAAUUAUGUUUAACAUCAAUUUUUCAUCCAUUAAUGGUUUUUAUUGCUUUUGAACCCACCUUUCAAUUGGUAAGCUACUAACAAACUAAUAUGAAUUGAUUUCAAUUGGUUGGGUCAGGUAUUUUGUCAAAACUACAUAUAAAAUUGUGGUGGUUUUGUACUUCAACUGGUAUGGCAGUGCUAGGCUGCAAUGACAUUUUUAUAGCGGAAUUUUGGCAUUCCUCUAUAUUCCACAAUCUUUUCAUUGACAAUGCUGUUUGGUUACCAGUUGGCAAUCUAAAAAGUAUAUUCAUUUAUUUGCAGCUGUAUACUUAUGCUUUAGUUCUUUGAGUGCUAGUUCUUUGAUUUUUUUAAUUCUUAUUGGUGUCUGUCUUUACUGUGAUUAUAUUUCAUAUUGAGUAGAGAUGACAUAAAAUAUUUUGGAUGGGUAAAACUAGAAGCUAUACUCAUUUAUAUUAAGUCUUUUAGGCUGUUUUACUUGUUGCUGUGACCUGAUUGAUCCUAAGAAGUGGGCCUUGAUUGGAGAUCUGCCUGUAUGAAUUUGUCUUUCUUGUGUUUGGCUUAGUGCUAUAGCUGUAUUGUUUCCUUUCCAAUUUGGAGGAACCAUUCUGAAACUUUGUGACCUUUAAGCAUUACAUAUGGGUGAUGUAUCAAUAUAUUAAAAUAUAGUAGACGACCCUGAUAGUCUAAGUUGCUUGUUUGUCCUAUUUUGUAGAUUUUGCUAAAUAAGCCAGUAAUUUCUUCAUGUUACAUUUUAUACUUAAAGAAGUGGAAAUGAGUUUGGUGUAACCUGAUUUUGAAUUGUCUUGCAGCACUUCUGGUUGUCCGUUUGGUGAGGGAUGCCACUUCCUGCAUUACGUUCCUGGUGGCUAUAAUGCUGUUGCCCAUAUAAUGAAUCUAACACCUGCAGCACCUCCAGCAUCAAGAAAUGUGGCAGCUCUGCCACCUGUACCAAAUGGGUCUGCACCACCUGCUGUAAAGACCCGCAUAUGCAACAAAUUUAAUACUGCUGAAGGUUGCAAAUUUGGUGACAAAUGCCACUUUGCCCAUGGUGAAUGGGAACUUGGGAAGCAAAUUGCUCCAUCAUUUGAUGACCAUCGAGCGUUGGGACCGACUGCAGCAGGUCGUUUUGGUGGUCGAAUGGAGCCUUCUCCUGGUCCUGCUACAAGUUUUGGUUCCCAUGCCACUGCCAAGAUAAGCGUAGAAGCAUCCCUGGCUGGUGCAAUCAUUGGGAAGGGUGGUGUGAACUCAAAACAGAUAUGCCGCCAAACUGGAGCCAAACUUUCGAUCAGGGAGCAUGAAUCGGAUCCUAAUAUUAGAAACAUUGAACUAGAGGGAAAUUUUGAGCAAAUCAAGGAAGCUAGUAAUAUGGUGAAGGAUUUGCUACUGACCCUGCAAAUGUCUGCAUCAAAAGCUAACUCAGGUGUUCCUGGUGCACCUAUUCGAGAGCACGGAAGCAAUUUUAAGACGAAGCUGUGCGAGAAUUUNUCCAAAGGGUCUUGCACAUUUGGAGAGAGAUGCCACUUUGCUCAUGGAGCUUCCGAAUUGCGUAAAUCAGUAUGAAGUUUGUGUUUGUGAGGUACAUUAGCCAGAGCUAUUAUUAUUGUUGUGCAUUGCCACUUUAGCAGUACUGAAUGAUAGUUUUGUUGUUGAGUUGUGUUUUAUUUAUAGCGUGUUUUGUUUAUCAAUUGCAACUUCCGCUUAUAUCAUCAAAUUCCUGUUCUCUUUAGCUGACCCACUUAAUUGGAAAUCACGGUUCUUUUCUUUUCCUUAUUAUCUAUCUUGGGGUUGGAGAAUAAUUUUCUUUAGUACGGUAAAGUAAUGUACUUUCUUUAUUAUUAUUUAAUUUAUAUACGAUAAUGUUUUAUUCUUCUAAACGUGUUUUUAUGUAAAAGUAGUAUCUCGAUCUCUUUAAAUUGUGAAAAUUAGUUUUAUUCUAUUUAAAAAUUUAAAAUUCAUAUUUCUAAAAUUACGAUAAAAUGAACGAUUUGAGGUAGAGUUUGGAUUUAGGUAAAUAUUUCGGGAAGACUGAGGGGAUGAAUUGAUGAAGAUAAAGGGUGGAGUUGUUUGGAUGAAAAGAUUUAGAAGAAUGAAUGAAAGGAUUUGAAAAAAAAAAUAUGAAAGGUUGUCUAUGAGUAAGUGAUGAGAAUGAAAUUUAAAAACAUAUUUUAAUAGAUGAAAUUAAAUAAUUAUCUAAAUUGUUAUAAUUAUAAUAAUAAUAACUAUUAAUAUAUAAUAAACACUAAAAUAAUUAUUUAUAUGUAUAUAAGAAAAAAACAAUUUUGUAAAUUAUUAAAAUAUGAUUAUUGUAAUUAUAAUAGUCACUGUUAUUAUUUAUAUAUGAUAAAAAAAUAAAAACAAUUUAUUUUUAUAUAAGAAAAAAAUUAUUUUUUUAAAUUACAAAAAAACUCUUAUCAUAAUUAAAAUAAUAAUAAUACUUAGAUAUAUAAUAAUGAAAUUGUUUCGAAUAUGGGAUCCAAGAUCGAAUGCAGUCUCAAUCACUUUGACUAUAUGUCUCUAAAGAUCCUUUCCGCUCUGCCACCGACCAGUUGUGACAUGUACGUUAGCACUUCGAAGUUCAAGUCAGCAAAGUCACAAUAGAAUCAGUGCAAAGUAUGAUCAGAUCAAAAGGUGUCGUCUAAUCAUUCCUGUAUUUAUAGGCAGCACUCAAGUAAUGGAUAUUAACUAUCUGUAACCGUUGAUCCGUAAUCUCGAAUUCGCCCAUCAAUUGUAACCGUUGCAACGUGUUCGAGAUAUUCACCUUACUACUCCAAUAACCAUGUUUCGGUAUGCUUGCACCUCCUCUUUUACUCAAUCGACCGGCCUAUGGACCAUGUCGAUCAACUCCCAAGCCUUCCCGAUCGACUCCCCUUAUUCCUCUUACCAACUUACCAUCUUCUAUUCGUUUUCACUUGACCGGACACCUCCUUACAUUACAGAAAUAAAAGCUAAUUAUAUAUAUAUAUAUAUAUAUAUAUAUAUAUAUAUAUAUAUAUAUAUAUAUAUAUAUAUAUAUAGGUUUGUUAAUUUAGUAACCUCUUAAAGUAUGCCAAAUUUUAGUUGACAAAAAUACCUUAUUCAUAAAGAAAGACAUAUUUUAGAUAUAAGGGUAAUUUAAUAAUUUUUAUUUUUAAUUUAAAAAAAAAUAUUUAAAUGUCCUGAAAUUUAAAAUUUUAAAAUCCAUAAUUUAUAGAGAUAUUUUUAUCAACUAAAAUUUAGUAUAUUUUUAAAAGUUACAUAAGUUAGCAGACCAUAUAUAUAUAUAUAUAUAUAUAUAUAUAUUUUUUUUUUUUUUAUGGUGAAAAAGUCUAUAGAAGAAUGCAUGAACAAAAAUGAAACAAAAAAGCAUGCACGUAAGGAGGGGAGAAGAAACACAAAACUGAAAAUUUGUUAUUAUUGUAAAAGAAUUUGUUAGUACAUACAUAUCUUAGAGAUGAAAACUAUUAUAACCUUUUUGAUUGUUCUUUCUUUUUUGAAACUUCAUAGAUCUUUGAGAUUCUUCAAAAUGUUUGGUUGAUUGUUCAAGGAAAUUUCAAGACAUCUCUUGUGUUCUUGUUUUACUUUUGUCAGAAAGAUGUAAUGUGCUUUGUGAUUGAAACAAGUCAGAACAAAUACAUACAUACAUGCACACACGCGUGCACACACGUACAUACACACAUAUACAUAUACAUACAUAUAUAUAUAUAUAUAUAUAUAUAUAUAUAUAUAUAUAUAUAAGAUACAAAAAACUGAUGUACGUAAUCAAUUAGGUUAAUUUCUUAAUCAAUUAGGCUUAACUUUUUGUUUUAAUUGAUUGUGUUAAUUCUUUAAUCGAUUAAAACACGCAGUACAUCCAUGUUGUGCUUCUAAUACAUCAUAACUGAUUGUGGUCUUUACUUAAUCGAUUAAUACAACUAGAUUUAUGCACAUUUGCUCUUUUAUGCAACUAAGACUCUUUCAUACAUAAAUUAUGCAUCUAAGACUUUAUCCUAUAUGAGUUUAAUUUUAUUCUAAUAGUUUAAGCACUUAAGAAAGAACAUUUUGCACGGUUUAUCAUUAAAAACACUCUUACCAUACUUAAGAGAGCUCAUAUUCUCAAUAGAUUUUACAAUAAAACUUAAUUAAUAGAAAAUAAGAAAACAACUAUAUAAAGGAAACCUAAGAGUGUGAAGAGUCAGACGUGAAUGCAACCGUAAAAAACAAAAAAAAAAAAAACAGGAAAUUAUAAAGCACGUGGGGUGCCAAGUCCCUUUUUUCCAAUGGUAUAAAUUUUAACAUUUUUAAAGUUUAAAACUAAAAUGUAUCAAAGUUUAGGAUAUGGAUAAAUUCCAAUUUCGCAUCAAAGUUCAUGACCUAAAAACAUAUUUAACUUAAAUGAAUAUAAUGUAAAAAUACAAUAUAUAAAUGUUCUUAUUGAAUUUAGCUUAGAUAAGUUUGAGAUGGAUGUAAACUCUCAAAAACCCAAAUUAUUGCCUUUUAUGAAGAAAGCUCUAAACUCUGAAGAAAAAUGAAGAACAAAUCCAAUUGUAAAUUUUUUUUCUACAAGUCAAGUCAAUAUAUAAGUAAUGUUGAAUGAGAUAAUUGAGUAUUAUUAAGAAAAGACAGUCUAGGAAUCCUUUAUUUUGAACUUUAACAAAAACAUCUAAUGAAAUAGUGUCUAUAAAAAUGAUUUUAUCUAAGAUAAUACACUAAAUGCAAAAUAUGUGUAAACAAGAUUCUAAAUGAUGUAGGUUAUGCUAAAUGAUAUGAUGAACAUACUAGCAUUAACGCUAUAAUACACAGAUUACACUAAAUGCAAUUAUAAACAUCUAACAUUUUAAAUGCCUCUUUAUCCAUGGAGAUCCAUAAAGAACAAAUGCUUUAUUCAAAAGUUGUGCGUUGAUUCAAAAGAAUUUUAAGGAUACGACGAUAGUAUAGGAAUGUUUCUUUAAUGAUUUAUGUCUGUCAUAUCUUUAUAAGUUGCAAUGUUGCCUCUACACAAGCAACAUAGGAUCUAACCUCAUAAUUAAAAAAGGCUACACGCCUACAUCAAAGUCAAUGCUUUAGAGUAACAAAUUUUUUUGAAAGUUGCUUAUAUAAAGAAAGUCACAUGAAGAGAAGACAACAACUAAUAUACUCUUACGUUGUCAAACCUCUCUCUGGCAUAUGUAAUUUAGCUCUUUGAAAAGGAAUUUCUUAGUAAUAUGUUUUUCAGAUAAAUUUUGUAUUACUCAAAUAUCCUCUCUAUGAGAGAUUCUAUUAUACUUGUUUGCAUAAAAACACUUUGUUAUUUUCGGAUAAUGAGAAGUUAUUUUAAAACACUUGGUUGUUUAACUCAUGGGAGUUAAAUGUUUAUAGUCAAUUGAACUACUUUUGUAUAUUAGGAGUGAUUAUACUUGUUGUAAACCUAAAGUGGUUUAUAUCAGGAGUGAUUAUACUUGUUGUAACCUAAAGUGGUUAAACUUGUAUCUUUUCAAAGAUAAUGAAACCAUUUUAUAAAUUUAUAAAAUUAUGGAAUUAUACACUUAUACAAAUACACUUAUACACUUAUAAAACUAUGAAACUAUAAAACUAUAAACUUAUAAAAUUAUAAAAUUACAAAAUUAUAAAUUAUGAAAUUAAAACAUUAAAUAAUUAAAAAAAAUUAAGAUCACAAAAUUAUAAAAUUAUAAAUUUAUAAAAUUAUAAAUUAUAAAGUUCAAACAUUAGAAAAUUUUGAAAUGAUAAGAUUAUAAAGUUAUAAAAUUAUAAAAUUUUAAUGUUAAUUAUGAAAUUAUAAGAUUAUAAAAUUAUUAUUGUAAGGAUCUAGAAAAUAGAAUAUUGGAAUUGAGAGGUGUUUUAAAUUAACAAGGUUAGAUUAUUUUUAUAUUAAAAAUUUAUGAUAUAAAUAAAAAUUUUAAACGCGUCUCAUCAUCUAAAAUACAUAGCACCUCUCUACAACACUUUCUCUAGACUUCUUCUCCCUUCUCUCUUAGCUUUCUAAUCCGUGAGUCAUCUUUUUGAUGAUCAAGAAGUACUUAAGUGAUCAUGACAAUGAGAUCUUCAAUCUCAUCAGAUGGUUUUCUUUAUAGAGUAAGCUAUUUUCUACUACUUUUUUUCUUUGAUUAGUUGUUUUAAGAUGCAUGCAAGUUAAUCUUGUUGCAUGUGUCAUUCAAUCUCUUCUUCUAGUUUCUUGUCAAUCAAUGGUUCUAAGGACUACCCUGAUCAUAAUUAUGUGGUAUGUAGGUACAUAUUGAGUUGAAGCAUGGGUGGUUUGGGUUUUAGAGUUGUCUGAGCUUUCCAUUAGGUAAAGGAAGCUAAUAAUUGAUUUAAUUUCAUAUUAAUGAGUAUGAAUUUACGAUUUAUAGGUUGUGAGAUUGGUCUUUGGUUGAAUAUGUUAUCAAUUGAGAUGAUUGUUGAGUGAUACUUGUGUCUUGAUAAAUGAAUGUUGCUAAUUAUUAUUGUCACGUAUGAUUGUAAAUUAGUACUCUCUCGAACAUUAGAUGUUGUUGUUUUGGUAUAUGAAUAGGUGAAAAAUUGAUGUUGAAUUUGGAAGUAGGAAAUUGGUAAAGUUGUAGGCUGAUUUCAGUCUAAAAGAGGCGAGGCAAGGGAGGUUGUUUGAUAGACGACAUUUUGAGGUAAGGGUUGGUUGGGAAGUUUGAUUAUUUUUUAAUAUUAGCUUACCUUUUUGUGUUUGUUUAUCUUCUUUUUUUGCAACGAUCACUUGAUUGGUAUGAACAAAAGACCGUAUUUCAAUUUAAAAUACUUUAGGCGGCGAUGACAAGAAUGUGUAACUGUGUUUAGAGUAAUUGGUUUCUUUUAGUUGUUUUUAAAAAAUCUUUUGUAAAGAUAUAACUGUUCUAAGUUAAAAUUUCUUAUAUAUAAUGUUUGAGCUUCUUGUAUAUAAUGUUUGAUUUAUGUUUAUACUUUUUGAUGAUUGUAAUGAUACUUAUAUGCUUUUUUUUAUGUUAAGUAUUUUUUUCUUAUUAAUUAUGUGAUAUCCUUUGGUAGUAUUUAAAACUAUUAAAAAUAAAAUGUUAUAAUAUCAUGAUAUUAUAAGAUUAUAAAAUUGUAAUAUGAUAAGAUUAUAGAAUAUUAUAAUAUUAUAAGAUUAUAAAAUUAUAAUAUGAUAAGAUUAUAGAGUUUUAAGAUUAUAAAAUUAUGAGAUUGUAAGAGUAUAAAAUUAUAAAAUUAUAAAAGUGUAAAAUGACUAUAAGAUUAUAAAAUUUCAAAAUCAUAAAAUUAUAAAAUUAUAAAAUUAUAAAUCUAUAGAAUUUUAAAUUACAAAUUAAAAAUUAUAAAGUUAUAAACCUAAAAAUUAAAAAAUAAUAAAGAACUUAAAAUGCAUUAAAUUAUAAAUUUUAAAAAAAAUGGAACCAUGAAAUUAAAAACUGAUGAAAUUGUAAAAUUUUAAAGUCAUAAAAUUAUUUGACAAAAACUAAAGAGGUAAUAAUGAAACAAAAGGUAAUGAAACAAGAGAGCUCUAGUUAACCACUACACACCUACUUAAGAAAAAAAAAAGUCUAAGAAUAAAAAACAAAAACUUGAAUAGAUAAUCAAAUAAAAACUUUCAAAUUUAUCAUAAAUAUCAAAUUUAAUUAAACCAAAUUAUAAUAUACAAACCAAAUUAUAAUAUUACAAGAUAUAUUUAUAAAUAUCUUAAAAUAUUUUAUAAUAUAUUAAGUAUAUAUGUACAUUAAGUAUAUAUAUAUAUAUAAAAUUAAAUAAAAACAUAAAUAAUUUACUGACAACAUGGACGAUCAAUAAUGUCAUGUAGGAGAGAUGGAAACAGCGAAAAAUGUCAUCACAAAUCCAACCCAUAUGUAAACCUAAUAGAUAACAUCAUCAAAAUUAAUAUUAAUACAUUUAUACAUGUCAUCGAGAUAAAAUAAAAAUUAUCUUUUCUCAAUCUUUAUCAUUUUAUUCAUUUAUAGUCUCAUCAAACUCUUUCCUUUCCUGCACUCCUUAUUGCAAAACCCUUCUUUCAGGAUCACCACUCCUAGGGUUAGGGUUUUUCCUCAUUCAGAUUCUAUCAAUUCUUCUUCGUCUUUUCAUUUCCUCUCAUCGCUUGUAAGCUUAAGUUUGUAAGCUUAGGUUUUCUCUGGAAUCUUAUAGACAUAGAACUCGCUAUUUCUUCCGGAUCUAGUUCCAUGGAUACUCGAAAGAGGGGAAGGCUCGAAUCUGGUUUCAACUCCAACGGUGGAUUUAAGAAAUCCAAGCAAGGUUUGAUUUUGAGCAUUUUUGGUUUCCUUGGUUUUGGUAUUUUUCUUCGCUGUGUUUUAUUGGGCUUCAAAAGUUGUUUGCCUUUGUUCGUUUGUGUUUUGUGGGGUGUGCACGUUGAGGGGAGAAAUUUCUCUCUCACUUACUAACAUAGCUUUUGCUGUGGUAGAAUUGUUUUAGAUUUGUCUGUUUUUCAGUAGUUUGGGCAGUGGAAAAUCUAACCUCUGAUUUCCCUGUCUAAUGAACUCACAACGUACGAAAAAUUCUAAAAUGUUGUCACUCAGUAGUAAUUAUAUUAUAAUGUUGUUGGUUGAUAUUAAUACCUUUGGAAUAAAAUGUACUAGAUUAAUAAACGAAGGGAAUAUUAACUGAGAAUAAGUAAUAAUGUUUUGCAACAGAAAUGGAGUCCUUAUCAACUGGUGUAGGAAGCAAAUCGAAGCCUUGUACCAAGUUUUUCAGGUUCUAAUCUAUUCCUAUCUAAUAAAUAUUUUUGAACUGCCAAUCUGUUAUUAAUAGUGUUUUAUUAUAAUUAAUUUAAUAAUUAAUUGUUUAGUUGCUUUAAAACUUAAUCGUGCAAUUUUGCGAAUUAAUUGGGCAUUCAAAGCUUUUAUACAGGUACAUACUGUUCUUUGUCUAAACAAGUUGUAACAAAAAUAACAAGGUAGAAAAAGAUAGCUAUGUUGGUUCCAAGAUCACUUUAUUGGUCAUAAAUUGAUCAUUUCUCACUUAAGGUUUACCUUUCAGCUUAAUUAGUAUGUUUCCCUUGUAAUUGUGUUUAACUGUCAUUUUUCAUCCUUUAAUGGGUUCUAUUGCUUUUGAACCCACCUUUCAAUUGGUAAGCUAUUAACAAACUAAUAUGAAUUGAACUUCAAUUGGUUGGGUUAGGUAUGUUGUUUAAUCUACGUAUAAAAUUUUGGUGGUUUUGUACUUUAUCAAUAAAGCCAACGCAGGUCACCAGGUCACAAACAUGCAUCACCUUGAGAGAUCUAAGCACCCAAAUUCUGAUUUGCUGUUUUGUUUUGCUUUUCUACUUUGCAUAGCAGCACAAUGGUACGAUGUUAGCGAAGGUGUUUUUUGUCUGGUAGUGUUUGUAGUUUACACAUUUAUUUUUUCUAUUGGUUUUCCUUCAUUGCAAUAAGAAAAAUAUAGCACUAUGUGAAUUUCAGGAACACAACACCUAUCCUUUUCUUUUCCUAUUAUGCUAUCGGAGUUCUGGUUUGCUAAAUUCGCAAUGGAGAUUGAACCAUCUCAAGAUCCCUUGUCAUAAUAAUAAUUCCACCCAUAUGCGAACCCAUCUUUAGUUCUCUUUUCUUCCAUUCUUGACGGACCAAACUACCACCAAUCGUAACAUUCCUUUUGGAUGAGCUUGGUCUCUAAGAAUAAGUUGGGUUUUGUUGGUGGGACUAUCUCUGCCCCAGCAUGCACCAGCCGCAUAUAUGGCCUGGGAGAGAGCAAACAUGAUGGUUGUGUCAUGGCUUCUUCAUUCCUUCUUGCCGCACUUCAAGUUCACUCAAGUGAACAAGGCCUAAGCAAAACCCUAAGCAUUCUUAGAUAAUGCAAUUUUUUGUCAUGAUGAAAUCGAUGGCAAGCAACAUCAAUCUGAUUCUUUGAAGGAAAAUCAGGUGCAACAACAUUUUGGUUUCACAAAACCAAGGCCUGAUAACUCUUCUACAAUAGUCACAAAUCUUCAAUGAUAGUCAUCUUUCCAACUAAGUGUUUGUAACUUCCAUUCCCUCCGAUUCAAUAAUACACUAGUAAAACCUUUCCCUCUUUCACUACAGUGAUACUAGAUACUGCAGCCAUUGAUAAUAUUUGUUUGUCUUCUCCAUUUUGCAUCAUAGCAUCAAAUUAAGCCCAUAUAUGUCACCCUACCAAGUGGAAAUGUUUGGAAGUCACACGUCGACUAAAGGUAAUACUAGUUUAAAGCAUAUAAGUUGGUGCAAACUUCACUUUACAAACCAAUUUUGUGGGAUUGAAUUAGACUUAAAGUCUACUUCUUAAUAGGAAAUAAAGUUGUUGCCAAUUACUUAGGGAGUGUUUUUCUAACCUGAAAUCAUGUUUAGCAUGAUGUGGUUUACAUUCCUUGUUUUAAUUUUAAUCUGUUUCAAAAGUGAUUAGAAGUCUCUUAUGUGUCUUCUUAGGAUAUGAAACUGACACAAAAGGGUUCAUCUUAUUGAAUAUUCACACUACAAAGCUGUGUUUCUAUGAAAGGGGGUUUUCGUAUUGCAAAAUAGAGACCAAAGGUAGUGAGGUUGACCGAUGUACUUUCCCCAAUGGUGAAAAUCAUAGCAGUCAAUAUCCAAUCUCCCAAAUCCACGAUCCUCAAGUUCAUAUUCCUAUUAAUGUUAGUCAACCUAUUGAGCCUAAAAUUGUACCAACCACACUCCUAUCCUUAAGCUCAACCUAUCAUACAUCCGAUUCAGAAGAAACAAACUCCCUUCCUACACUUGAAACCACCACACCUGAAACCAAUGUUUCAAUUGAAAUGAACAUUGCAAGUACACCUUCUUACCAUAGCACUAGAGUUAGAAAGCCUUUUGGUUAUUUGAAGGAUUAUUAUUGUUAUAUCAACAUGGUCUCCAAUACCUCUUCCAAGGUUCUCUAUCCACUUUCUCCUAUUUUACCAUAUACACACUUGUCUUCAUGUUAUAAUUCCUAUGUUGUGUUUCAAAAUCAAACGCAAGGCAAAUGGCACAAUAGAGAGAUAUAAAGUUUGAUUAGUAGCAAAAGGUUACACUCAAAUCAAAGGCAUUAAUUAUCUGGAUAUGUUUUCACCUGUGGCAAAGAUAACCACUGAGAGAUUAAUUUUAUCUAUUGCCUCCAUGUUGAAAUGGAAACUAAGGCAACUUGACAUCAGCAAUGCCUUGUUACCUGGUGAGGUCAAAGAAGUUUACAUGAUUGCCCCUCUUGGAUUGAAUAAAGCCUUGUCGGGACAAGUGUGUAAACUACAAAAGGAAUUAUAUGGUCUUGAAUAAAGUUCGCUAAACUUUCCUCAUUUCUUCUCUUUACUGGCUAUCCUUGACUAUUCUUUAUUUGUUAAGUCAUCUAAAUAACUCCUUCACAAUAGUUUUGCUAUGUGUGGAUGAUAUGAUUUUGGCAAGAAAUACUGAUCAAGAAAUAGCACAAAUUAGGCAAGCCCUUGAUGAUCCCAUCUGCAUCAAAGAGUUGGGAGAAUUAUGGUUUUUUCUUGGUUUUGAAGUGGCAUGGACAAAGAAAGGUAUCUUGAUGUGCCUGCGAAAAUUUACGGUGGAAUUACUAAGUGACCCAUGUCUUUUGGGAUGCUAAACAACAUCUACACCGAUUGAUAAUACUAAGAAGAUUUCAAUUGACUCAGAAGAAUUACUUAUGGUUUUCUUAGCUAUAGACGUCUCAUAGGAAGACUCAUGUAUCUCACAAGCACAUGGCCAUAUAUAACCUAUGUUGUGCAAUUCCUUUCUAAGCCGACAACCAUCCAUCACAGUUCUGUCCUAAGGAUCCUUCGCAACAUAAGAAAAAGCACUAGGCCUAGAUUUGUUUUUCCCAUCUGAUUGUGACCUUCAAUUCAAAGCUUAUAGAGAGAAGGAUUGGCCUCUUAUGCUGAUACAAAGAGAUUCCUCUAUAUUCCAAUAUUUUCUGGUUGACAACGCUGUUUGGUUACCAGUUGCCAAUCCAAAAAACAUAUUCAUUUAUUUGCUGUUGUAUAUUUAUGCUUGAGUUCUUUGAAUGCUUGUUCUUUGAUUUUUUUAAUUUUUAUUGGUGUCUGUCUUUACUGUGAUUAUAUUUCAGAUUGAGUAGAGAUGGCAUUAAAUAUUUUGGAUGGGUAAAACUAGAAGCUAUACUCACUUAUAUUAAGUCUUUUAGGCUGUCUAUUAUACUUGUUGCUGUGACCUAGUUGAUCCUAAGAAGUGUGCCUUGAUUAGAGAUGACUGUCUUCUGUUUGGCUUAGUGCUUUCAAUUUGGAGGAACCAUUCUGAAACUUUGUGACCUUUAAGCAUUACAGUGUGCAUGGGUGAUGUAUCCAUAUAUAACAAUAUAGUAGACGACUCUGAUAGUCUAAGUUGCUUGUUUGUCCUAUUUUGUAGAUUUUGCUAAAUAAGCCAGUAAUUUCUUCAUGUUACAUUUUAUACUUAAAGAAGUGGAAAUGAGUUUGGUGUAACCUGAUUUUGAAUUGUCUUGCAGCACUUCUGGUUGUCCGUUUGGUGAGGGAUGCCACUUCCUGCAUUACGUUCCUGGUGGCUAUAAUGCUGUUGCCCAUAUAAUGAAUCUAACACCUGCAGCACCUCCAGCAUCAAGAAAUGUGGCAGCUCUGCCACCUGUACCAAAUGGGUCUGCACCACCUGCUGUAAAGACCCGCAUAUGCAACAAAUUUAAUACUGCUGAAGGUUGCAAAUUUGGUGACAAAUGCCACUUUGCCCAUGGUGAAUGGGAACUUGGGAAGCAAAUUGCUCCAUCAUUUGAUGACCAUCGAGCGUUGGGACCGACUGCAGCAGGUCGUUUUGGUGGUCGAAUGGAGCCUUCUCCUGGUCCUGCUACAAGUUUUGGUUCCCAUGCCACUGCCAAGAUAAGCGUAGAAGCAUCCCUGGCUGGUGCAAUCAUUGGGAAGGGUGGUGUGAACUCAAAACAGAUAUGCCGCCAAACUGGAGCCAAACUUUCGAUCAGGGAGCAUGAAUCGGAUCCUAAUAUUAGAAACAUUGAACUAGAGGGAAAUUUUGAGCAAAUCAAGGAAGCUAGUAAUAUGGUGAAGGAUUUGCUACUGACCCUGCAAAUGUCUGCAUCAAAAGCUAACUCAGGUGUUCCUGGUGCACCUAUUCGAGAGCACGGAAGCAAUUUUAAGACGAAGCUGUGCGAGAAUUUNUCCAAAGGGUCUUGCACAUUUGGAGAGAGAUGCCACUUUGCUCAUGGAGCUUCCGAAUUGCGUAAAUCAGUAUGAAGUUUGUGUUUGUGAGGUACAUUAGCCAGAGCUAUUAUUAUUGUUGUGCAUUGCCACUUUAGCAGUACUGAAUGUUAGUUUUGUUGUUGAGUUGUGUUUUAUUUAUAGCUUGUUUUGUUUAUCAAUUGCAACUUCCGCUUAUAUCAUCAAAUUCCUGUUCUCUUUAGCUGACCCACUUAAUUGGAAAUCACGGUUCUUUUCUUUUCCUUAUUAUCUAUCUUGGGGUUGGAGAAUAAUUUUCUUUAGUACGGUAAAGUAAUGUACUUUCUUUAUUAUUAUUUAAUUUAUAUACGAUAAUGUUUUAUUCUUCUAAANNNNNNNNNNNNNNNNNNNNNNNNNNNNNNNNNNNNNNNNNNNNNNNNNNNNNNNNNNNNNNNNNNNNNNNNNNNNNNNNNNNNNNNNNNNNNNNNNNNNNNNNNNNNNNNNNNNNNNNNNNNNNNNNNNNNNNNNNNNNNNNNNNNNNNNNNNNNNNNNNNNNNNNNNNNNNNNNNNNNNNNNNNNNNNNNNNNNNNNNNNNNNNNNNNNNNNNNNNNNNNNNNNNNNNNNNNNNNNNNNNNNNNNNNNNNNNNNNNNNNNNNNNNNNNNNNNNNNNNNNNNNNNNNNNNNNNNNNNNNNNNNNNNNNNNNNNNNNNNNNNNNNNNNNNNNNNNNNNNNNNNNNNNNNNNNNNNNNNNNNNNNNNNNNNNNNNNNNNNNNNNNNNNNNNNNNNNNNNNNNNNNNNNNNNNNNNNNNNNNNNNNNNNNNNNNNNNNNNNNNNNNNNNNNNNNNNNNNNNNNNNNNNNNNNNNNNNNNNNNNNNNNNNNNNNNNNNNNNNNNNNNNNNNNNNNNNNNNNNNNNNNNNNNNNNNNNNNNNNNNNNNNNNNNNNNNNNNNNNNNNNNNNNNNNNNNNNNNNNNNNNNNAACAAGAUAAAUAGUUUAUAUUGUGAAAAUUUUAGUAUAUUAAUUAGAAUGAGGUUUUAUAUUUAAUGUAUUUCAAUUAAUAUAACAAGAUAAAUCAUUUAUAUAUAUUUAUACGUAGAUUUAAUCUUUAAUGUCAAAUAUACCAAUAGAACUCUCUUUCAUUCUUAUAUAAAUUUAAUAUUUAACUGAGUCAAAAUAGUCUCAUUAUAAAACAUUAAUAUAUUUCACACAUCAUCCAGAUAAUAAACAUCAAAGUAAAGUUGUAGAUUAACUUUUUCUUUAAAAAAACAUGAAAUCUUAGUUCAUCAACUAUACAUAAAUUGUUAAGACAUACCAGUUUUAAAUAUUCAUUUUAUUCCUUCAAAUAAAAUAAAAUCAUUCUUUUCAUAUUUUAAUUGUGAAUAGAAUACUACUUAUAAUUUUAUUUUAAAAAAUUAUUAUUAAAAAUUAUUAUUUUUAGAAAAAAAUCUAUUGUUUAUAUUGCCACACCCCAUUUAAUACCUUCUUUAAUGGGUAUACUUGUCAAAAACCUUUCUAAAUUCUCAUAAUAAUGGCAGACAAAGCCUGUCAGUGCAUUUAAUUCUCCGCCCUCGGUAGACGUGUGGCUGCAAAGGGAAUGUGGAUUUUCAGAUAAUGGAAGCCCUGUGACAGAAAGGGAGUGGACCGAACGUCCAAAUUGGUGGCCAUAUUUAAAGUGAGAUUUUUAAAGGCACCACUUUCUGCAUGCAACCUUUCUCCUUCCUCAAGUUCAUUUUCCAGAACCACCAUUUUCUUCUCCUUCUCUCUAAACCUUCAAACUUCUCUCUAAAUUUCUAACCACCAAUUCUUCUCCGAUCAUCAACUUCAUUUCAGAUUAAUUUCUCUCGGUGUCAAGAGCUUCAAUUUGCACCGAUCAUAAUUCCAUUCUGAACCGACUCUGGACUUUGGAAAAUCAUAGAAGUAGUUGCUGCCCAAGACCUUAGAAGUAUUAGCUGGAAUUAUAGGUAAGGGAAUCUUACAAAAUUUAAUUAUGAUUUCUUUGUAUGAUUGGAUGCAUGACUUAAUGUAUGAUUUUAAUGGUAUGAUGAAAUGUGGUAUGUUGCUGCAUGAAAUGUAUGAUAUGUUUGAUUCUAAUUCUGUACUUAGUGUAAAUGUAUUAAACUUAGAGAAAUGUAUGAAACUUAGAAAUUAUGAAAUCUGUGAUCGAAGGUCAUUAGGACCGUUCGGUCCUCCCCUUUAAAUCGUCCGGUCUUGACUGAAGUAAGUUGAUGACCGAUCGGUCUUGUGAGGCUUACAUUGUUUGCUAUCUACUUUGACUAAUCUGGCUCUUUAAUAAGUCAAGGGAGGUUUUUCCCUCUCGGUUUAGUGUAUAUAAUAUGGUUAAGAGCGUUCGGUCAUAAACCGAGCAUUCGGUCAUACAAGUGUUCGGUCUUAUACUGACACAUCACUUAUGAAACAUUCAAUUUUAUGUUAAUAUUAUUCACCUAUAAACGUUCGAUCUUGUGAAGCACUCGGUCAUAAACCUAGUGCUCGGUCUUAUUAAAUGCUUAGUCAUAAACUAGUAUUGCUAUAAAUUAAAGUACUCGGUCUUACACCAAGUACUCGGUCUUGAAGUGCUCGGUCAUAGACUAGCCUUCAGUUCAUUUUAGUGCUUGGUCUUACACCAGCACUUGAUCUCAAAGUAUUCGGUUUAUAAUAUUAUGUAUUUGUGAAAGUGCUCGGUCUCAUAUUGACACUUGUUUCCCAAAGAGUGUUCAGUCUCGUACUGACACUCAGCCCAUUGAAGAGAACUCUUGUACUCCAAAAACGUUCGGUUUGAUUAAUAUAAGUACUCGGUCUUAUUCAAGUUUUAUUCAGUUAUUGAGCGUUCGACCACUCUCUUAACAGUGUUCUAUUCUGAUGAAUGUGAUGGUGUGUAAUUGGUUGAAUUUGGUUAAGUAAGAGAAUUCUAAGGGAGGGAUAUCUCAUGGAUAAAUGAUGGUUGGUAAAGUAUGAACAUGGUCAGACUCUGUUGUCGUCCUGAUCCUGAUAUUCCGUGAUGACGCUUUCUCAUGUAGAGAAAGGUUCCUCAUGCGUGGGAAUGACAGGAGGUCCGCGGUCAUAAGACCAGAUGAUCGUUGUAGGACUAACCUCGGGUGGCAGCUGAUGAGUAUGCCAGCUACUACACCACACCGGGUGCUAGGGACGUCGAGCUACGUGGUUCAUACAGUCCGGACAGUGUCUAAGUGGUCGGUUAUGAUUGUUUGUACGAUUGGUUUCAUAGCUAUGUAUGUAUGAUUGUAUGAAUGUGAUGUUGCUUAUAUUAUUUUGUCCUUAUGUUUAUAUGUAUGCUGGAAAUGAAUUAAUUAAAUUUACAUAAGCUUACCCUUAUUUGUUCUGUCCUUGCCUAUGUUGUCGUUCGGUAUUUGACCGUUCGGUUUGUUCUCUUCACCGUGAUGAUCAUCCUUUGGGUGUGAGCAGAAGACGUUGUUGAAGAUACCUUGGAGGAUGUUUUACAGACCGCUCAGCCAGAGGAUGGUGUUCUUGAAGAUAGUGCAGGACCGUCCGAACCUUAGGAUAGGUUUUAAUUACUCCCCUUAUGUGUAGAACUGUUCGGUCCACCUUAUGUUUUGUAGGACCGUUCGGUAUACCUUUUGUACUUAGACCGAUCGAUAUUAUUAUGUGAAGCGUUCAGUCGUUUUGUGUACAUUCAGUAUCUUGUAAAAAGAUUAAAAAUUUAUAUGAUAUUUCCUAUCUUUUACCCAUCUAUGUGCUUAAUCAUCACUGUUCUUCUUUAUUAUUUAUAUUAACUCUUAAAAUAAAUUAUAGCUUGUGUUAUAUAUUUAUUGGGAUGUUACAUAUAUAAUAAUAGUAAUAAUAACAAUAACAACAUUUUUAUUAUUUUAUACUUUAAUGUCAUGACAAUGUAUCUAUUUGUCUAUUAAUCGACUGAAUUGAGUGGUGAUAUUUUGUCACCUAAAAACAGAAAUAUCCAUUUGACAGCUUAAAACAUUGAUAUUUUAUUAAUUUUAAUUUUCAGCUACUACUAAAUAAUUUAUAUUUAAAAUUAAUUAUUAAGAAAGUGUUUGUUUUUUGUGUGUGAAACGUGAAACUAUCACUUUUCUCAAAAUUAUUAUCAACCCCAAGUUGGAACCAUGAUUUGCAACUUAGUGAGCUUUCAUGUUACAUCAUAAUUUCUUCCUCCGCCUUUCAUAAUUUCUUCUUAUAUAAUUUUUUAAUUGAAUAACGUGAAAUGUAAAUUUUAUAUUUAAAAUUAUAUAAUAUGAAAUAUGUCUUUUAUUUUACAUUUAUGAAUAUAUAAUCUGAAAAGCAGUUUUUGUAUUUUAAAAAUAUAAUUUAAAAUACAAAAAUUAUACUUUUAAUUGUUCAAUCUAAAAUAAAUAUUUUAUUUUAUAUUUGAGAAUAUAUAAUCUAAAAUAUACAAUAUUAUAUUUCUAAUUACAUAUUCUAGAACUAACAAGUUUAUGGAAAUCCAAGUUGAAAUUAUGGAUAUGCAACAAGAAGGUGCCUACAAGGGCAAGUUCAAAAUUUUAUUUGAAAAGAAAAAUCAAGUUAUAUAAAACCGAAGUCUGGCUUGUACUGUUAAAUAAAACUUAUACUUUCAUAUUGUAUACAACAAUAUACAUUUAUUUUACAGUCUAAUUUAACAAUAUAAUAAAAUUUAUAUUAAAAUAUAAAAAACUUGCUUAAAAUAUUAAUUUGAACUGAGGUAGUUUUUUUAAGGAAACAUGAAUGUAUCAUCUCUCUUAAUAUUUAAAAAAAAAAUUAAAAUUUUGAAAUCCUAAUCUUGCACCCCCACACACUUUCUCCUCCUCAUGCCUCCAUUCUCUCCUUUCUCCUCCACGGUUCUACAAUUUGUGUUCUAUAUAAAAGACACAAAAUUGAUAAUUUUAAUUAAUUACAUUAUUUAUUUGAUCAAUUAAAAUUUACACAUUAUUUUAAUCGUUUAAAAUUUUAUUGUAGACAUUUUAAUCAAUUAGAUUAUUUUUCUAAUUUAUUUUAAUCAAUAGAUAUUUUACGUAAUCGAUUAAAACAAUAAAAAAAACCCAAAAUUUUAAUCAUUUAACAACAAUUAACAGUAUGCUUAUUUCAUAACAAUAAACUUAUUUCACAAGUAGAUAUAAUCUCUAUACAAUUUUACAAUCUAUUUCUCCCAAGAAAGAAAAAAAGAACAUUCAUUUUCAUCAUCAAUUAAAAAAACAUUUAUCAUCAUAAAAACAUCACAAAAAACAUAUUAUAUAUAUAUAUAUAUAUAUAUAUAUAUAUAUAUAUAUAUAUAUAUAUAUAUAAUAUAUAUAUAUAAAAUAUAUAUAUAUAUAAUGUUAAUUUAGUUAAAGAGAUUUAAAUACUUGAAUUAUUCUCUCAUGUUUUCAUUUCAUUUUAUAUUUGAUUAUGUUAUAUUAUUUAUCAUUAGUGUCGUGUUUGUAGUGUAUGUCUAACAAUUUUUGUUGCAAUUUUUUUUUAAAAAUAUUAUUAAAAAUUAUUAAUACAUAGGAUUAGACAAAACUUGAAAUCAUCGUAACUAAACCCACAAAUUCGAAUAUUCGACUAAUUGUUUUAACGUAUGUUCUAAGUGUUUCUUUAGCUUACUUACCUAAUCACGUUUUGGCAACGUUAAUUACAGUUAAAAGUUGCGGUACAAUUUAUAGUUGACAAGUAUGAACUAUUAUGUCCUUUGCAAGUUGUAAUUUUCUUUAAUGUUAAUGACGUCACUGUUACGUAAUCCAGGUUUUUUUUUUAAAACCAAUUAAUCAAAUUAAAAUUAAUUUAGCCUUAUCGUUUAAUUAUUUGCAUAAUUAAAUUUAUUUACCUAAAGAAUAUAUAUAAUUAAAUUAAAUGAAAAAAGAAUAGUAAAAUAAAUCUUCAUAACUAAUUUUAUCAUCUCAUCCUCAAAAUUUUGUUUUGUUAUUCUUAAAUUUAAGUAAAUUUGAGUAAUAUUUCCUCAUUAUUAAAACUGAAAAAUUCUUAUUUAAUUCUUUAUGCUCUUAAAUUCUCUACUCUGUAAAUUGAAUUAUGCUUUUCUUAAUCUAAGAUUUAUUCUUUUAUUUUGUUUAACUUGUUUGAAUCUUUUAAUGAAUCUCUAUGUAUAUAAAAAAAAAAAUCUCUAUUUUAUUUUUAUUUAAUAUGUCAUAUAAGAAGUUGUCUUUAAUUUUUCUCUUUAUACAAAAAAUUUUAUUUUAUUUUAUUUUUUUUAAGUAAAUAUAUAACAAAUUUAUGUGAAUUUGAGGCUACCUUUUGUUCAUUUAGUAUAGUUUCAACAAAUUAAUACGUUCGAGAAAGAGUCGUUAUAGAAUCAUUAUAGACAAGAGUCAUUAUAGACGUAAAAUUAUAUGAAGGUAAUAUAAAUAUUAGGAAGUUUAUUUGAUUUAAUUUGCAAUAGUUUUAUGCAAAGUAUAGUGUGGUCACAAAUGAUGGUUUAUUAUUAAAAAUUAUAUGAAAGUUUGUAAUUGAGCCACUGAAAGAACUAAACACUUCAUAACUACACCAUAAACAGAAUCUAUCCAAAUAUUUCCUAUAGUUGAUUAAUUCAUGAUUUGAGAAUAAAAAAAUAAUAAAAUAGAACUCGUGGAUUAUUGUAAUAUUUACCUUUAAAAUCAUAAUAUUUGAUAAUAAAAAAAUAUGGAAAAGGAAUAGUUGAUGACUUCAUAUCUUCAUUCUGAAAUUUAUAUAUGACUUUUAUUUUCUUCAUUAUUUGAUUUUUCAUAGAAUCGUCAUAACACAAUACCAUGAUAUUGUUUAUUUAUUGAAACGGAAGUGAUACAUAACGAUACAGUACAGUGAAAACACUUUUACAGUAGUAUCCAGUAACAACACCCCCAUCCACUCUCCAUAACAAAAAUGGAGAGAAAAGGGGACAAACAAGAAAAAAAAAAAGAGCAUGAACACAAAACAACGACGCCGUUUUUAUUAAACCAUUGCUAAUAACUUUUGAUGAUAGUAUAAUCAUCUUUAUUUAACUGUAAGUACCUCCAGUCCCAUGGUGGAAUCCCGUGGGAUGACCAUGCAAACCGGUGGCCCCCUGUUUCGCCGCCGAGUUAUACUCACUCGCCGCAGCGUUAUGUUGACGCGCCGCCUGCUUGUCCAGCUCAGCCUGGUCGACCUUAGCUUCCUUCUUCUGGGUUGCUAAUUCCUUUUCCAACGGAUCACGUGUUGUCAUUUUUUCUGCCUGGUUAUAGCACAAGCACAUUUAUAAUUAAGUAGGUGACAAAUGAUGAAUAUUUUAUGAAAAAUAUGAUAGUAAGUAUUAAUAUAAUGGUGUUAUGCAAUAACGGAUUGAAAAAAAAAAUGGUUGAUAUACCUUCUCUUGGACAGUGGCCUUGGUCUUCUCCAUGCCAGCUUUUGCAGAAGCACCAAUGUUUGAAGCCUUUUCCUUCAUUGAUUCUCCUGUUUUCUUUCCUCCCUGCAUUUUUUAACAAUUGGUUCUAUUAUUUUCUUUCUUUCUUUCCUUCUCAGACUUGGUUUUCUUCAGCUCACUGUAUCAGACUCAAACAUCCCACACCGAAUAAAUAGAUUUAGGUGCUACGAUAUCUUUCCCGCACCAGCACAUGCAGCAGUACGCGUGGCAUGUUUCUCGGCCUAGUUUGGUUCAUCUUCUUACACGUAAUUGCCGCGUGUCAGUUAGCUACGACCUUCAACACUGAUGAGGUUUCCAAUGUUAAGGACGCGUGGCUGUAUCUUUUUAAAAUCUGUAAUGAAAUUUGAUUUUAUCUAUACAUAAUCUCAGUUUUAUUUUUAUAUAUCCUGUCUUCAAAAAAAUAUCAUUAUUUCUAUUAAACUUAUAAUUAUUAUAUUAUUGUUUUGAAAAAUAAUAUAACAUUUUUCCAUUGAUUAUAAACAUGAAUGAUGUUAAGUUAAAGUGUGACAAGUUAGAUAUAUAAAGUUAAAAUAAGUUAUAUUUGGGUUAAUUCUAUUCAUGACAAGUUUUUAUUGAAUAGAGUCAUGUUAAAGUAGAUAUUAGGCUUAUAUUUAUUUGGUUUAGUUGAGUUAGACUUAUCUGUAAUCAAGUUAAUUCAAGUUUAUCUUUAAUUUAAUUGAGUUAUGAACAUUUUAAAUGGAGUCAUAUCAUAUCUGUUCUAAGUUUAGGUAAGUCAGAUAUGUGUUGAGUUAAGUUAAAUUCACAUUUAACCAAAUUAUCACAGGUCCACAUAAAUUGGUUAAAUCAAAUACACUUUAGACUGAGUUAAGUUGAAUCUACCUCAUAUUAGGUUAAAUAAGAAAGUUAGUUUAAACCAUUUUAAUAACUCAUAUCAAAUCAAGUUAUACUAAACUCAUCUUAAGUAGAAUUUAGUUAGACCAAACUCAAAUUAAAUAUUAAUUAGCCUACCUUAUUCAAAGUCGAGUCAAGCUCAACAAGUUGAGAUAAAUAAGAAAGUUAGUUUAAACCCAUCUUAAUAACUCAUAUCAAACCAAGUCAUACUAAACUUAGCUUAAGUAAAAAUUAGACCAAACUCAGAUUAAAUAUUAAUUAACCUAUUUUAUUCAAAGUCGAGUCAAACUCGAAAAGUUGAGAUAAGUCUACUUCUAAUUAACUGAGUUAAGUUGAACCUACUUCAUAUUAUGUUAAAUCAGAAAGUUAGUUUAAAGCUAUAUUAACAAUUAAUAUUAAACCAAGUAAUACCAAAAAGUAUUUGAGUAUUAAUAAACCUAUUUAUGCAAAGUCGAGUCAAGCUCAACAGUCACUACAAGAAAAAACUGAAUUACAUACAGCCAAAAGUCAUAUAUAAAGCCCAAAAUUUGUAUAUAACACUUGGUUACAUACGGCUUAUAUACGGACAAAAAUUCAUAUAUAAAAUUGUUGUAGCUAAAUUAUAUACGGAUAUAUUCGUAUAUAAAUUAUAUACGGAUUUAUCCGUAGGUAAUUUAUAUACGGAUUUAUCUGUAUGUAAUUUAUAUACGGAAAAAUCUGUAUAUAAAAUCCGUAUAUAAUUUAUAUACGAAAAAAUCCAAAUAUAAAUUCGUAUGUAAUUUAUAUAUGAAAAAAUCCGUAUGUAAUUUAUGGUUUUAUAAAAAAAAAUAAAUGAUCUCACAUUUGCACUCAAUAACUAAGAGGUGUGAUAAACUAUGUUUUAAUAAUAAGAAAAAUAUAUAAGCACUUAUACUUUAACAAUAUAAAAUCCAAACAAUUAGAAACGUAAAAAAUAUUAAUAUAUUAAAAAUAUAAAAGUAAACAAGAAUUUAGAUGAAUAAAAAAGAGAUAAAAUGUAAAAGGUUAAAAGCUCUUUUUGGUCCCAGUUUUGGUUGGAAAAAUUCGAAAUGGUCCCUAGGUUUAUUUUGUGUUCAAUUUCGUCCCAAAGAACAAAUUUGGUGUUCAAUUAAGUCCUUUUUAGUAACUCUGUUAAAAUUCUUAACGGCAACGUGUCCAGAUGUGCAACUGCUGAGUGAGGUGUAAGUUUUUUGCUGACUGAGAAUCCUUUUCAGUUGGAAUCAGAAUUUUAGAAGGGCAAAGUAGGCAAAAAGGGGUUUGCCCCGUGAGAGUGCGCCACGUGUUCGCUCCCUUUCCACCCAAAAUUAGGAUUCAGAUUUGGGAAAAAGAGGUUUCCCCCUGGUGUGCCUACGCAAAUCGGAAAAUGUUGGAGGCUGCCACAGUGGUUCCUGAUGGGUGUCGCAGCUCAUACAAAUUUAAUUGCAUAUUAAGAAUGCAGUAUAGUGCUAGGAAGUGACUCCUAGGUCGUCUCUCAAGGACCAAACUGUGGUUCGAGUCUCAGGUCAAACACGAAGUGGGAAGGGGGGGGGUUUGAAAGUGUGUUGCAAAAUUUAACUAACUCAAUAUAAAGACAUGGAUGCAAACAAACUAAUUAAAGCUAGCAUGGUAAUUAAAAUAACCCUAUUAAAAACCUUAGACAACAUUCAAACAUCAAAAACUCUUGCAAACAAAUUAACAAACACAGUUAAAAUUAAUUAAACUCAACACUAACUCAAACACAUGAAGACAACUCAACCUACUAAUUAAACUAAGUGAAAACAAGAGAAAUUAACAAGCCUAUNNNNNNNNNNNNNNNNNNNNNNNNNNNNNNNNNNNNNNNNNNNNNNNNNNNNNNNNNNNNNNNNNNNNNNNNNNNNNNNNNNNNNNNNNNNNNNNNNNNNNNNNNNNNNNNNNNNNNNNNNNNNNNNNNNNNNNNNNNNNNNNNNNNNNNNNNNNNNNNNNNNNNNNNNNNNNNNNNNNNNNNNNNNNNNNNNNNNNNNNNNNNNNNNNNNNNNNNNNNNNNNNNNNNNNNNNNNNNNNNNNNNNNNNNNNNNNNNNNNNNNNNNNNNNNNNNNNNNNNNNNNNNNNNNNNNNNNNNNNNNNNNNNNNNNNNNNNNNNNNNNNNNNNNNNNNNNNNNNNNNNNNNNNNNNNNNNNNNNNNNNNNNNNNNNNNNNNNNNNNNNNNNNNNNNNNNNNNNNNNNNNNNNNNNNNNNNNNNNNNNNNNNNNNNNNNNNNNNNNNNNNNNNNNNNNNNNNNNNNNNNNNNNNNNNNNNNNNNNNNNNNNNNNNNNNNNNNNNNNNNNNNNNNNNNNNNNNNNNNNNNNNNNNNNNNNNNNNNNNNNNNNNNNNNNNNNNNNNNNNNNNNNNNNNNNNNNNNNNNNNNNNNNNNNNNNNNNNNNNNNNNNNNNNNNNNNNNNNNNNNNNNNNNNNNNNNNNNNNNNNNNNNNNNNNNNNNNNNNNNNNNNNNNNNNNNNNNNNNNNNNNNNNNNNNNNNNNNNNNNNNNNNNNNNNNNNNNNNNNNNNNNNNNNNNNNNNNNNNNNNNNNNNNNNNNNNNNNNNNNNNNNNNNNNNNNNNNNNNNNNNNNNNNNNNNNNNNNNNNNNNNNNNNNNNNNNNNNNNNNNNNNNNNNNNNNNNNNNNNNNNNNNNNNNNNNNNNNNNNNNNNNNNNNNNNNNNNNNNNNNNNNNNNNNNNNNNNNNNNNNNNNNNNNNNNNNNNNNNNNNNNNNNNNNNNNNNNNNNNNNNNNNNNNNNNNNNNNNNNNNNNNNNNNNNNNNNNNNNNNNNNNNNNNNNNNNNNNNNNNNNNNNNNNNNNNNNNNNNNNNNNNNCAAAGACAAGCUUACAAGCUCAAGCUCCAACAUCAACAACAAGGAAAUGAAGAGAGAAAUGGGUGGUCAUAUACUUCUACCAAGCCAAGACAACUAAGAUUAAAGCAAGAGAGGAAUAAAAUCUGCAACUUUGUUCAUUCAUAUAGCCCAAAACCGAAAAAUCCAUGGCAAGCUCCAUGAGAGUGUCUUCAUACAUGAAAACCUAGAGAAAGUGAGCCAAAAACCAUGUAAAAUGAAAGUGGCUAGUGUGUGUCUCGGUAUUGUCUCUCAAUAUGAUCGAGAAUCACCCAAUGGUGGGGUCCACACACUAAAACAAAACCUUAGACUAAAAGCCACAUGUCCUACAAAGUGGGCUUUUACAAAAAUGCCCCUAAAAGGGUCCAAAACACCUAAUUCUAAUUAAGUUCUUCUAGAAAACGAAAUUACAACUUAAUUAAAAUGGAAGUGACUAAAUGUUGAGUCUUGAAUGAUCACGCCACCUUCACUAAUGCUCCAAAUGAUGUUUCCCAAAAUUUUCCUGUAACCAAAAUGCACUUAGUCAGCUCAGAAAACCCAAAUUAGCACAAUUACGAAUUUCCGACCAAAUUAAGCAGAAUUUGGAAAACGGGGAAAUAACAGACAAUUAAACACAAUUCCCUGGUUUAUUUAAGUGCAAUAAACUAAAUAUAGUUCAAGAAAUAACGACUCAUCAAAAUAGACCACACUUAGUCUUUUGCACUCCUGGGCAAAAGCAAGACGAAAACCAGGGAACUACUCAAACAUCAAGGAGGUGACACAGACUCGACAGACAGAUAACAACGACUCACAAAACAGAAACAUAGUUGCACAAUUCUCACAAAAUCUGGACAGUGAAAGGAAGUGGGCAGUAUCCAACACAAAAGAAAUGAAAGCAAAUACUCACAGAAUCAUCCAAACAAUUCAGUCCAUGGAAAACAGUCAAUCAGUUUAAGAGAUGAAUCAAGAGCAACAGAGCCUCACAGAUGCACACAAUCAGUGUUUCUCUCAAGUGUUUAAGGUAAAUCAAUGUCACUCAAUGCACUCAAGAAAGCAAACACAAAUAGACUUGGCAAGCCUCUAAUAUCAACACUAAAACACAUAUGCAUGUUCAAAUCAAAAGGUCUUUUCAUGGUUGUAAUGGGGCCAAGGACAAGGGAGGAUAUAUCUCGAUAAGAAGCUACAAACCAUAAAAAAUAGAGGAGCAAUGGGGAACAAGUGUAAACACAUUCAAACACACCCACAACCUCUAAUUCCAUCCUCUUCUUGACUCCAUUAUUCACAAUUUUUUUUUCUUCUGUAUUUUCGCGAAAUAAGAAUGAUAAUAGUGAAAAUAUAAACACCAAAAACACAUAGCAUAGUUCAAAAAUGAUUUAGAAAAGAUAAAAAAAGCAUUCAACAACUAUAAUCAAACAGAGUCGAUUGACAUGUUAUAUAAAAAUCAGAUAUAAAUCAUUCCAAACUAAUUAUGAAGCCAUCUGACGGGUUCAUAAUAUGACCAAUCUCACGUGUUCAAAAUAUCGAAAGCAUAUCUCAUAGCAUAAUGUCAGUCUAGGCACAAGAAGCACAUGGGUUUCAAUGGUUAAGAUUGACUUAAGAGUCUAUAACUCGAAAUAUGUGGAAUCAAGAUAUUCUUGGGAUGGGGUAGUUGUUGUCUUGUCAACUGGUGAUAAUGAAGAAACCAUUUUUAAGGACUGUAACCAAUCAAGUCAUUUUUGUCUCACUGUUAGCAAUGACCUCUCUACUUCAUCAAAAUAAUACUAAAUAAUUUCUGAUAAGUCAACAAUACUUACAAGUUCUUUUUUCAAUUGUUCUAUAGUUUUUUCCAGUUCAGUAAUAUGCUGACUCAGAGCCUACACAUUUCACACAAGACCAAAUGUAACAUCAUAGAUACGAAGUCAGAAAUAGAUCAGUAAUUCUCAUAUAGAAAACAGGAACCUCAUGUCGUUGCAUGGCUACGUACAUGUCGCUUUAGUGCCUUUCCCUUCGUUAGAAGGUUUCUUACCCUCAGAUUAAUUGGCCGCCUAUAAUUCUUUCCACGAUAGUAAAUAAGAGCAAAUCCUUUGGAAACUUUUUGUAUUGCAACCAGUACUCCGCCACUCUCAUAUUCAAGUAACCUUGUUUUGUCUUCCACAAAAAGAGUCUUUUGUUAUGUCAUCAAUUUUACAAGUUCUCGGUGUUUCCAAUGCAAAUGCAUAUACUCGACAAGACCAUCAAAAGCACCACGUAUACCUGGAGAUUAUCAAAGAAAGAUAUCAACGUUGCAUUGCUAGAACAGAGCAACUUCUGUAUAGUUCAAAAUUACUCACCAAAUGGUAAGUAUGGUUUCAUUCUUAAAAUAACUUUAUGGAACAUAACACGUUCUUCAUUUGUGAUUAUUUCCUGGGCAUAAUCAUGACCAGCUGGAACCAUCGACGCUUCUAUUUUAGCUAAGAGCUUUUCUGCUCUAUGCUUUUUGAUCUGGGCCUAUUCAGACAAUAGAAUAGAAAAUAUGACAAAACAGAAAACACAAAGGCCAUAUGAGAAUACAAACGAGAAACCGAAAAAUAACCUUAGUACCAAUUCCAAUGUUCCCACUCAAUAUCUGCUAACAAACGAACAACAUCUCCAAAAUUAAAUUAGGGUUUUCUGGAUUUUCAAUUUUAGGGUUUUCUGAAUCAAGAUUAGAGGGUAUUAAUUACCUGAGGAAGAAACUUUGUGAACGUGAUCGACGACGCCAUGGCCAGAGGGAGUAACGCCGAGAUGGACUGACAACGAGAAGGAAUGAUGGCUACAGAGAGUGAAAGCUAGAGGGAGUGAUAGGGAGAGAGAGUCACGACGAGAAGACGACAAUGACUCACGGUGGCAGGGACUGGCGGCAACUACGCACUGACGACGAUAAGGUAGGAGUGAAGGCAAAAGUGAGGGCAGUGAUCUCGCAAAAAUCAGAGGGAGGAAGAACUACGAGGCGUAAAAUGAAAACAUAUAGUUUUACUUUUAUUUUUUAUUAAUUUUUAAUAAUUUAUUUUAAAGUUCUGUAUAUAACAUCUAGGGAUGGCAAAAAAAUAUGUGCCCACGGGUAUCCGCAGAUAAAAUUCGCUAUGGGUAUUUAGUACCCGCGAGUAUCUUUUACCCGCGAGUAACGGGUAGCGGGUAUUUUAAUACCCGCUUGUUAACGGGUCAGGUUCGGGUAUCACACUAUCCAUGCCCGCGGGUACCCGUUACCCGUUAAAAAAAUAAAAUUACAUAUUUAUUCCAUAUUAGGUUUAAGAAACUGAAGGUUUUCUUUCAUUUUCAAUAUUAAUUAAUGGAAGAUUUUUUGAUGAUCGAAAAAUGGUUCUAGUAAUAAUGACUUUUCUUUCAUUUUCAAUACUAAUUAAUGGAAGAUUUUUGAAAAAAGGUUCCACUAAUAAUGACUUCUCUUUCAUUUUCAAUACUACUUAAUGGAAGAUUUUUUGAUGAUCGAAAAAUGGUUCCAGUAAUAAUGACUUUUCUUUCAUUUUCAAUACUAAUUAAUGNNNNNNNNNNNNNNNNNNNNNNNNNNNNNNNNNNNNNNNNNNNNNNNNNNAAUAAUGACUUUUCUUUCAUUUUCAAUACUAAUUAAUGGAAGAUUUUUUUAUGAUCGAAAAAUGGUUCCAGUAAUGAUUUUUCUUUCAUUUUCAAUACUAAUUAAUGGAAUAUUUUUUAAAGAUCGAAAAAUGAUUCCAGUAAUAAUGACUUUUCUUUCAUUUUCAAUACUAAUUAAUAGAAGAUUUUUUUGAUGAUGUUGGAACAGGAAAAGCCCAAAACCUUUUGGACGGCUGAUGUUACAUAUUUCCUUCAUGGAAAUCUAAAAUAUUUUUUUAAAAACAAAAUAUUUUUUUAAUAAUAUUUGUGGGUAUCCAACGGGUAUCCGCGGAUUGAAAAAAAUCUGCGGAUUUUUUUUAUACGGGUAUCCGACGGGUACGAGUACACUUUUUUACAUGCGGGUCGGGUUCAGGUAUCACACUAUCCGACCCGAACCCAACCCGUUGUCAUCCCUAAUAAUAUCUCUAUGUAACUCUCUUUUUAAUAUCUGUAUAUAAAAUCUGUAUGUAAAAAUCAGUAGAUAAUUCCUAUAUUUCUUGUAGUGAGUAAUUAACUGAUCAUAUUAAGUUAAAUGUUAAAUAUGAAAUUUAGUUUAAAUCCAUCUUAAUAACUCAUAUAAGUCUAGUAAAAUUUAAACACCUGCGAGUCAAGCUUAAAGAUGGAAUAUUAAUGAACCUACUAGUCAAGCUCACCUAAGUCCACUUAGAAACUUUAGUAAGCUCUCGUUAGCUCUCUGUCUGCAAUAAACUCACUCUCUGCAAUCAGUUGUCUAUCUGCAAUCAGCAAUAAGCUCGCUCUCUGCAAUCAGCAAUACACUUGCUCUCUCGUUCUCUCGGCAAUAAGCUCGCACUCUCUCUAAACUCGCUCUCGCUCUCUGCAAUAAAAACUCGCUCUCGCUCUCUGCAAUAAAAACUCGCUCUCGCUCUCUGCAAUAAAAGCUCGCUCUCUCACUCUGCAAUAAGCCCUCUCUCUCUGUGCAAUAAGCCCUCUCUUUCUAUGCAAGUCGAAUCCAACUCAACUUCUAUUUAAGUUAAAGUUCUCUUAUGUAAAUGUAAAGAAUAAAAAGGUAUAAUGCUAUUCUUGCCAACUGAGUACGUUUAUUAAAUUAAAGAGGCUAUUAAAUAGCACUCAUGUAACAGAAUAGAUAACAACUAAAAAAUAAAAGUGCCUAGAAAGUAGGCAUUAUUUAUGCAGUAACAGAAAGUGCCUACAAAUGAGGCAUUAUUAUGCAAAAUAAAAUAUCUCUUCAUUCCCUCCCUUAAACUGACUUCCAGCAUGUCAGUUUAUUUCAAUAAAUCAACCAUUUCCAUCUUCUUCAUAAUCAGAAUUUGUGAAAGCGAGUAUAUUUUCUUUUUUAACAGCUUCCUCAAAUAAAAUUGGAUCUUCACUUGUGACAUCUUGUAUUAUAUAGGUUAUCUCAGCUUCAUCUUCUUCACUUAAUCCUUCUCCAGUAACAAAGUCUUCCAUCCAACUUGGCUUUCUUCUUUCUCUCCCUUGAAUUAUGUGUUCCUGUGAAUUCAUUGUUGCUUCAUUUCGAAUGACACUUUCAUUAUGUUCACUAUUCGCACCAUCACUAUCAACUUCAAUAUUUUCUUCAAAUUCAUCAAUAUGUAACUUAUCAUCAUCACCCCACAACAACUCAGUUUCUAUUUGCUCUUUAUAAUUUGGACCUCAAUCCCAACUCUUCUCUUCUUCAAAUAUAACGUCUUUACUAAUAACAAUCCUCUUUGUCUUAGGAUUAAAUAGACGAUAACCCUUGGACUCUUCACUAACACCCAAUAAAAUACAAGGAAAACUUUUAUCAUCAAGCUUACCUCUUUUUGCCUCUGGUAUGUGCACAUGAGCCAGGCAUCCCCAAACUCGAAAAUGGUAUAUUGAAGGUUUAAUUCCACUCUAAGCUUCUUGUGGAGUGAUGUUCCUCACAACAUGCGUUGGACAUCGAUUCAAUAAAUAAAAUGUCCAGUUUACAGCUUCAGGCCAAAAUAACUUGGGAACCUUUCUGGCAGAGAGCAAACAACGUACCAUAUUNNNNNNNNNNNNNNNNNNNNNNNNNNNNNNNNNNNNNNNNNNNNNNNNNNNNNNNNNNNNNNNNNNNNNNNNNNNNNNNNNNNNNNNNNNNNNNNNNNNNNNNNNNNNNNNNNNNNNNNNNNNNNNNNNNNNNNNNNNNNNNNNNNNNNNNNNNNNNNNNNNNNNNNNNNNNNNNNNNNNNNNNNNNNNNNNNNNNNNNNNNNNNNNNNNNNNNNNNNNNNNNNNNNNNNNNNNNNNNNNNNNNNNNNNNNNNNNNNNNNNNNNNNNNNNNNNNNNNNNNNNNNNNNNNNNNNNNNNNNNNNNNNNNNNNNNNNNNNNNNNNNNNNNNNNNNNNNNNNNNNNNNNNNNNNNNNNNNNNNNNNNNNNNNNNNNNNNNNNNNNNNNNNNNNNNNNNNNNNNNNNNNNNNNNNNNNNNNNNNNNNNNNNNNNNNNNNNNNNNNNNNNNNNNNNNNNNNNNNNNNNNNNNNNNNNNNNNNNNNNNNNNNNNNNNNNNNNNNNNNNNNNNNNNNNNNNNNNNNNNNNNNNNNNNNNNNNNNNNNNNNNNNNNNNNNNNNNNNNNNNNNNNNNNNNNNNNNNNNNNNNNNNNNNNNNNNNNNNNNNNNNNNNNNNNNNNNNNNNNNNNNNNNNNNNNNNNNNNNNNNNNNNNNNNNNNNNNNNNNNNNNNNNNNNNNNNNNNNNNNNNNNNNNNNNNNNNNNNNNNNNNNNNNNNNNNNNNNNNNNNNNNNNNNNNNNNNNNNNNNNNNNNNNNNNNNNNNNNNNNNNNNNNNNNNNNNNNNNNNNNNNNNNNNNNNNNNNNNNNNNNNNNNNNNNNNNNNNNNNNNNNNNNNNNNNNNNNNNNNNNNNNNNNNNNNNNNNNNNNNNNNNNNNNNNNNNNNNNNNNNNNNNNNNNNNNNNNNNNNNNNNNNNNNNNNNNNNNNNNNNNNNNAACUCAAACUCCCUUCUCAAUGCAUUGAGCAUUGAUUUCUUCACACGAUCAUUUCCUCCAUAUUUUCUUUUCAAAGAAUCCCAAACCAUAUGAGAUGUGCUCCUAUCCAGAAUUUGUUCGAAAAUUGAUCUAUCAAUGGCCCUGAAGAGGUAAUGUUUGACUUUGUGAUCUUCAAUUCUGGAUUUCUCCAACUGUUCUGAUUCUUCACUAGACAGAACAGUACCCUCCACAGGCUCUUCAACACCAUUUUUAAUCAGAUUCCAGAGACCCUUGGCACAUAAAAAAUUAUCCAUCAAUUCACUCCAAUGAUUAUUCAUCUUUGUAAGCUGCAGCUUCUGUUCUGAUACCAUUUUGUAAAGAAUAAAAAAGUAUAAUGCUAUUCUUGCCAAUUGAGUACGUUUAUUAAAUUAAAGAGGCUAUUAAAUAGCACUUAUGUAACAGAAUAGAUAACAACUAAAAAAUAAAAGUGCCUAAAAAGUAAACAUUAUUUAUGCAGUAACAGAAUUAUUAUGCAAAAUAAAAUAUCCAAAUCCAACUCAACUUCUAAUUUAAGUUAAGUCUCCAAGACACGAAAAUAUUCAAGUUAGAUCCAAUCAUUUACUAAGUUCAUUUAGUAAGUUGAGUCACAAUCUUUACACCAUCUCCAAUGGAAUAAAGUUAUCUCCAUGCCAAUUCUAAAAGUGCUUAGUUUUUGUCAACCUUGUGUUAAGUUUAUCUUCUUACACAUAAAUAUAUCAAAAAAAACUCUCAAUAACUUUAUCUUCUUGACUUUGUAUUCGCAAAAAGUCUCAAUAACAAUCUUAUUGAUUUUGUAUUCCGAAAAACUCACAAUAACUAUAUCUUUAACUAGUUUUCUUAUUAAAAUUAAUAAAGUUAAUUUAUUUAGAUUUGAUCAAUUUCAUUGAAAUUCGGUUUCUUAUUAGUUGAUUUAUUUAUUUGGAUCUAAUGGAAUUCAUCCCAACUUAAAAUGAUGAGUUUAAGUAUAUAAUGUACGAUUUGAUUUUUUAUUUUUCAUUUUCAAAUAAAUUUUUCAAAAAAAAAUAACUUUUUUUUUUUAUUGAAACUACAUACGGAUACGGUACAGUGAAAGAAAGCACUUUUACAGUAGCUAGUAACAACACCCCAUUCACUCUCCAUGACAAAAACAGAGGAAAAAGGGGACAAAAGUAUAAAAAGAAAUAGCAUGAAGAAAAACAACUACAUGGUUUAUAUUAAACCGUUGCCAAUAACUUUUGAUGAUAGUAUAAUCAUCAUUAUUUAACUGUAAGUACCUCCAGUCCCAUACCCAUAAUCAUUCGGGUUUCCACCUGCACGGGUAUUACGGGCCGUAGCUGUGCCUCCCGGGCCUCGAUUCGUCCCAAUGGGAUGCGAGCCCACCACUCCUUCAGUCACGUGGCCCGUGGGCUGCCCAGUCCCGUGACCUGGCAUCGCCGACAUCUGGUGGAAUCCCGUGGGAUGACCAUGCUCCCCGGUGGUGGAGUAGGUGGUCCCCUGUUUCGCCGCCGAGUUAUGCUCACUCACCGCAGCGUUAUGUUCACGCGCCGCCAGCUUGUCCAACUCAGCCUGGUUGACCUUAGCUUCCUUCUUCUGGGUUGCCAAUUCCUUUUGCAACGGAUCACGUGCUGUCAUUCUUUCUACCUGGUUAUAGCACAAGCACAUUUAUAAUUAAGUAGGUGACAAAUGAUGAAUAUUUUAUGAAAAAUAUGAUAGUAAGUAUUAAAAUAUAAUGGUGUUAUGCAAUAAUGGAUUGAAAAAAAAAUGGUUGAUAUACCUUCUCUUGGACAGUGGCCUUGGUCUUCUCCAUGCCAGCUUUUGCACAAGCACCAAUGUUUGAAACCUUUUCCAUCAUGGAUUCUCCUGUUUUCUUUCCUCCCUGCAUUUUGAACGAUUGGUUCUAUUAGUUUCUUUCUUUCUUUCUCAAAUUAGGUUUUCUUCAGCUCACUGUAUCAGACUCAAACAUCACACACCGAAUAAAUAGAUUUAGGUGCUACGAUAUCUUUCCCACACCAGCACAUGCAGUAGUACGCGUGGCAAGUUUCUCGGCAUAGUUUGGUUCAUCUUCUUACACGUAAUUGCCGCGUGUCAGUUAGUUAUGACCUUCAACACUGGUGGGUUUCUAAUUUUAAGGACGCGUGGCUGUAUCUUUUUUAUGAUCUGUAAUGAAAUUUGAUUUUAUCUAUAGAUAAUCUCAGUUUUAUUUUUAUAUAUCCUGUCUUCAAAUUGAAUUUAUUUAAAUCCACAUUGCAUGGCUCAAAAGGAAUCUCAUGUAUAUGUGGCCUUAUAUUUAACUCUUGAUUAUUUUUGAAACUAACUAUUAGAAUAUUUAUGUUCCAAUUUAAAUGAUCCUUAACUCUUGCGUGUUGGAUUAAACGACCUUGGAUAAUCAAUGUAUUAACUUAAAAGUUAAUGAGCCAAGCUCUAAGGUUAUCCUUGUUGUCCUACAUAUAUAAGUUUGUUCACCUAGAACCCACUUCUCUCUAAUUAUUAGAAAAAGUUUGAAAACCUGAACAAAGUCUAGAUGGAUUUAGAUUUCAGUUAUGGCAUUCUUGUAGUUAUAUAUGUAAAAGAAUAGUAGUAGAAUUAGAAUGUUUACCAAACAAAGAGUACUUUUAUCCUUGUGGAAAAACUGUGCUUAUUCAUUUCAAAUUAACAAAAAAAUAAGGACAUGCAUAGAGACCAAACCAAAGAAAAAGAACAAAAAUAUCAAUGAAUCUUAACAUUUUGUUCAGGAAAUUCUUUAAGAGAAAAGAUAACAAAUCAUGCAAUCAAAAGAAAAUUAGAGCUCAUAGUGGUUAAUAACCUGUUGGAACUAGAUAUCUCAACAAAGAAAUCUUAGAUAAAAUUAGCAUUGAAGUUGACAGCCAGAUUAAGGAACCCAAUAUAUUUCUUUAAACUGAACACAUUAGGAGAUUGAAGUUGACUACGAAAAUAGAGCAUUGUGCAUUUUUAACUAGGCAGUCUUUAAAAUAGAAAGAGUAGAAGACAAGCCCUCCAAUUUUAUGUCCUUAUAAACCAACUAUAGUAUCAAUGCUUAAAUAAUUCCACAUAAUUAAGUUUCAAAAAGAACAAGUUAGUUAUACUUAAAAUAGCAUUAUUUAAGUUUUUCUUUUUUAUAUAAAAAUUGUAACAUCCCAAUAUAUAGUCAUAAACCAUAUAAUAGUAGUCAUAAAAUAAUAAGAUAGAACGGUUAUCCGACUAGAGUAUAAAGUAUUAUAUCAUACAGUUAUCCAAAAUAACCAUAAAAAUUUAAAACUUUAUAUACAAGUAACUAACCAAAACUAUGUACAAUACUACUCUAACUCUAAUUACUCAGCAACAUCUCCACCCUCUAAAGUCUGCUCUAGGGAAGGCUCAUUUCCCUCUGCUCACACUCACAGGAUGAUCAUUGCAAAGGAAAAAUACCACACAUACAAAAUAAUACACAAGCAGAAAGGGUAAGCUAUAGAUAUACAAGAAAACAUACGAUUUAAUAGCAUAUAACAUACACAUGAUUAAUUCAAGUGAAGUAAACUAAUUCAAACAUCCUAACAUGUUAUGACCUAGACUUGACUUGUCUGGACUUAGAAUGAUUACCAAGAUAUGACGGAUUGUGCACUUUGUGGUGGUCUCUACUACUUUGCAAAGUCAUUGCCAAUGGGUUUCACCCUACCACAAUCACAAGGUUAGUCUGUACAACGCCUUGAGACCUCCUGCUACUCCUCAUGACAUUGAUCAAUCCUCUCUAUAUGAGAAUGAAAGUCCAUUGGAGUUUCAGGAUAAAAGUCUCCAUAAUCUACAAAACAAAAUUUUGCAAAACAAAAUUAUGUAGAAUUAUGCAACUUAGACCCCAUUUACCAAUUCUAACUAUUUUUCCCAACUUCUAACACUCCUAGAUUGUGUUAUACACCUAGUUAGACUUGACUAAGUAAUUCUAAACCUUCCUACUAUCAAUCUAAAGUGUUUAGGACUAAAAUCCUAAUUCAAAACCUCUAUAAUCACAACUUAUGGACCCAAAAUCUAAUUUACCACUUUGAACACUUUUUGACCAAUUUAGGGACUCAAACAAGUCACAUUUGACUUACCAAGACUGCGCCCACAGACCAAUUGAACGUAUAAUCUCUACUUCUCAUUUUCACUACCUCACUUCCUCAAAAUGACUUACUACAAAGCAAACUAUCACAAUUCAUGACCAACCAUACCUCAUCACAGAUUUUUAACCCCUUCAUAUUAUUAAAAGAGAUCAAAUCAUCAUGCAAGCAAUCCAAUAUAUCAAUUCAUGCAUCCACAGUCAAAAUUCAUCACAUUUUGUCAUAUUCACAUAAUACAAAGCAUGAUUUCAACUUAAACAAUUCAACAAUCAUUUUCUCUAAACAUUUACCAGCUAUUGAAAAACCAAUUAAAGGAUUUCUGGCUUCCCUUACCUCUACUCAGCUGCACCACUCAAGAAUUACCCCGAUAGUUGCUUGUAUUGCAAGAAAUUUCUAAGAAAGCCUACAAAUCAUCAAUUAAUGAUGGAAGAACAACCUUAACACUUAAAUUGAGUUAGGAAUUGAAGAGAGAAACCACUAGACACGUGCAACAGAAGAAAUUGCAUGAUCAAGACUCAAGAACUUACGGUAAAAAAAGGGAAACAACUUACCAACUAGAAUAAAGAAAUUGAUUGUUCAGUUGUCGACACCUCCAAGGUUGUCAAACUCAAGAGUUUACGUAAACUCGUGGGAGCUACGUAAACUCGGAUCGUAAACACGAAUCGUAAACUCGUAAGAGUUUACUUUCUUAUAAAAAUAUUUUAAAAUAUUUAUAAAUAAUAGAAUAAUUUAAUAUUAAUAAUUUAUAAAUAAUGUUUUUAUUUUUUAAUAAUUAUUAGUUUAUCAUAUUAUAUGUAUUUAAAUAUUUUUCUUUAAUAUUAUUAUUCUUUUGUUAAUUUUAAUUUAAUAUAGUUCACAGUUUAGUUAACAAGACAAGUUGUUGAACUUAUUGGCCCAAAAAUUUUAGUAUAAUCAGAAUAAUAAGUGAUAGAGUUAAAAUAAAAAACAUAAACACUAAAGAUUGAAACGCACAGUAAAAGGGAUUAAAACCCUAACGUGUAACAGUUAAAAGAGAAAAGUUUCACUCCACACAGAGCGGCGAGAUUAGGAGCGGCAGCGGUGAGCACAUCGAGCAUGAACCAAAGCACGACCACGACGACAAGCAUGAACCAAGCGAACGAAGUGCGACCAUGAUGGCGAGCGCAACCCAGGUGAACGGCGAACGGCGAGCACGAACCAGGUGAACGACGAACAGCUAACGAGGUGCGACCACGAACGGCAGCGAAACGUAACGGUGCCUAAACCCAAAACGACUUCUUCUUUCUUCGUUUCUUCCUAUUUCAAACCCGUAAAAUCGUUGCAAAAUCGCGAUUUUAAUCGUUUUCACCGAGUUUAGAACCGAUUUUACCGAGUUCACUUAAAAACCGAGUUUGCUUCUGAGUUAACUCGGAAGCCAGAACUGAAAACGCAAACUCGUCUGAGUUAACGAGUUAACUCGCGAGUUUGAUAACCUUGGACACCUCCUAAUCGAUGAACAAACAACCCAAGCGUAAGAAAAUCUAGAGAAAUGUGAGAGAAAGGAAAGAAAACUGUGUUUUAGAAAGAUGGAGUAUAUUUAGAUAAUGAACCGAGCUUUAAAAAUUUCUAUUUAUAUUAUAAGUAUUUUAAAAUAAAAAUGUUUGUCUCAUUAUUUUAAUACACCUAUAUACUCUAAUACUUUAUUUUCUAAAUAAACUUGACUUUCUUUUCAUGAAAAUAUAUCUUGUUUUAACCACAAUGAUAUAACUAUUUAUAUAAAUAAAUAUUACAUGCUAAAAAACUGACUAUUUUAUAUAUAAAAAAUGUUACCUAUAAAAAGUGUUUAGUAUUAUUUUUAUUUAUUGCUUUUAAUUAAUAUUAACAGCAUCCAAAAUUAGUACUGAUUAGUCAUAAUCACAAAAGUACAAUAAAAUUAUAAUAUUUUUAUUUGUAUCAAAUUUAAAAUAUAUUAGAGUUUAAUACGUUAGUUUGUUUUAGAUGUAACAUAUUAAAACAAUAUUUUAAUUAAGAUUUUUUAUUUGCAAAGAAAAAUAAAUUUGCCGAGUAUGGGUAAUUUUAUGAAAAUUUACAAUAAUUUUCCGUAGAAGAAUUCUUUUACAAGAAAACUCACAUAUAUUUAUUUUCUGUGGAAAAUAAUUCACAAAAACGUGCGUGUAGGUUAGAAAAUAUUUCACAUGAAAAGUGUAGAUAUUUUCUGCUGAAAAUUUCCACAGAAAACAUGCAAGUGAUAAACGUGUUUUAUAGUAGUAUACGACUUAAAAGAAAAUUCUUACUUAAAUUCGGAUUUAUUCAGGUAAUAGCGAUUCAGAUAGUCUAUUUUUUAUUUAGUUACACAAUUAACAUGCACAUUUUAAUUAUAAAAAAUACCACAUUUUAGGCAAUGAAUACAUUUAAAUGUGUACCAUUAUUAUUUAGGCAAUGAAUAACACUAUGUUAGGAUGUGAAUUUCACCUAAUUUUGUUUGACAAAAUUUUUAAAGGUAAACACACUUUAUUAACACACUUCAAACUCUCAGGAUAAACACACUCUAUUAAUGUUACACGUUCUAAAUAGAGAUAAUUAGUCUGAAUAAUUAUUAAAUACUGUAAAACAAUAUUCUUAGUAAAAAAAAAAAUUUAACAAUUACUUUUGUGUAUGUCUAUUAGAUUUUUUAAAAAUUAAAAUAUAUAAUAUUAUAUUGAAUAUAAUAUUUAUAGAAUUAUUCAGCUGUUUUCACCCUGCAUAAGAUCAAAUAAUAUUUAUAUUAUAAUUUAAUAUAAAAAGUAAAUGUAAUUUGAUAUUGACAAUUUAUAUUUAAAAUAUUAUUAAUAAUAUUAUAUCAUUCUUUAAAUAAUAUUAUUUUAAGAAAUAAAAGUGAAAUAUAUUUUUUUAAAUUUAAUUUUAAUAAAUGAUCAAAUAAUUAAAAAUCAUAAGAUAGAAUUAAAAAUCCAAAAACAUUAUUGAAAAAAUUAAUACUUUGCUUUUGUCUAUUUUUUAUCUUUUUUUUUUGUUCUUCCUUUCGAUUUUAUUUUUGUAUCCCAUCCCAUCUAAUUACAUUUUGUAUCCCAUCCCAUCUAACAAUUGUAAUAGCUGGGCUCCUAGGUCAGUAUUUGGGUUCAUCAAUCAAUGUCAUAGAUUGGAUCUACUGGACACUCCUAAAACAAAAGUUAAUCAUAGAGAUGUUUUCUUCAAAAAUUUGGUUUUGAAAAGAAAUUUCAAAAUUUAUUUUCUUUAUUUAUAUUAACAACAUUUUAAUCUAUUAAGCUUUUUUAUCUUACUUAAUUAUAUUAUAUAAAUAUAGUUCUUUCUGUAUUAGUUUUUUAUAAAAUAAAUAACUAAAUUAUCAAGCUAAAAAUUUCAACCAACAAUCAUAUUUUUUCUAUGUUAAGCUAUUUUAUCAUCAAAUUAAUUGCAUGAUCUUAUAUAUUUUGAUAGAAAAUGUGAAUUCAAAAGGUUUAAAUUAAAGAAGAUUUCUUAGAACGAAAUUUAGGCUCUCUUGGUUUGAAAUGAUUUAUUAUUCCAGAAUAUUAUAUAAGCUGGAUUUGCAAAGAAAUAUUGUUUUUGGUUUAAGAAGAUUUGAUAUUUAAUUAAUGCACUGAUUUGUUAGAUGAAUUUAAUAUCUCAUUUUCUAUGGGAGGAGAUUUGAAUGAAGAGAAAUAUAUUUUACAAUAUUAUCUCAAUGAAAUCAUUUUCAAUGUACAACUGAUUAAAUCAUUUUCAUCGUGAAAAGUAAGAGUAUUAGUUCUUUUGUGUUUUCCAAAAUAAUAAUAAUAAUAAUAAUAAUAAUAAUAAUAAUAAUAAUAAUAAUAAUACAAUUUUUUCAUGUUAAAAAGUUAAUUUUAAUUAUUUUUAUUAUAUAUAAUAGUAAUAAUUAUGAUUUUAUAUUACUUUUAUUAUUAAAAAUAUUUUUAAUUUUUAAUUUUUAUUAAUUAAAUAUUUUUUAUUUAUUUUUAUAUUCAACAAUAAUUUUCAGAAACUUUAUUUUCACUUUAAUUUUAAAUCACUCCUAAAUCUCUUAAAAAAAUAAUUAAUUUAGUCUCAUAUUCUUUUAACUUCAGUCACUUUUCUCCCAAAUAAACACACAUUAGCUUUUCUUUACUCUUCUAAGGGAACAUUGAUGUCUGUCCACAAGUUUACGUUGUUAAGCAGAUUAAACAUUAGCUGUAUUUUUAUUUUUUUUUAUUGCAAUGCUCUUCAUUUACAAAUUACAGUUUUAGGUAUAUUUCAAAAACAUGUUAUUCUGCAGAUUUUUAAUUUUCUGUUGGUAUUUUUCUUAUAUUUGUCUCCAAAAAAUCAUGAUUGAAAAUUGUCCAGAAGCUGUAUCGAAAGGAGUGGUUUAAGAGAAACACAGAGACUGUAUCAUAGGGUUCUAAUUCAUGUGGCUGAUAAUUAUGUAUUGAGGUUUAUUUGUAAUAAAGGUACAUAUAUAUUAUGUGACAGACUAUAAACUAUUCAGAACCGUUUGGCCAUUUUUGAAUAGGCUGGGAUGUGGAUGUCCAUAAAACAAGGGUAGUCACGUGAGAGUCUCAGAUAUUUUGGGCUGGAAAAGGUACAAUAUGUGGUAGAGAGCAUGUGAAUGAAUAGAUUGGUUAAAAAAAAGAUUAACUUUAUUGAAUGUAAGUAUUUAAUAAUGAAGAUAUUUAUUGCAUUUUGAGAAGUCACUUGAAUUAUAUUAAAAGUUGGUAAAGUUAUUUUAUAUAUUUUAUUAAAACGGGUUUAAUAUUUUAAUAUUAUAUUAACCAUUUAUUAUAAGUGUCACCGUCCAUUCAUCAAAAGGACUUCAUUAAUGACAAAGAUACAUGCUAUCAACAUAUUCUUUUUGUUCACAAUCUAUUAAAUUCAUUAUUUAUUUAUUUAUUUAUUAUCUUAUUUAAAGUAGAAAAAAAUCUGAAAUCAAACAUAAAUUUAGUUAUUCUUCUGUAGAAAAUUUUCAAUUUUAUUUUUACAAGUAAAAACUUAUAAAAUCAGUCUUUAACAUAUAAAUGUUAUUAUUUUGGUCAACGUUAUUUAUUUAUAAUUAUUAUAUAUAACAAAUUUAAAAGUAACGGUGAGAAAGAAACAUGGAAGACAUUUUCUUAUAUAUCUAAAAAACUAAUUUAAUAAGGUUUUAUUCUAUGUGAAUGUGUUAUAGUUAUCUUAAUAAUUUCUUAUAUAUGUAUAUGAGCCCCAUUUUAAAUUUUUAUAAAAUAACUAUACAUGAAAUUGAUAGAUAAUAUCAAUUAAUUUUCUUAAUUGUGUUUAAUUUAUAAAAUGAUGUUAAUUUUCUUACAUGCACAUUAUUACUUAACAUAAAUUUCAAACCAAUUUUAAAAAAAAAUAAUAUUUUUUACACCUUUCUAUAACAGCUCUUGAAACCCCACCCACAUCUCACUGUAGAUGAUAUCACAAAAAUUUCAUAUUUGCAUUGGUGCCAUACAUUUUGUAAAACCUUAUCCUCUCACCCCCUUUUAAUUGCACGGCCAUUAGAGUUUAAAAGCAUGCACGGUCAUGACCCGUUUAAAAACAUUGGGAAAUCCGACAUUUCAAUGUAAAUUUUUAAUUUUUUUAAAAAAAUCACGUUUGAAAAAAAAAUAGUAUUCACGUCUAAAAUUUAUAAUAUAUAUAUAUAUAUAUAUAUAUAUAUAUAUAUAUAACAUUUUUUUAAAGCAUUUAUACUGGUGGCGGGUAUGCCAUUAAAAGAAGAGGAUGAUAUUUCCCAUCAGAAAAUAGAGAGCAUGGGAAUGAUGCAAAAAUUUCACCCUAACCCAUCUAAAACUGUACUGUUUUCUUACAAGAAUAUUAAAGAUGGAUGCAAUAGACAGUGGGCCUUUGAGAUGAAGGAGGAAAGAGGCAAGGUGAGCCAUAAGGAAACAUUGGCAUUGACAGAAAAAACGUGUAAAAUUAUCCAGUGGGCCCUACCUUCAUUGGACGGAGCCCUCUCACUAACACUGUAACUCACUCCCAAACAUUCCUUAAAUACCGCCCUCCGCAUUCUUCUAACCCUUGCCCCCUUUCUCACUCCCUCCUCUUCACACAUUCUUCACCGCACCAACAAACUUUCUUCCUCACACUUUCAGGUAACUUUCUCUCUCUCGUUAUCUCUUUCUUCUCGUAUUUUCUCCCAAUGUUAUCUAUCUAUCUAUGUAUGUUUCUCUCUCCUAUUCUUACCCUCCUUUCCCUAUUCUCCCUCGAUCUAACUGUUUCCGCUCUCCGCGCUUCGAUUCAUUUUAAAUUCCACGCUUAUUUUAUUUUACGUGAUUUUCGUACCAAGUGAUUUGAUUGUGGCCAAUUCUUACAUGUCCUGCUUGAUUUUCACACUCUAGUUUUCUCUUCUACAUAUUCAUAUAUAAACCCCUCUCCAUACCUCUGUUCUAUGAUGCAUCUUUAUCGGAUCUAAGGAGAAGCCUCGUUUACCUUCCGCCGCUUGUCGUAUUUCUGGUUUGUAUUAAUACACCGGAAAACGGCAGCAUUGUGUUCUUUUCUUCUAGAAUAAACCUGGUUGUCGUGAAUCUGAACAAAUUUUCCUAGAGGUAACCUGCCACCUCUGUUCUCUUUCAGAUCUCGUUUAUUCGCUUGCGUGUUAAUAUGUGUGUUUGCUGUCAAACUGAUACACACCCGUUAGGAUUUCACUGAUUGUUCCCUUUUUUUUUUUUCUUUGGUGAUUGCGCCUUAUUUACUGUUGUACUUAAUGAAUAGUUUGGUUGACCAAUUGGAUGGUUGGUGAGUUAGAAUAUUCGGAUUCACUUGUCCAACUUGGGUUAAAAAAUCUCUGCAGGAUAAAUUUUGCUAUUGAUUGAAGGAAGGAAAUUUCUUCUUUCUGUUCUAUUCUUAAAUUGCACUUUUCUUUCCUUUUUAAAAUAUAUAUAUAUAUAUAUAUAUAUAUAUAUAUAUAUAUAUGCCAUGCUUUUAAAAAGCUAUACUUAUUACUUUCAAAUAGUUAAUAAUUAUGAAUGUUUGAACAAUGUCUAUUUAGUGGUAUAUGUUGCUAUUUAUUUAAUUUAAAACAUGUUAUUGAUGUAGAGUUUACUAUUUAUUUAAUUUAAUUGAUAUCUCUUUGUCUUGGGUUUGGUUUUAGUAUUGUAAAGGGAAGAAUAAAAUUUUAGUUAUCAUCAAUUUUAAAAUUUGGUUUAACCAUUCUAUUUAGUUUUGAUGUUUUUUUUUUCUAUGUAUUUCAGAUAAUUUUAUUUUACAUAGAUUAUUAUCAUUGUUAUUAUUAAAGGAAUGUAAAAUUUACUAAAUUUUAUUUCACAUAUGUCUAAUAGGAUUUUUAUUAGUAUACAUUAAAUUUUACAAAAUAAACUUUAUAUAUGAAUAAAUAAUGUUAUGUAAUUAUUAAUCACGCACUAUUACAUCUAAUUUUUUUUAUGUCUGAGCAAUCUUUAAUUAUUACUUUGGAUUUGUUUUUUUGCGUUCCGUUCUUAUUAGGCGUAUUUAUUUAUGUAGGAUCAUUAUUUAGUAUUCUGUAAUAUAGGAAUGACUUUUUCUGACAUAAUAUUUUUUAUUAAAAUGUGUAAUUUUUCUAUAUUUAUCUCCAUUUAAAUUUGUUAACCAUUUGUUCUGGGUAAUAUGUACUAGUAAUUUCUUUUCGAGUUUUUUUUGGAUUUGAUUGUCUAUAUGCUUGUUGUUUGAGUAUAAUUAUUCAUGCGAUCUUUACAAAGGAGGAGAGAGAAUAAGAGUGCAACUUUUUCUUAACUUAAAUGGGAAAAAAUUAUCAUUAUAAAAUCGGAAUUCUCAAAUCUAUUGAUUAUUCAUAAUAAUAGGGAAUCCUGUUUCUAUAAAUAUGAUUUUUUAUGAAAAUUAAAAUAGACUACGUCUUAGUUGGUCUUAUUCAUUAUGCUUCUUUCUUUCCCAUUUAUUUGAACAAAAACAAUAAAAGUAUAGCUAAACAAGUCUUAAUAUUUUUUAUUAGCUGCUACUUGAUGUUGAAUCAUAUUGAUUACUUAUUUAUAUUUUAUAGGUUCAUUUUUUAUCAAUUAUAUUUAUUUACUUUGAUGAAGAAAUAAAAAGUUUAAAUUAAAGUCUUGUAAGUAUCUUAAUAAAACUGAAGUAAUUUAUUGUAUACUUUGGUUUAUAGAAAAAUUCUUAAAUCAAAUUUCACAUUAAAAAGGACAUGGGGGACAAAUCAUAUUUUUAUAUGAUAUCAGGUAGCUACAUAUUUUCUCUUUCGUAAGUAAAUUUAACGGCAAUGAAGAGCGGUGUAUCUAUGUUUUUCAAGACGCUCAUUUAUUCAUAUGUAAUAUAUAUGAUUAUUUUGAAAUUAAUAAAAAAAUAUAUUAAAGAAUACUUAUAAGACUAUGUUUUUCAAGACUCUCAUAUGUUUUUAUUAAGUUCUAAUUUUCAGAUAUUUUGAAAUUAAUAAAAAAAGUAUAUUAAAGAAUUAUGUACGUAUUACUAUUUUAUUGUUUAUUAUGAUUUUAAUUAAUAUUAAAUAAUUGUAAACUUCAAUUUCUAUAUUUAGCUUAAAUUGUUAGUUAAUUUUUAAACAUUUUAACGAACAAUUUAUAUUAUAUUUAAUUUAACGAGAAUUUAGUAAAAAUAUUUUCAUUUAGAUUUACAAUAAUUUUUGUUAUGAAAUUUUUAAACAUGUCGUGUUAGUAAUUUUUAUUUCAAAUUGUUUAUGUUGCAUUCAAUUCAAUGUUCAUUAAUGUCUAUAUGUGAAAGCGACUGAAAUAAAAAAAUCUGAUUUGUCCAAGGUACUUAAUUCGCUACCUCGUUUAUCAUUAUAUAUUUAUUGCCAUGUUUAUGGUGGGUCCGCCUCUGAUUCAUCGUUUGUUGUAGAUAAUACAAACAAAAUGUUUACAUCAGUUAGAUUGAUUGACGACUUUGCAACUUGUAUUUGUUUUAGCCUUGAAUAAUUUUGUUUAUAGAUGGGACAUCUUGAAGCCGGUUGAGUUGUAUUUAUUUAUGAUAAAUUCUUUCGAUGCAAUGUACACAACUUGUAAUCAAAACUCCUACAGUCAAAAUGUCGUCAUAAGUUUCUCUGGUUGAGAUCUAAACACCUGUUUUAUUUAUUGGUUGCAAUUUGUCCUACGUACCUUACGUCGAACUUCCCUGGAGGAUGGCGCGGCUCGCUUUUCUAAUGAUAUUUAGACAACAUUUUUUCACAAUAUUUGAACAUUGAUUACGUGUCAAUAUGUGAUUAGUCAAAAAUUACUCCACAAUCAAUAAUAAUAUUCAUAAACAUUAUUGUGGAGUAAUUUUUGACCAAUCACAUAUUGACACGUAAUCAAUGUUUAAAUAUUGUCAAAAAAAUGUUGUCUAAAUAUCAUUAUCUUUUUCUUAAGCGAGUAUGUUUAGAAAGUAAUAUAUGGCCUUAUAUAUUCUUUUAAUUUAUAUUAUUAGACUAUGUAUUUUUUUUUUUUUACAUGAAGCUAAGGAUUAUGAUUAUAGAAAAUUACUGUAUUUGGAUUUCUAUUGCAAUAUUUUCACUCUAAAACAAACAGUAAAGCAUGACACAUUUUACAAAUCAGUUUGAGUUUCUGUAUCAUUUGCUUAGUAGUUGACACAGUUCUAUCUUUUGUCAAGAUGAUCGUCACUAGUGAGACAUAGGGUGAAAGUUAUGGAAAGCUAAUGUAGUGUCAUAUCUAGCUAUUUAUGCUUAUUGUUUCUCAUUGAUUAAGUCUUCCCACUUUUUUAUAGAUCUGAAUGAUGUUGCAUGCUUAUUUUUUCUGAAUUGUGAAUGAAUCUUUUUUACGUUUAUUUUUGCAUGUGGGAUUGCUUUUUUCUUUUAAUUAUAAAAUCAUAGCUUAGACAUCACCCUGUCCAAAUCAUUUUUGUUUUGUGACCAUGGUAUACAUCUAUACCUUGGUUUGGACAAAGAGAAUGGUCCAUGCUCAAGUCCAUUAUAAGAAGAAAAUAAAAAUAUAACAGGGUGAUUAGUGGUUUCAACAUACUCUGUUACCAUGUUUUAUCUAACAAAUUUUCUGUUAGCAAUCUCUAUUCCUGUAUAGGUAAUUGCGUGUUUCUGUAUUCGCGUUUAAUCUGUGUAUUAUUGUUUUUAUUAUUAUUAUUAUUAUUACAACAAGUAGGAUUAUCUCCCCCUUAUCAAAUGUGAGUGAAACGUAAUGAACUAGAAAACGAUAAUGAGAGGAAAUCGUUACCUACUUUUGAUGAAAUGUUCACUAUGCACUAUUUUAAUAAUGCAUGUUUUGCGCUGAAGAUCACACAUUGUAUCCAUUCUAAUGCUGUAUGCUUUUAGAAGCUACUAGGUAGGUAUUAUUGAUAAUUCUUGGCUUGAGAGUCUUGUUCAUGGAAAUGGAAAGUGUUGUAAGAAUAUGGCCUGAUGUUGUCUUUUGCAGGUUGUGUGAAGAUGGGGGCUGGUGGCCGAACCUUUGUCCCUCCUUCCAACAGGAAAUCAGAGGCCGACCCUCUGAAGCGGGUGCCUUUUGAAAAACCUCCUUUUAGCCUCAGCCAGAUCAAGAAGGCCAUACCACCUCACUGUUUUCAGCGCUCUGUUCUCCGCUCAUUCUCCUAUGUCAUUUAUGAUCUAACCAUAGCCUUCUGCCUCUAUUAUGUUGCCACCCAUUACUUUCACAUCCUUCCCCGACCUCUGCCUUUCCUUGCAUGGCCAAUCUACUGGGCUGUCCAAGGUUGUAUCCUCACUGGCGUUUGGGUCAUUGCUCAUGAGUGUGGCCACCAUGCAUUCAGUGACUAUCAGCUGCUUGAUGAUAUCGUUGGCCUUAUUCUCCAUUCUGCUCUCCUAGUCCCAUACUUUUCAUGGAAAUACAGCCAUCGCCGUCAUCACUCCAACACCGGUUCUCUCGAGCGGGAUGAAGUAUUUGUGCCGAAGCAGAAGUCCGGUAUGCAGUGGUACUCUAAAUACCUUAACAAUCCACCAGGCAGAGUCCUCACACUAGUCGUCACCCUCACUCUUGGUUGGCCCAUGUACCUGGCUUUUAAUGUGUCAGGCAGGCCUUAUCCAAGGUUUGCUUGCCACUAUGAUCCUUAUGGUCCUAUUUACUCUGAUCGUGAACGACUUCAAAUAUAUAUAUCAGAUGUUGGAGUACUUGCAGUAUGCUAUGGCCUUUACCAUCUUGCCAUGGCUAAAGGGCUUGCCUGGGUGGUGUGUGUUUAUGGAGUUCCGUUGCUAGUGGUCAAUGGAUUUCUGGUGUUGAUUACAUUCUUGCAGCAUACUCACCCUGCAUUACCGCACUACAAUUCCUCUGAGUGGGACUGGUUGAGAGGAGCUUUGGCGACAGUUGACAGAGAUUAUGGAAUUCUGAACAAGGUCUUCCAUAAUAUUACAGACACUCAUGUAGCACAUCACUUGUUCUCCACAAUGCCGCAUUAUCAUGCAAUGGAGGCCACAAAAGCAAUAAGGCCCAUUUUGGGAGAGUAUUAUCGGCUGGACGAGACUCCAUUUGUGAAGGCAAUGUGGAGAGAGGCAAGAGAGUGUGUUUACGUGGAGCCAGAUCACGAUACUGAGAACAAAGGUGUAUUUUGGUACAACAAUAAGUUGUGAGAUUCGUGCUGCGGUGUUUCAAGUUUACUUUGUGUCGGUUAAGUAUGCAAACCUGCUUAUUGGGAAUAAUUUUGUUAAACCCUAAUGUUGGUGGUGGUAGUGUCUAAAAAGUAGUGUAGUGGUUUUUAUUUGCAGAAUAAGAUAUUCCAUCUCAGAACAGUUUAAUUAUUGCACCAAGAGUUGAAUCAGUGCAUGUACACCAUGUCUCUUACGCUGUUGAGGAAAGCUUAUUCUUGUUCUAGUCUUUUAUUGCAAGCAAUUCGCAUAUUCUGUUCCCAUUUUAAAGUUCUAAAAUCAUUAUAUAUUCUCAAACGAGUCACAUUAGUAAUUAUUAUACUUGUUUUUCUAAAUGUUGAGAAGCAUGAAUAAUGAUUCGGUUUUUAAUUCACUGAACUCGUCAAUAUACAUGGAUAGUGUAUCUGUUGCGAACAAUUGAAAUAGGCUGAAUGUGCAAACCAUAAGAGGUAGAUCUUUUAGAUAGCAUAGAAUACCCUUGACUGCCUUCCAAUGUUCAAUGAGAGGUUGAAAACUUUAUGCAUACUAUACCUAAUCUCUGGCCCGAUAAUAAUGAUAUACUGUAAAGGACCAUCUGUGGAUCGAUAAAGGGAUGAAUCAUCCAUAUAAUCAGAACCAGGUUUAGAUAAUUUGAGACCACCAGGAAAAGGAGGAGAAACUCCUUUGAUGCGAAAAAUUCAUUUACACCUAACAACAGAACAACCAGACGGAAGAGGGCUGAGAGACCAUGUGCUAUUUGCCAAUAAAGCAUUAUAUUCAUCCUGCAUAGGUUUCAUCCAAAGGGGGGAAGAAAAGGCCUAUUUAACAAUGUUAGGUUCUAUAAUGGUUUGACAAUACCAGAGUUGGACCGAGUUUGCAUUGCAUUAGUGGAGGUAGACUAAGAUGUAACAAUAGGAAGAGAAGACUCAGCUACAAGAGGUAAAUCAGGAGCAGAAUUAGAAGUGGGUAAGGCAGUGUAGGGAGAGAUGAAAUAGGAUUGAAUGUUUUUAUGUCUUUUCUUUUUCUUUGGUAUUGAAAUGUUUCAAAUGUUGCCUUCCAUUUUACUUAAUGCUCCAGACAACUAAUAUUAAAACUGUUUGUGGCUUUUAUUUAGUCAAAUCUAUAACAUUAAUAAAAGAUAUCAAGGUUCCGUUAUAAUUAAUUAGGUUUAGAUGACUAGUAUGCCAUAGUAGAUAAUACUACCUGUGUACACAUGCGUUAGAUUUAGCUUUUAUUUGUACAAAAUUAAUUAGUUACAUUUUAAAAAAUGGUUUAAAUAAUUGUUUCUCUUUGUCUAUUUUGUUUAAGGUGAAACUCGAUUUUUUUCUCAUAUUUAAUGUGGUUUCUAUUUCAAUAAAUUAUAUUCAAUGUGGUAAUUUUAAUGUCAUUUGUCCCGUUAGUAUCAAUGUCAGUAUCAUGUAUUAGUAUAUUAUAUUCAAUUCACUCCUAAUUUUCAUUAAUUUUGUUUAAUUUAAUUAUUUUUUGUUAAUUUUGUUCAAUUAAGUAUCAAUUAGGAUGACAAAAUUACUCAUACUAGUGAGUAUUUAUGGAUACCUAAUAUUUGUUACCCAUGUAAGAACCAAAUUUUUUUAAAAAAAUAAAUAAAAUAAAUGAAAUUUCAGAGCACUUGGUUAGUAACUCAAAACUCCACUCUCUCUAAAAAAGUUUCUCAUUCUUCUUCCUUUGCCCUCUCUCUACUUUUCACACUGGUCCAUUGCAUGUCUAUUUAGGUGGUAUCCUAGUAACCGUAACGUAGAGGACUCUAUUUUGAAUCGAACAUUUUCCCCGUUCUCCAUUCUGACCGGUAAGUCGUUUUUUUUUCCUUCUCCUCCGCUACUUUAGGACCUCGAACAGGCUAAUCUACGGGAUGCAUGUAUAUAGUGUUCCCCUUUUUCCACUUUUUGUUGAAUCCUGAUCUCUGAGAGUUAUUUUCAUCACCGAUGUGGUGAUUGUAGGGUGUUGUCUAGGUCUUGGCUGAGAUAGGCACUAUUGAAGCAUUCCUAUAAGAUGUACUGUUCAACCUCCAAGUAAGGGAAGCUGAGGUUUCUUUUCUAUUUUAUUAAAUUAGAGUAUGUUUGAAUUUGGUCCUGUUAAAUUUUAAAUUGCAUAGUGAUGUAUGUGUGAAUUGUGGAAUAAACAUAUUUUAUUGUUUGAACUGAUGUUUAGUAAUUGGAUAUGUAUGUUAUGUGAUUCUUGAUUGUUAGAGUAUGAAACUAUGAAAUUGUUGUGUGGAACUGUUAUGGUUGAGGCAGAGUAUUGAAAUUGAGUUGUUGAGGUAGUGAGAAAAUUGGGUUCUUAGAUAGAGAAUUGGGUGGUGUUGGUUGUUUAAGUCAUUUUAGAGAGGAAAUGAGGGGGUGAUUUUUUGAUUUAGGGGUCAGGGGCUGUGCUAGAGUAUUCAAGCAGUUGAGGUAAGUCAAUUGUGACCUUAUAAAAUAUGUUGAGAAGUAAAAUUGCUAGUUUAAUUGAGUUAUAUUGUUUUUAAGGGUGAUUGGAAGGAAGUGAAGUAGUCAAAUCAGGCAAACUAGGUUAGAAGUUGUUCUGGGUAGUGGAGACAUGGAAAAUUCGCUCAAUGCACCAAAGGGGUGCGCUAUGCGAAUUUUUGCUGUAAUGCUGUCAGGAAAAUUCACUCAGCGCACCAGAGGGGUGCGUUGAGCGAAUUUUUGUUGUCAUGCCCAUUAGGAAAAUUCGCUCAGCGCACCAAGGGUGGUGCGCUGUGAGAAUUUUUGUUGUCUUGCCUUUUUUACCUUGUGCGCUGAGCUACUUGCUUCGCUCUGGUUCACUCUUUUCUUCUUCGAUUUUACUUGGUUAAUGAUAUAUGAUAUUUAUAUGAGUUAAUAUAGUAUGGAUGCACUUAUAUGACUAUAAAAUGGUAUGUUAAUAAUUAAAAAAGGAUUAUGAUUUGAUCAAAGUGAUGUACCUGUAUCAAAGUAAGAUCUCUAGGUGAGAUCCUUAUAGUGUUUAGAAUGAAUAUAUGAGGCUUCUUCAUGGGGGGUUAUCCCAACACUCUAAUAGUUUUUUAUUCUCACUUAGAGAGGAUCGACACAUGUGGUGAGAAUAGUGGGAGGUCCUAGCGUAGGCGUUUCUUGGAGGCCUAUUGCGCGGUAAUGGACUAACACUUGUGUGUGGUAGGGUGAAACACGUUGGCAAUGACUUUGCAAAGCAGUAGAGGCCACCACAAGUGCACAACCCGUCCUAGAUCGAUAUUCAUUCUAAGUCCGGACGAGUCUAGUUGUGUCAUAACAUGAUAGGAUGUUCAUUUGAUUACUUGUAUGAUGAUGGAUUCUAUUAUAUGCUAACUUGUAUGCUUUUGGAACCUAGCUUACCCUUGCUUGUUUGUCUGUGUCUUGUAUGUUUGUAUUUUUUCUUUUACAAUGAUCAUCCACUUGGAUGUGAGUAGAGGUAGAUAAGGUACCUUUGGAGUAAGCAUUGGAGGGAGAUGAUGUGACUGUCUAAUUCUUAGGAUCCUUUUUAGCUGUCUUAUCUAUUUUGAAAUAUUUUUUUGUAAGUAAAGUUUCAAAUUUAUAGUCUCUUUUAGAUCAUGUAAAAGAAAAACGAAGACAAUUUAUCAAAAGAAAAAUCAUAUUGAAUAUUAGAAAAAAAUUAUCUCACGUGAAACAAAAUAAUUAAAAAUAGAUAAAAAAAAUAUUCAAGCUCUAAAAAUCCAAAGAAAAAAUGUUUUCUUUUACUAAAAUUCGAAGUAACGUUGUUAUUUAUGAAUUUAAAUAAAUGGGUAUCGAAUCAAAGAUCUAGUAAUAAAACCGUUUAUGGACACUUUAUUAAAGAAAUUGAGUAUUUAUAUGUUGUUCUCUGCAGGGUUGAAAGAAAGAAAGAAAGAACUGAAGCGAGGGAAGUGUUCCCGCCAUGGGAAUAGAGCGCGUGCAGUGUGACUAUGUCUCUCUGGUCAAUGUUCUUUCUCUCUGCUUCGCUUGUGUUGUGAUUUUUUAUGAUGAAUGUGUUAAUUUGAUUUCUGUGUGGAAGCAGGACGAAACCUUCGAAAUUGGAAAAGAGAAGUAUCACGGUCAACAGUACUGCCAUAUUUACUUCGCACGUCUUCAUUUGUUGCGGACUCUCUUGUAUUCACUCGCUCCUCACUGGAAACCUAAUUUUCCCGGUAACCUACUCCUUGUUUUUCUACUAUCACAUCCACUUAGGGUUAUAUAAUACUAUCAUAUUCCUUUGUGUUGUGGUGUUUCAUUUGUUUUGAGGUUUCAAUUAUUUUUUACGGUUUCUGUUUCGCACAGUCUGCACGGUGUUGGAAUUGGAAGAGGGCAAGGAGUGUGUCAUUGUUGGAACCCUCUACAAACACAUGAAGCUCAAACCUCGCGUACUUGAUGAGUAUUCUAAGCAGGUUCCUCUCUGCUUAUACUUCAUGGGUAUCCCCAUCGAUAUUGCAAGUGUGCUUUUAAAUUUUAAUUAAGAAUGAAUAGUGUGUGCAUUGACAGUGUAAAUGUUUCUUACAGGUUCAUUUAAUCUCAGAUUGACAUGUAUGAUAAUUUGUUGACCUUUUAGCUGCCGGUCUUAAAAGUCGUAUCAAUGUUGGUAUCUGAUUAUUUCACAGCGUCAACAUAGAUAUUAAGUCUGAAGAUUAGUUUAUGUGAUGAUGAAAACGUUGAAAUGCUGGCAUUUGAAACUCUGUUUUCAGAAAAUCUCAAAAAUUAGUUUACUUGUGUUGUAAAUUAUUUGUAAAUAUAUCGUUUAUGCGUAAUGUAAACUGUAGGAUUCGGGUAUUUUUUAAAGGAGAUGCUGAGAAACCAUAGUGUCUUUUUGUUGAAUGACUAAUUAAAGUGGAGAAAAAAUGUUUGCUUGGUUAAAUAUGGAAGCUUUUUGAGUUGUGUUGUGUUGUGUUAUGGGACUAUGGAGAGCAUCUAUGUCAGUCAUCCUGCUAUCGAGAGUAAGGACUUGAAUUUGUUAUAUAAGGAUGAAUUCUGUGCUUUCUUUUAUGAAAUUUGAUAACAAUGUGCAGAGGUGCUAUAUUUCACUAUUUUUCUGCUGAUAAUAUGCAGAAAUCAGUGGUUCCACUUGUCAAGCCACAUAACUUCAUGCACUCGGAUGAUUACCUAGUUUUGGAAGAUGAAAGUGGGCGGGUUAAGCUCAACGGAAAUAUCAUUCCGCCUGAAUAUGUAACAGGUCUAUAUGAUGAACAACUUAUCUUUAUUUAGUAAAAUAGAUUGUUAUAAGAAGGCAAUUAGAAUCAGGUGUAUGUUAAUUCUAAUUUCUUUCCGUUUGGAUUGCUUUGUUUUCAGAUUUGUUUAAUAUAUCUGAGGUAUCUAGAAAUAACACAUGUAGCUACGCAACAUGCCUGCCGUACAAAUGGCUGUCAUUUGGAACAUGACAAUUUUAUACUUACUUUGUCUGCAACAGGAAUUGUGGUCGCUGUACUUGGAAAGGAAAGUGGGGCAGGUGACUUUUUGGUUCAGGAUGUACUAGAUGCUGGCUUACCCCCACAGAUAGAAUUCCCCCUUAAAUCAGGUACCCCUUGUAUAUCCUUUGCAUUUUAUAACCCGAUAAAGCACACCCAUGACAUAUGUAUGGGAUCUUUUGCCCAGACCUUAGCUACACAAGAUAGAUUAGGAUUUCCCAUUUGAGGACGGAAGGAUAUUUGGUGAAUUGGCAUCCCACUUUCCUGCAUUGAUGUUUCUGUUAUCUGUUUAGUAUUUGGCCAGAAGGAUUUGUGCUGUUUGAAAAUUUUAUUAUUCAUAGUCAGCGAUCAUAAAUUGUCUUCUGUUUCCCUUUUCUUAUCCUAGUCUCUUUCUAUUUGAUUGCAAUUGUAUUUGCUGGAGUUAAAGAAACUAGUUUCUUGUCUUUUUAUAUGGUCAAACUCCGAAAAGUUAUCCAAUUUAAAUAUGCUGCUUGUUCUAUGCUUCAUUUCCUCCUGCUUGUAUUAUGCACAGGUAAUGAUCAGCAACCUUUUAACUUUACAUCUUUGAUCCUCCUCACUUCAAUAUUUGUCAUUAAAAUUUCUAAUUUUAGUAAAAAUAUUAUCUUGAAUUUUCUUUUAUUUGGAUUCUACAGGGGAAGACAAAUACGUUGUUCUUGUGUCAGGUUUAAGUGUUGGUAGCAGCACCUCUAAUCCUCUUCAGUUUCAGCUUCUCAUUGAUCAUAUUACGGGGCAUUUAGGGGAUGAGAAGGUUUGUCAUGUUUUUCUCCCAACUUCUCAAGCUGAUAAUUAUUCAGCAUUAAGUUUUCACUAAUGAAAAGUGACAAACUACACAGGCACAACGUUUUGCAUCAAAAAUUGUUCAAGUUGUCUUUGCUGGAAAUUUAGUUGAGAUACCUCACAGAAUUCUUAACGGACAGGUAUUUAUAUUUCUGUAUAGGGAGAGAGAUAAGAAAACUAAAAUUCGAGAGAAACCGUUAGUUUUGCAUGUCAUUUACUGUUUACGUUAGCUUUUUACUGUGUAAGGAGAGAUCUGAUUUAUUACAGGGAAAGAAUAUUAUAAGUAUGUGACAAUGUGUUGUAGUACAAAAGUAAUAUAACAGCAAUAUCAAGCACUGAUAUCUUAACAAUUUCAAUGACAAGUUUCUUUAAUGAUAUUGCAUUUGUUUUCUACUAUUGAGUUUCCUAUACUAAUAUCUCUUUGCUUAACAAGUUUAAACAAUGCAAUGAAUAUAAAUCAAUAGUUUUACUUUUUUUAUUCUAAUAAAGUAAACACCCUAACAUAUGAUCUCAUACUCUUCUCUUGUAAUUUGUACUGUAUCAUCACCAAUUAAUUUUCUCUGGUAUCUGAAUUCCUUGAUUGCACUUGCUCUCUAUUAUUUGAUUUAGUUGCCAUAGUAAUUCACUAUUUUUGAGGAAUAUUGCAGAAUCAUCUGAUUUGUGUUAAUGGAUAAUUAGAUGAGAAGAACUAAGUGAUCCCAUUACUUGUUAACAUCUUAGAGUUGCAUUUAAGAUUUACACACUUGGUUUAUUAUAUAAAGUCUUGAUUGACAUACAGCACCCAUUGCUUGCGACUGCUGAUUUCAGUAAAUAAUACAACCAAUUUUAUGGUAUUUAAUCUGUAAUUCCUGAUGUUAUUUACUGUCCUUUGAUCAAUAUUUGAAGAAUUUGGCUUCAGAGGAUUUUGCAAGAAUGUCUGAGCCAAUAAGGGAGCUAGACAUUCUGUUGAGUCAGGUUCGUUUCAUCACAGUCAUUCUAAAAUUGUACUCCUUUUUUUUUCUUAAUAAUAUGCUUAACUUUUACUUGCUUUUCAGAUAGCGGCUGGUUUGCCUUUGGAUAUUAUGCCAGGACCCAGUGAUCCUGCAAAUUUCUCAUUGCCACAACAGGUUCUUAUGUUUUUCUUUCAAGGGUUAUAUAUGUCAUAUUAACAUGUGCUGUUUUCCUUUGUUACUAAAAUUAUCACUUUCAGUCAUUGCAUGGAUGCCUUUUCCCUGGGUCAUCGACAUAUAAUACUUUCAGAUCCUGUACAAAUCCUCAUUGUUUUGAGCUUGAUAAUGUCAGGUAAAUAGUCUAUUCUCAAUUAUUGUCUUUGUUGCUAAAUGCAUUAAACGUUGAACAUCAUCCCACACUGCUUGCAGGUUUCUUGGGACAUCCGGUCAAAAUGUAGAUGAUCUUGACAAAUAUUCAGAUGCAAAAGAUAAACUUGAAUUCAUGGAAAGGACAUUAAGAUGGAGGCAUUUAGCACCCACAGCACCCAAUACUCUUGGUAUGCUCAUUAUACAUUCCUCAAUGCUUUUACACUUCCUUUAUUAUCAGUAAUCCUUUUUUCUUCUGCUUAGCUCAGCCAAUUUUUUCUGGAGGGUUGAACAUUUGUUAUAUUACCUGCUAUUUCUGUAGAAAUAUAUUGCUCUUACAAAAUAUAAAAAUGAUUUAUUCUCACUUCUGAUACUAACUAUUGUCUUCCAGGGUGCUUUCCUUUUACUGAGAGGGAUCCUUUCUUCAUUGAGAGUUGUCCUCACGUUUACUUUGUUGGAAAUCAAGAUAAAUUUGAAACUCGUAUCAUAAAGGGUAUUUUUAUUCUAAAAUCUGUAUUGUAGUGUCAUAAAUAAAAGUUACUUUGUUUCUGUUUGCGUUUACCAUAAUAUCCCUUCUCUAAAACUUCAAUUAAUUUUGCAUGUUGCUUGCAGGAUCAGAAGGGCAGUUGGUGAGACUCAUAUGCGUUCCUAAAUUCAGUGAAACUGGAGUUGCUGUUAUGGUGAGCUCCAAAUCGUGCACACUUCAUUUUAACUUAGAUAUGGCCUCUUUAUACUUGUAUAAAUAUAUUAUUCCAUUAGCAUAUCAGUAACAUGUCUCUGAUUUGUUCUUUUGAGGCAAUGGAUUGUUGUCCCUGUGAACGUACUAACGAGACUCACUUUAGGCAUUUCAUUGCUGUCUAUUUAAACUUUAGAAUGGGUUUCUAUAAAUGAUUAAAAGCUAAAAAUAUGGUUCUUAGCUAGAAUUUCAAUGUUAUCUCAAAUUUUAAUAGUUCAAUUAAAAAGAACUAACCUCUGAAAAUUAUAUUGUUACUCUUUUGACAACUUUCUAUACGUGAAAGGUUCGUGAAAGGUUUUGGCGUUGGCCUGUGCCAGAGAUAACAGGGUGUUUCCAAUUAUUUUGGUUACGUAUUAGUCACGUGAGACAAAUAGGUUUUGUCAUGUAGAUUGUCUUUUUCUAGUAUCAUGGACAGCGGCAAUUAUUCCUCCAAGGUUUCCUAGCCUCAGCUGUACGAUGGUUGACAUGGUUUCCAGUUAGGUUGAAGACGAUGCUUGUAAAUCUAUAAUUUUGAAAUUUAAUGAAUAAAAUAAUAAAGCCCUGCUGCAAAAUUUUUAGCUGCUCGUGUUAUUGACGCCAAGAACUUUACUGACCUAGCUAGUAAUCUCUUGCCUUCUCUAAAAAAGAAUUUUAGUUCCUACAUGGCUGUCACUGAUGCUAUUCUGGAAUGAUCUAUAUUUGAUGAAAAUGUAGUUAAGAGCAAUAUUCGUUGUAGGAUUACUAUUGCUGAAGGUUGUUUUCUUUGAUUAAUGUCUGCUGUCAUAUAAAGCUGGUUUCAUCUGAUGUAAUUCUUUCAGACUUGUAAUUCCUCUUUCCCUUUUUGCAGCUCAAUCUAAAGGACCUCGAAUGUCAUGCUCUCAGUUUUACCCUUGAUCUAUAAAAUGGGUCAAGUAUAUGAGGUAUUUCCACUGAAAUCAAUUGUACGCAUAAACAUGUUUUUUUACUUGUCACAUUUUCUCACUUUUAAAAGCCUAAUUGGCAUAUUAGACGUCACUAAUUAAAAACUAAUACGAUAAAGUAAUAAUCUAAAAUACAACAAAGCCAUUACUGAAGUCAUUUUGGUGUAAUGGUUUGUUUUUUAUAGUGCCUGAUAGCAACACGACAAUGUAAAAAUUGCUUUUAAGUUGUACCCGCAGUUAGUGUGGCUUCUCCACUAUAAUAGUUGUUACAAAUACAAUUUAUUUAAGUUUAUCUGAUAUCAAUGUCUGGUGUUUUGGAGUUGAUCUUCAAUGGUUUUGGCAGUUCACUGAACAAUGAACAUGUAUAUCUUUUUUAACGGGAGCUUUGAGAAACAGUGUGGUUUAUCCGUUAUACCAAUCACAGAUACUAAUUUAUCUGAAUUAAUUUUGAUCCCUGAAGGCUGUCAUUUUCCCCUUAAAUGGGUCUGAAAGUGUCAUCCAUGUUUAUCUGUAGACAGAUGAUUUUCAUUUACAUCUAAUGCAGGUUAUUCAAAGUUUGUUUAUUGUGCUAUUAUGGGUGUAUCCUUAGACGUAAAGCGAAGAACUGAAAAUUGAAGCUUGAAGUUGACAGAGGCUACCUGUGUUUUUUUAGUCUGAUAUUUAUAGUCUAUUUAUGACCAUUUUUCUUUGUAGUUUUCAAUGUAACAUAGUAUUUACCCUUGUGUAUUUGUUUGACAAUGGAUAUAUAAGAUUUCAAUUCAGAAAAUGUUAAGUUUUCUUUUUUUUUUUCUUCAAGGUAUCUUGUCGGGUACCUUAACAAUUCGUGGCUAUUGCUUCCUGCAUCCUGUCAUGUGUAUUUCAGUACCUUAUCACUUUCGGAACUUAUUUUCAGGAACACGAUAAACAGUUCUGGAAUUGUUCCCCUUUUAUUAGGGAAACAAUUUUCGAAAAGUUUUUUGAUGGGGUGGAAGGAGAAAUUUGGUGGGGUAUAAGAAGCAACGGCCAUAAUUAAUUUGCUAUAUAGCCCAUUAUUAAUAACUAGGAACGCAUUUACUAUUAACGAUGAAAGAAAAAAUUCAACAGACUAUUUAUAUAGAAACUAAAGCUCUUGUACUAAUUUGAAAUGCUAGUUUAUUAUUUUAUACAUAGCUAGGAGAGAUAAAACAUGUUGUUUAUUAUAUAGUAGAAGGUAGGUAGUAGUACGUCAGAAAGUAGCACUGAAACUGAAGAAGGAGAGCGCAAUUGUGGGUCCUUUCAACUUUUCAACUUUAGUAUUGUAUUGUUCCCAUCACAACAUUCACAUGCCAUUCCCAUUGCACAUCACAGAAAAAUCCAAAAUCUUAGGAUAAUUAAGCCAAUCACAAUUCAUUAUUCCAACCCAACGGCUAUAUUUUCUUCCCUCUCUCAUUCAUUAUUCAACCAUUAUUCAUUAUCUCGUAACGGUCCUCAGCACAGAACAUAUAUAGUGUUGUUAAUAUUACCUUACAUAACAUAAAUAGUGCUAAGGUUCCAUUAUGUCAAUUAUUGUUUCACUUCCAAUGGAGACUGCUAAGGUUCAACAUGUAACCAAAAGAUCUUCGGAUGAGCUUCUGAAGAAGUUUGCAGAAGUGGGUUGUGACGAAGGUGGAAAAAGGAGAAGGAAGAAGAGGAGAGAACAUGAAUUGUGUGACUUUGACAGCCCUUCAACAGGUAGUGCCGCCGUCGUCGAAAGGAGGUCCCUUCUGCUGCCCAAGUUGACACGCAGGUCGGUGCUGCUCCGGCAGCUCAGGGUCAGAAACAACUCAUCACUCUUUCGAAACAUUCAUAAGGUGAGCCCAAUUCAAUUCUUUUUUUUUGUACCAAAAAUAUUAAUGAUUUACUUUAAGAGGUAAUUUUAUUAACUUUGAUCAUUAAUCAAUCUUAUCUGAAAAAUAUAAAUAUUUAUUUUUUCAUGACUUUUUACAGACAUGGCGUAGAACCAUUGAAGGUGCAUCCAAAGUUUUCUUGGAAAAGCAUUAUCAUCGUCAUAAGCGUUUGAUCAAUGACAGUGUUUAGGCUCUGUUAAAAAAAUGUACAACUUCUCUUUCUGCAUCUGUGCAAACCUUUGUAUAUUUUCCCUUUGUAAUUUCUUCUCCCUGUUUUUCAUUCUUUGAUUUCUAGUUUAUGUUUCCAUUCUCCAUUUUGUUAUAAUAUCUCCUUUGAAAUAGUAAAAAGAAAUAUAACUUCUAAAUCUAUGUUUAUAUUUAUUCUAGAUUUCCUCUAUUUUGAGUUUGUCCAAAAUACUUGAAAUGAUGUUUGUUAGACCUUUUACAUCCCAAUUAGUUAUUAAAGGUAUUUUUAAAGUUAACUACUUGAUCAUUUGUGUUAGUAUAUGUAUGAGUGACGUGACGAAUAAACAUCUUUAUUUAAUAAAAAAGGUAUACAUUGAAUUUUUUAUAUUUUGUAAAACAAUACUUUAACUAAUAAUAUAUAUUAUAAUAUUUUUAUAAAUAUUAUUUGAUUAUUAAUGUAUUUUGAUAGUGUUUUAUUUAUUAAUUUAUAUAAAUUUAUGACUUUUUAAAUGCAUUAAUACUGAUUAAGAAAAUAAAAGAACAAGCACUUACUUUUAAAACAAAAUAAAGAACCAAAGAUUAAUUCUUUUUCAUUUAGAAAAAUUAUUUAAUUUUAAAGUUUUUGUUGAAUACUCUUAAAAUUAAAUAAUUUUUUUAAAUCAGAAAAAAUAUAUUUUUAUAGUUUUUAUCAUUUAUUUAUAGUUCUAUUUUUCGAUUACGAGGAAAUAGAAGAAUAAUAUAGACUUUUAUGUUUCUGUUGAUAGCUAAAAUAAAAAAGUUAUACUUUUUACUUCGUUCAAAUAUGUUUUGUUGCAAAAAGAUUUAUAACUUAAUAAAAUUAAGGUCUCUAUGAUUAUGAUGUGAAUAUUUGAGUAUGUUAUAAAUAUUGUGUAGAUAAUUGUAUAAAAAUUGAGUCCUAAAAUCCAACUCUAAUAAAUGAUCAUUCUAUAACUUUAACAAUUAAAAAUUUUAUUUAUUAUUAACUUGCUUUGAACCAAUCAAUAUAUAUAUAUAUAUAUAUAUAUAUAUAUAUAUAUAUAUAUAUAUAUAUAUAUAUAUAUAUAUAUUCACCAUAUAAAUUAAUAAGGAAUCAUAAUUAAUUAAGUAAACACAAAUUCUCUGAAAAAAUAUAGUUAAACUUACCAUUUUUACUAGUAUGAUUUUGGUAUAUUUAUUUAAGAGUUAACAUGAUUUUUUAUUUAUUUAAUCUAACUUAUAUUGUUCUUUUAUUUCAUCUAGCCUUCUGUUAACUUUUUUUUUAUAUUUUUAAUAGAAUGAAAAAUUAAAAAGUAACAAAUGACCAAAUGUAGUGAAAAUAUGAAAAGUGACAUGUGAUUCGAUAAAACUCAGUGUAUUUCAAAUAUAAAAAUAUUUCCAAUUAAUAAAACAAAAUGUGUGAUAGGUAAUAAAUAAGUCAUUUUUAUGUAGGUAUGGGUCAUUUUUAUUACUUAUUUAUUACAUUUGGUUAAUAUAAAAUUUUAUCUAAAUUUGUAAAUGUUGGAUCCUUACCUUUCAUAUCUCAUCCUUAGACAUUACAUGGGAAUUAUAGUCAUCGCACAUCCGAUAUAAAUAUUGACUCUUCUUUCUUUAACAAAAUUAUUCCAUCACUUAACCUAAUUGGAAUAAUGGAAACAUGUAUUUAUGUUUUCUUCUCUAUAAAUAGAUGUUUCUCCUCAUUUAUCCUCUAAAACCUCGGCUAUUAUCCUCUUUUCUCUUAAAUUUCAUUAUCUUGUUUUUGCUAGUUUUGUAAUCUUCGACAUACAAUCUUAAAAGUUCAUGUUGUAUAUUGAGAACAAAUAAAUCCUUAUAAGAAAAAUUCUCGACCAUACCUUAUGAAACUAUCUUGUCCAUGUUUUUGAUCAACUUUUCAUCAAUUAAUGGAUCUACUUACAAGUUAUGAAGCAUAAACUCGUAUAUACAUGAAUAUAAAACAAAAACAAAAGUACAAUCAUAAUUAAAAAAAAUAUAAGACAAUACCUUAUGAAAUCAUCUUGCUUGUGUUCUUGGUCAACUUAUCCUAUAAAAGUUUAUCAAUCAAUGGAUGUACUUACAAGUUAUGAAGCACAAACUCAUAUAUAUACAUGAAUAUGACACAAACACAAAAAGUAAAAUCAUAAUUAGAAAAUAUAAGGCACUAGAACAUGAUGAUAAGUCUAUUAAAAUACUUGAGAUUGAAACUGUAAAAUAAUUCUUGAGGGCUUGAUUGAUCCCUCUCAUAAUCUUCUAUUUAUAAGAAUAAAUUGAUACAAGAGUACAUGGUAAUUAAAGUAACCCUAGACACAAUAUAAUCAUGAUAAAUAGGAUAACACUAAACACAAUGUAAUCAUGAUAAAUAAGUAAACCAUUGACAUAAUAUAAUGAUGAUAAAUAGGAAAUAUCCUAAUAAAAAUGUAUUAAUCAUAUUCCAUAAUAUAAAAAAAAAUCUUGAGAAAUAAUAAGAAAAAGAAGUUUAACAAAAUGAAAAUUUUGAAAAAUGUUAUGUUUGACUAUUAUGUUUGGUUAUCCUCAUUGAAAAAUACAAAUUCUAAGUUCAGUUCAUCAAAAGAUAAACUAACAAUAUUAAGAAUCUCAUUCUCAUCCAAUAAAAAACUUGUUUAUAACAUGACACAAAUUAAUUUUCUCUUCACUAUAAUUUGAAGAGUUUAUUUAGAAAAGACAAAAAUUAUUAUGUAUUAUAUCCUACACUCUUUGAGGUGUUAUCUUAUUUAUUUCUAAAAAUUAUAUAAACGAUCAUGUACUCCAAUUUCUUUCAUGAUAGGAAGAAGAACAUAGUUGUUCAAAUAACUUAAGUGUUAUAUUUUUGAAAGUGUGGGUACACAAACAUCAUGAACAAUUCACCAUUGCAAAUGGUGAAUAUGUAAGGUUACAAGAAAAUAGAAAAUCUUCUUUUCUAUUCAAAAUUUUUUUCUCUAACUUUAUAUUUACUUAUCUCCUUACAUAUACAUCAUUAAAGUAUCCUUUAAAACAUUUCUUCCUUUUAUAGGUAAGUUUCAUAUCUUGAUAUGCGAGAAAUAUUUGUUAAUCUUCACUUAAUCGUUCAUGACUAUAAUAUAUACAACAUUGUUAUAAGUUAUUUAGGUUCAAGUGUCCCUACUUAUAAAGAAAUAAUGAUAUUAGUUAAUAUGAUUUUAUUUAAUUAUAGUUUAUAAUGAAACUUAUGUGCAUGUUUAUUCAUGCUACACUAUAUACAUAAAAUAGGAAACUCGAAUCAAGUUGACGCUGGUCGAAGAUCAAGUCGACAUGGCUCAAGUCGAAGGUUGAGCCAAGUCAACCAGGUCGAAGAAUUGAGUCAAGCCAAAUUGGAUAAAAGAUAGAGUCAAGACAGUCCAAGCCAAAUGAGCUGAAGGCCGAAUUGAGUCGAUCAUGUUUGAAGGUUGUGCAGUGUCAACCCGACCCAAGGUCAAGUCAACUUGGUCCAACUAAAAGUUUAGUUGAGUCAACUUAGGUCGAAGGUUGGCCUAAGUCGAUCGAUCCUUAAAAUCGAGUCAAGUCGGUCCAACCUGAAGGUUAAGCCGAGCUGAUUAGGAUAAGAGGUCGACUAAAGUCAGCGUGGGUCAAAGGUCGACUCAAGUCGACCAAGUCAAAGCAUUAAGUUGAGUCUACUUGGGUCAAAAGUCAACUCAAGUCGGUCAGUUCAAAGACUUAAAUCAAGUCGGGUGAGGCCAAAAGUUAAAAGAAGUCAAUUAUGUUGAAAUUCAAUCUGAGUCGGUCUGGACAGAAGUUUAUUCAGAAACGUUCUAGAAUAAUCGAUUAUCAUAAGUGAUAAUCAAUUACCCCAGUUAAUUUUAGAUUUGCCAAAAAGCUUUUGGAAUAAUCAAUUAUCACUCUUGAUAAGUUAUUAUCACAGAGAAAAUAUUUUUUGAAAUAACUUCUGGAAUAAUCAAUUAUCACUUAUUAUAAUUGAUUAUUAAUGAUAGUUGCGAAAUAACUUUUUGGUUUUCUGACCUAAUUUUCAAAUAUUUGACCUAUAUAUAUUUUUCCUCCACAAAUUUCGAACAAUUCAUUUUUAUUCUGAGAAGUUUAAUGUUGUUGCAAAUAAACUCCCUAUGCUUUUUUGAAAAGUAGCUUGUAAAAUCUAGUAUUAGUAGAAGAAGUGAGUGCUUUCACUUAGUGCAUCAGGUGACUAUGUACAUCUCUUGCAGCUAGAAAAAGUUGUUCAUCCUUUAUGUGUCAAGGAAGUAUUAUUCAUUUCAAUAUAAUUAAGAGAGGUACUUCCAAAUGUUUACUCUUUUAGUGAUUAAUUAAUUUUCUCUUUAAAGGAAUUAACAAUAUAAUCUUUUGUUUUAAAGCACUAUAAAACUACUUGUUCAACUUUCUUUUUCCUUAUAUUCUUUAUCUUUAUUGUUCUUUUACUAAAAUAAUUUAUUUUUAUCAUAAAAUUAAUUUAUAAAAAAGAAAACUUUUAAAAGAUAUUGAUUUUAUUAAGUUAACCAAAUUUUCCUUUCAUGCAAACAUUCAAAUUUGAAAGAUGGUCAAGAAAACAUUUUUUACAUAAAUGUAUCUUUUUCUUUUGAAAAUUCAUUUUAUUAUAUUUCUUUAUCUUUCUAUCUUCAAUUUUAUUAAUUAGAGGAUAUCAAUAAUUAUUCCGAGAUUUAUUUUCUACAUAAACAAAGUUUUUAGUUAUUUAAAUUUUAUAAUUGGAGUUUUCAAAAUGAAAGUACAUAAACAUGAAGUAAGAACAUCGAUCUUGAUAAGAGGCAUAUUGUUUUGUUUUUGUUGUUUUGAAAGUGCAAGUGCUUAUUUUAAGUACACUUAUUAACAUGGUUUAAACCAUUUAGUUGUCCAUAUUUUUGGGAGGUUUUCCCAUUUUGAUCCCGUCUUAUUAGAAUCCCCAAUUGAGUCCCUAUAAGUGCUAAUUUUAAUCAAUUAAGCCCCCCUGCCGUUAAAUUUAGUUAACGAGGUUAACUUUUUUGCACAGCUGGAAGGAUGACCUGUUAAUUUCUGUAAACGUGACCUAUUUAGAGUUGAAACGUGGCAUGAAUUGAGUCCCAUAAGUGCUAAUUUCAAUCAAUUUCAACUCUAAUUCAUGUCACGUUUCAACUCUAAAUGGGUCACGUUUAUAGAAAUUAACAGGUCAUCCUCCCAGCUGUGCAAAAAAGUUAAUCUCGUUAACUAAAUUUAACGGCAGGGGCUUAAUUGAUUGAAAUUAGCAUUUAUAGGGACUCAAUUGGGGAUUCGAAUAAGAUGGGGAUCAAAAUGGGAAAACCUCCCAAAAAUAGGGAGAGCUAAAUGGUUUAAACCUAUUAACAUCAUAGUUAUCAAUUUCAACUUUUAGUAUCUUUUAUUUAUUUUAAGUAGUCCUUUGUUUUUAUUUUGAAUUUAAUGAGCUUUUAUUUUAGCUUUUCAGUUUAGAAUUUAGUUAUUAAUAGUUCACAAUUAAUUGCUCUUAAAAUGAAAACAAAUCUUAUUAGAUAUCAACCAAUAAUUAUUUUGAAUACCAUUUGUUUUUUUAUUCUUAAUUAAUUACAAUUUUAAAGUAAACUGGCAUGUAUACUUAUAAUGUCAUUUUAAAUGAAUUUAUUUUUGUUUUUCUACAUUUUAUAAUUUGUAGACUGAAGAAAAUAACUUCAUUUUUAUUUUUGUUAAUAUGAUACUAUGAUGCUUUAUUAGUGUGCAUAGUUUUAGGUCAUCAAAAUUUUAUUAUUUACACUAAAUAAAAAAAAAUCAUAAAUCACCAUGUUUAUAACAAUUUCCUGUUAUAUUAUUGAAAAUCUCAAUAUCGAAUAGUUGUUGUUUUAUAAUAAAAUAUAAUUGUAUUUAUUAUUAAUUUAAAAAUAAAUACAACAAAUUGAACUGAAUAUUUGUAAUAAAAGUAUGAAAAAUAUUUAUAUUUAAUUUAUUCAAAUGUUUUAUUAAAAAGAUGGAUUUUUUUUUCUAAAGACCAAAAUAGUCAUUCUAUGUUUUAUAUUUUAAUUAUAUAUUUAAUGAAAAUGGUCUAAAAGAGAAUUUUUAUAAAAAAAUUAAUUAUAAAAAAUUGUCUUUGAUAUGUUUAUAAUAUUUGUUACCAAUUUUUAAAAUUAAUUUUUAUUUAUAAUCAACAAAAUUAUUAUCUCAUUUGUAAUAUUUAUUAAUUAAUUAAUAUGAAAAAAAUAAUGUUUUCAAAUCAUAUAAAAAGAUUACUUUUUAUAGUCUAAACAAAUUGUCAUUUAAUUAGUAGAGAUAAAGAUUUUUAUGUUUAAAAUAUUUUAUUGUUAUAAUAGUUUUAGUUGAAAUAAUUUUUUCUAAGCUUCUUUACAAUAUAUAAUACACGUAUAUAUGACAGACAUAUUUUCAUUAAAAAUUAGAAUCAAAGUUUUCGCCUAACUUUGUUUUAUUGAAGUUUAUUAUAUAAUUAAAAUUAUAAAUUUUUACUAAUUAUAUAGGAUGAAUAAUAUAUAUAUAUAUAUAUAUAUAUAUAUAUAUAUAUAUAUAUAUAUGUGUGUGUGUGUGUGUAAAAAUAUGCUUAUUUAACACAUAAAGAAUUGAUUUAAAAUAUCUUGAUAUCCAAUUUAUAUACUUCUAUUACAAUACUUUUAAUUCUAAUUCUUUUACUUAUAUAAUUGGUUAAGUGUUAUUUUAGGAAUAUAUGAGUAAACUUUAUGAAAUUAUAAAGUGAAAUUUAAAAUAUAAAUUAUAAAAAAUAAUAUUACCUACAAUGCACCUUAUUUAAUAAAAUCUAGUAAAAUAAUUAUAUUUAACUAAUUAAAAUAUAUUUUAACCCAUUAAUAUAUUUUAAUUUUCGUUUCAAAAUAAAUUGAAGUUAACAUUAGCACCAUUAUCUUCUAAAUUUAGUUUGUAAAAUUAUUAUUUUUAAAAUGAAUUUUAUAUUUUUUAUUGAUUAUCAUAAAUAAUUUAAGGUUUUAUUUGAGAGAGACGAGUUUUAUAAUAUAUAUAUAUAUAUAUAUAUAUAUAUAUAUAUAUAUAUAUAUAUUAAAAAUAAAAUUAUCUGUUAAAUACAUUACAGCCUUAAAAAAAAUCUCUAAUAAUUAUAUAGAUUUAAUUUAAUAAAUAAAACAUUUUAAAUAUACGAGUUUUACAAAGGCAAUUACACUAAGAGGACUUUCUAUUAAAAAAUUCUGUUAGAAAAAAAAAACAUUUGAAUGCUUACUUUAUAAAUUUAAUUAUAUAUUAGAAAUAAUCUAUAUAAAAAAUGAUAAUAGAAAAUAGUAAGAGAAUUUUUUUAAUCAAAUACAAAUAUACCAUUUAUAAUAUCUGCGAACAUUUAUUAAAAUUAUUGUUUAGAAACUCCUCUUUGUAAUUAUAAUCAUAUAUAUUAGUAUUUAAUUUAUAAUAUUUAUUAAAUUUGAGUGUUUAGAAAAAAUAAUUUUUCAUAUAGUAAUUUGUGGAUGAAUAUUUUUACUAAACGAUAGAAUAAUUAAUUUUUCUCAGUUAAUGAUAGAAUAAUUAAUUUAUAAUUCUAUAGUUAAAUUUUAGAAUAGAUAAAAGUCACUUCAUUUAUUAUAAUAUAUUAUUUAUUUGUACAGUACUGUUAUUUAAAUACAAACAUUUGAUAAAUACAUGUAUUUUACCAUUUAAUUUUUUUUAUUACAAGAUUUAUUUUAAAUUAUUUAUUAAUAAAGAAUAAAUAUAAUUUGAUCUUACAAAUUAUAUUUUUAUUUUGGUUCGGAAACUACAUUAUGUGAAUAUUUUAAAACACAUUUCAUACUGUGCAAAAUUAAUUUACUUGAAAGAACUAAAUAAGGCAUAGAGGAAGAUAUUAUUUAACAUCUCACAUUCCAAAUAGGUAAUAUCUUCCAAAAUUUAUUCUAUGCAUCAUUAAUAUAACUUUUUAAAAAAUAUUAACUGCUGGACUUAAAUGUGUAUUUUUUUAAUAUAUUUUAUAGUUUGUAAUAAAUGUAUAAAUUCAAUUUUGUUAUUAUUUUAAUAACUAUAUAUUUUCUUUAUUUCAUCAAUGAAAAAGAAAAGUGCAGUGAAAUGCACGGAAACAGAUACUAACUACUCUCUAUAAAAGAAACAGUGGUUUCUUCUAUAAUUCCAUCUUUUCUUUCACAAAUUCUUCAUUUUUGCUUCGGAAUUUCAGUUUUCAUUGACAAGUUCUUUCUCUUUGCCAUAGCUGAUAAGGAGAGGUUAGUCCAAUUAUGGUGUGAUCUUCGCAUUCUUUUUAAAUUUGUAUUGCAAUUGCUCAGUUUUUCAUUCUUCUUUAUCUUUAUGUAAAAAAGUUAAAUUUUUCAUCAACAAUUCCUCAAUCUUUCCUUUCUCUUUAAUUCUUUCACCAAUUCUUGCUUUCACUUUUAGAUUUAAGGACUAAAAUUGGUUCUUCGUGAAACUUUUCCCGCCAAGAAAAAUAAUGUUGCCUCCGUGGCUUUCAAGUAUAGUUAAUUCGUGCCUAAAGCCUUUUAAGUCUCAAGACAACGUGAAUGAUGAUGAUGAUGAGCCUAGUACAUCCCCGCUUCUAUGGCGUAGAGAUAUUCAGAUGCAUGCUUGUGGUGAAUUUUCCUUCGCUGCAUGUCAGGCAAAUCGGGAAAUGGAAGAUUAUAGCCAAGUUGAGAUUGGCUCUAAAGCAUUAUUCGUUGGGGUUUACGAUGGUCACGGUGGUAAUGAUUGUUCCCGGUUUAUUAAAACUCGUCUCUUCAACAACUUAGUAGGUGAGUCUUGUUGCUUUUGUUCUUGGAAUCUUUUUUGGUGCUGUGUAUUGUUAUUUACUAUUUUACAUUUUCUUGUUGUUAUUUGACGUGUUUCUUGCUUAUAUUGGCAUGGUCUGGGUUUUGGUUUUAUUGUUGCUUGAUUUUCAAGAAGUUCAAUUUCCCUUCUUGAUUUUCUUUCUUUACUUCCUGAAAUCUAAAGAACCCACUGCUUUAUGAAAACAGUGACUGGUGCACUUAAGAUGAUAAUUGGUGUUUGUAUAGAGACAUGUUAUAAAUCAUGUGUGGUUUAAACAAUUAUGAAAGUUUUACGUGGAACCUGAUUACAGAGGCUGUUAGGAAUCAGGGAAGUAUAAACGAAGACGCUCUGAGGGAAGCUUUUGCUACUACAGAGAAUGAUUUUAUGUUAGUUGUUGAGAGGGGUUAUGAGUUACAGAAGAAAUUGGCAACAGCAGGUUCCUGUUGUCUGGUUGGUGUUAUCUGGGGAGGAGUCCUAUAUAUCGCCAAUCUUGGAGACUCUCGUGCCAUUGUUGGAACUUUAGGUAGAUGUAGAAAGAUCACUACUGAACAGUUGACAACAGAACACAAUUGCAUUAGGGAGGAAAUUAGAGAAGAACUUAAGGCUUUGCAUCCAAAUGAUCCAGAUAUUGUAGAAGUAAGACGAGGAGCAUGGCGUGUUAAAGGCAUCAUCCAGGUUUUUCUUUUGCUUUUACCUUCAUCACAAUGGGUUUUCAGUACUUACUGAUUUGUGAAUUGCAAAACUACUAAAUGUUGUAUUGUAUCAAGCGUAGCAGGCUCUGUUUCAUGAUUAUGUUUUUGUUCAUUUGAGGUUUGAUACGGUUUUAAAACUGCUAUCAGGUGUCCAGAACCAUAGGAGAUGCGUAUCUGAAGAUUCCAAGGCAUUUGCAGCCACCUCUCACUGUACCUGUGCUGUCUGCAGAACCAACUCUAAAUACAAGAAUUUUGACAUCCGAUGACAAAUUUCUCAUAUUUGCAUCCGAUGGACUUUGGGAACACUUGACAAAUCAGCAAGCAGCUGAGAUUGUUCACUCGAAUCCUCGAAGAGUAUGUUUUUUUGUUUUUUACUUGUCCUUGAUUUGAAGCAAUAAGUAUAAAUGAAAAUGGUCUAACUUGAUUCUUAUGCUCUAGGGGAUUGCAAGAAGACUUAUUAAGGCUGCUGUACAGUCGGCAGCUAAUAGAGCGAGGAUGGAAUAUACAGCGCUUCGGAACUUGCCGAGAGAGAGCAGACGGAUUUAUCAUGAUGACAUUACUGUGGUUGUUGUCUUCCUCGACGGUCCCUCACGUUCCGAUGUGGAACAGUUGUCCCUUAGAGCGUUCGAAGAGGAAGCUGGACCAUCAAAUUUUCAAAGUCUAAACGAUUUGAUGUGAUACAAGGAUUAUUCUUUCUACAACUGUAGCAAAUAAAGUUGAUUGCCUCUACCUAAUUCUGGUUCAAAACAAAAACAAGAAUCAAUAACAAUACACUCAGACAUAGUUUUGCAGCAUAUUGUUGUUGUGCUAUCAAGGUUCUUCUACUCUUAGCCUCACUUUAAAACUCUACUUUCUGUUUCUGAAACUCAUUUGCUGCUCAUAACUAAUGCUGAAAUUGAAUUUAGAAGGCUUUUUCUGUUUUUAGCUGCAUAACUCUAAUUACUAAAAGUUUUUAGAGUCCCUUUCUUUUUUUUAAUCAGUUUGGGAAUCAAGCAUGCUCCACUUCCAAGGUUUCAUUAUAUAUUUAAACGGGAUAAAAAAAGCAAGUGGUGGUUGAUUAUAAAAGUAAUAAUGCACUAUUGUUUCAUUUACUGAAGUUUUUUCUUUCUAAUUCUUUUUUCUAAAAAAAAUUCUUACAAUAUCAACCUAAAGUGAAAGAGAUUUUUGGCUUAAAUCAAUUCUGGACUUUCCUUUUAGUUUAUAAAACAAUCCCUUAAAAAAACAUUUUUCUUUGGCGAAUGAUUUAUAUUCAUUUUUCAUUUCUCACUUGAUUUAUUAAACACUACGGACUUUUCUAAUAAGAGUUUUACUUUUAUUCUAUAUAAUGUGAGUUUUUCUUCAUUUUGAACUAUUCAGAGGGCUUGAAUUGAAAAAACAUAAACAGAAUGAAGAAAUUUAUUUUAUGAAUAGCUUCUUUGAAAACAUGAAAAAAAGAAGAAUCAAAUGAGAAAAUUACAUUUUAUGCAUUAAAAUCUUGAUUAAAUCCUGUCAUAAUGGAAUUAUGGCCAUGUAAAGUAGAAGAGUAGAAAAUAUUUUUUUCUUAUAAUAGUGGAAUUAUAGUCGUGUAAAUAUGCAGUUCAAAAAAGGGGAUUUUUCUUUGGUUCCGAUAGAAAGAAAUUUUCAAAGAAUCACAGGAAUGCAUGCAAUAACCACUCAGUUUUCAAAUUUCAAGCACACUAAAGCUGGCUAAAGUAAAAAAAGUUGAAAAAUUUACAAACUUUUUAGAUAAAGUGAAACUAAAGUACGAAAAACAGAGUGUAGAAUGAAGAAGAAAGUAAAACAUGAUACCCAUUUUGAAAUACUCAAAACACACUAUCGCAAAUAUUCAUCUCUACGUACAUAACUAUCCGGAAAAGAUACAUGUAAUUAUUUUUUGAAAAAAAAAAAAACAAUUUUUUCAACAGUUUUAUAAUGUAAAGGACAUGUUCUAUAUAAGAAGUUAUCCGAUCUAAAAUGCACACCAUCAGUAGAAGCUUACACACACGUCCGCCUUUGAGAGUGCGUUGACAGGAUAUUUCGUUAAUAUCCAGAAACAAGAACGACAAAAUGGAUUCAACUUUUUUGUGUUUUUCUGUUUAACGUACUAAAUACAUUUGAAUUAGGGUUUCCAAAUUUUUCUCAAAUGAAGUUCAACUGAAUACAUUUGGGAGUGAGCCAUUGGCGAUGAGAGGGACACUCGAUAAUAAUAUCCUUGAAACCACCAGUUACUGCAAUGGACAGGCCAAAACAAACCAAAAACUACGGACACACUCUAUUGUGAUAAAGCAGAAACGACUUCACUCAAUUCGAUUGAAAAAAAUGCUAACCAGCAUAAUUCUAACAGACUGAUAUGGAUCCAUAGGAAACAAGUAAAACCAAGCUGGCAAAUUGACAGACUGAGAUCAACAAUGACAUUUUGGUUGCAGAGAAUUAUAAAUCAAGCAAGUACCAUACCACUGCUUUAAUCAGAAUACUUCAUAAAAAGAAUUUGUUGAUUCAACCAAACCAAAUCGGUAACAAUGCACAUCUCUUCUACUACAACAAAACGGGGAAAAUUUUGAAUCUUACAUAUCUUGCCAGCCUUCAUGCUCUUAUCUCAACAUAUCAAAGAAAGGAAAACACAAAAACAUGAUAAAAGGAAUGGUAAAGAGUAGGAAAUGCAAGUCCUCGACCACUUGAUGGUAUUUUUGUAGUAUUCGUAUAAAUAGUAAUUUCCCUGGUCCAGCUUUCAUACUCCAUGAUUAUAACUUAGAAGCAUUUCCUGUGUACGAUUGAUGGUCCAGAUUCAUCAUACUCAGCCUUCGCAAUCCACAUCUGCACAUGGGAGAGAAAACAUAAAAAAGGAGUAGACUAAAUUUGCUUGUUUCAAUGGUUUGAGUUGGCUUCAGCAAGUACUUACUCUGUUUCCAAACAAAACAAGCACAACGAAAAAGAAUGUACUUUAAACUAAUCUUAUCCCCUUGAUCUAGCUAAGUAUCAUGUUUGAUAUUUCCUCCAAUUUUUUGAUACUACUUAUUUUAUUAAACUUCUACUUAUUAUUCAAAUACAGUUUCCCAUGUAUUGACAUUCCAAAUUCAACAGCUUCACUCAUGCAAUUAUGGUCAUGCAUGCAGUUUACCUGUUGGAAGGUGCUGAGGGAAGCCAAGAUGGAGCCUCCAAUCCAGACACUGUAUUUCCUCUCUGGUGGUGCGACAACCUUGAUUUUCAUGCUACUCGGUGCCAAUGCUGUAAUCUCCUUGCUCAUCCUAUCAGCAAUGCCUGGGAACAUUGUGGAACCACCACUCAAGACAAUGUUACCAUAUAGAUCCUUCCUGAUGUCGACAUCACACUUCAUGAUAGAGUUAUAUGUUGUCUCGUGGAUGCCAGGAGAUUCCAUCCCAAUCAUGGAUGGCUGGAACAGAACUUCGGGGCACCGGAAUCGCUCAGCACCAAUAGUGAUCACCUGCCCAUCAGGAAGCUCAUAGCUCUUUUCAACGGCUGAGCUAGUCUUGGCAGUUUCCAAUUCCUGCUCGUAAUCAAGAGCAAUAUAGGCCAGUUUCUCCUUCAUGUCCCUCACAAUUUCCCGCUCUGCAGAUGUGGUGAAAGAGUAACCACGCUCGGUCAGGAUUUUCAUAAGGGCAUCAGUGAGAUCACGCCCGGCAAGGUCCAAACGCAAGAUUGCAUGUGGAAGGGCAUAGCCUUCGUAAAUAGGAACCGUGUGACUGACACCGUCUCCGGAGUCCAGAACAAUACCUACACAAACAUCAUAGAAAAACCGCAUAAAUUCACUUCAUUCAAUACCAAGUCGUGUCAUUAAGUGGCUGCUAGACUUCCAAAUCUCAUUAAACAUUCAUGAUACAACAAUCGAAACUCUUUUAGGCUUCAAGGGUUAACUCGUAUUGAUUUAGUUCAGUAGAACAACAAGGAAUCCUUGCAACUUCAGUUUAGUUUAAUGAUAGUGUGAUUCAUGUAACCGAUCUCUCUUCUUAGCGGCGUAAUAAAAAAGUAAGGAUCAAUUUGGUACCAUGUCAUGAUCCGAAAAAUCCAAAAGCUUAAACUAACAUGCAAAGACCCACGGACCCAGUUCAGAUAGGUUUGGAGCACAUGCAAGCCAUUUCAAUUGAGAGAAACACAUGAUCGGUAACUUACAAGACACCAAGUUAGAUGAUAAAGACAGAUCAACAGUUUCACAUCAUAUCCACAAAGCUUACAACCAGGACAUGCAUGUUAUACCAAAUAAACAAGAAUCAAGAAAGGUGGAUGAAGAUCGGUUACCAGUUGUACGGCCACUGGCAUAAAGGGAAAGCACAGCUUGGAUGGCGACAUACAUAGCAGGAGUGUUGAAGGUCUCAAACAUGAUCUGAGUCAUUUUCUCACGAUUAGCCUUAGGAUUAAGCGGUGCCUCGGUAAGAAGCACAGGGUGUUCUUCAGGAGCCACACGAAGCUCAUUGUAGAAAGUGUGAUGCCAGAUCUUCUCCAUGUCGUCCCAAUUACUCACAAUCCCAUGCUCAAUAGGGUAUUUCAGAGUCAAAAUACCCCUCUUCGAUUGAGCCUCGUCCCCAACAUACGCAUCCUUCUGUCCCAUCCCAACCAUCACCCCAGUGUGACGUGGACGCCCUACAAUGCUAGGGAACACCGCCCUCGGAGCAUCAUCUCCGGCAAAACCAGCCUAUCAGACAGAUUUCAACAACAUUCACGUGAUUAAUGAAGAAAAUUGAAUUUUCUAACAGAUCCUCAACAACAUUCCGUUGAUCUAAGCGAAACUGAGUUCCGAUCUCGAUUUCAAGUUUUUUUAUGAAGAAAAUGAUCGAACAAGACCACACCAAAGAUGAUCGGUUAGGUUUCAGUUUCAAUAAACCAUCUAUAAAAACCGGUAGAAGUUAAAGUAGCAAAAAAAACUAUGAUCUCAUUUACCAUACCUUGACCAUUCCGGUUCCAUUAUCGCAAACGAGGGGUUGAAUAUCCUCAGCAUCGGCCAUUGUCGUUUAAGGUGAGGAUGUUUGUUGCUGCAAAAACACACAAAAAUUGCGUUAAUCGGCGGGUGGUUGUUCUUAUCGGGUGAACGCAAGAGCAAGAGAGAACGUGGCGGUACCUGCGAAAAGAAGGAAUGUGUGUGCGACAACGUGUGUGUAUGAGAGUGUGUCGUGUUUUUUCGAAGUUUGUGAAAUUUGUGUAUGUGUGUGGCUGAGGUACCCGCCCUGUGGUUUAAAAAAGGAAGGUGUGGUCAAAUGAAAUUCGCCUCAAAUGAAGCGCAAAUUGCACGUCCUCGGAUCCUGACCGUCCGUUGCGAAUAUCGCAUCCACGGGCCACAUUUGUUGUUGGAAAUAGCUGGCACUCUUACGCUUUUUCUUACUUUCCAGUUACACCCCUUUCGCUUCUCCAAUAACCUCAUCUCUCUAUUAUUCAUUCCCAUUUUUCUUUUCUCCUAUUUCCAAUUCAGUGAUAUCCUUUUUAGUUUAUUCAACUUUUGUGGUAUUAAACCAUGUAAAUAAAUAAAAUAAAAAAAUACAUAUAAAUAAUCUUUAAACGGAUUCAGUAUUAUUUUAAGAAAAAUUAUUAGCUUAUAUUCCCAAUUAUAGAGAAAAUAACAUAAAAAAUACUCUUGUUUGCACAAUACCUAUACUAAAUGAACAUUUUAUAAGAGAAUAAAUCAAUAUUACUUUUGAGAAACACUCAUCUAUCCCAUCACUGAGUAAUUUAAUUAGUCUAAUACUUUUUUAUAAUAAUUAUAUGAAAAUUCAGAUAUACCUCAGUAAGUUAUAAAUUAUAAUUGUAUAAUGACACUUUAAACCUGCUUUAAAAUCUGAAUUCAUUAACAUUAAACAUGAAAAAAUAUUAAACUCGUUACAUUUUACGAAUUUAAUGAAUGUAAAUUAGUUUUAAUUAUUAAUUAAUAACGAAUUUUAAUACAUGAUAUAAUUAUUAAUUUUAUAGUAACUGUUAAUAUGGGUGACCCAUACACAUACUUUAAGAAUGAUUAAAAGUAAGUUACAUUUAAAGAACAUUGAUUUAUUUAUUUUUUGCAUUAUUUAUUUUUAAUUUUUAGUCCUCUUUUUCAUUAUUCCUAAUUCAAAAUUAUUUUAAAUUAAUUUACUGUUUAAAAAAUAAAAAUAUUUGAAAUUUAAAUUUUACAAAAGUAGUUUAAAUUUUUAUAUAGAUAUUUUGUAUUAAAAAGAUGUUCCAAUUUUUAAAUUGUAAGAAACGUUACAUAUGGUUACCUUAUUAUCGAUUAAAAGUGAUAUACUAAAUUUCAUUUUUUUUAUUAAAGACAAAAUUAAUAUCUUUUCUAUACGUUGAAUAUUAUGUAUUAAGUGAUACAAAUUAUAAUGUACAUACUAAAAAUUACAUAUAUAAACUUUUUAACUUUAUCAGCAUCUUAAAAAUAGUCUAUGACCAUGAUUCCUUUUGUAUUAUCGACCUUGUGACGAAUUUCUUAUUAUAUUAUCAACUCUUUUCUAAUAUGCUAGUGUAAUUAUAAUUUCAUCAAUUAUAUGUUUUGUAAUAUUUAUUUAUAACAUUAAAAAUUUUGUUUACGAUUUUUAUUUCUAAUUUUAAAUAUUUGUGAAAAUAUAUGAAUUUUGACCACUGAUAUAACUUUGAAAUAAAAAGUAUAAUUAUGCAUUAAAUUUUAUUACAUGUAUAAUAAUUUAAAGCAUUAUAUAAUUAUAUAUAUCAAUAUAUAUAUAUAUAUAUAUAUAUAAUCAAAUUCUAAUUUAUUUCAUUUUAAUUUUUACAUAUAACAAAUUAAAACAAAUGUUUACAUUAUUAUUUAGUUAUAAAAAAAUAAAUAUUUUUUUUUUGGAGAUAUUGCAUAAGAGCCUAUAUUAUUUUAAAAAUUAUUAGUUUAAGAGAUAAAAGUUUAUCAAAUUAAAUUUACAUAUUUUUUUUUAAAAUAGUCAAUUAAACGGAAAUCAUAAUAAGAAAAAUGUUAGUUAAUAGAUUAUAUGCUUAUAUUUUUUUUAUCUCUAUUUUUGUUAAUUUUGUUCGUGUAAAAUUUGUUUUUUUAGAUGAUUAAUAUGAUUUUAAAAUUCGUAAUUUAUGUUCAAUUUGAUACAUUUUUCAUGAUAUUACCUAAAUCGUUAAUGACAUAUUAUACGCAUGAAUAAUGUUUGAAUGAGCAAUUGGAUUAUUGUUUAUAUGGUUAUCGCAUUUGCUUAGGUGGUCAUGUGACGCUUAUACCAUCAUGAAUGUAACCAUAUUAGCAUCAUCAUCAAAACAACUUCGUUCGUCCACCAUUGUGAAUGCAAUCACCAAAAAUGUAGAUUCACCUUGGGAACAUCCAUUGAGACACCUCGCAAGCCACACAUGAAGCGUCUAUGACAUCACGCUAGCUUUCCAGAUUGUAAGCUUCAUUCACCCAUAGUGUCACGCUUCUCCGUGAGCCACUAUCGUCCAAAUAAAUGUAAGUCUUUAAUGAAACACCUAUAGAUCCAAAUUGCACAAACCACGUCGAACCCUCACUACAUCUCAUGCCUCCAUCACCAACACAUAUUUACCCCUUUCCACCACCCAACGAACAACCAAAAAUUAGGAGUAGUACCGAACCACCAAGCAAUUGUAGGAAAACCGUAAUGUUGGCAGUAUCACACAAUCAAAGUCCUAAAUUGCACCACCCAAAUCGAAAUGGAGACUUGGAAAUCUCAAAUACAAACUACGACACCACUUACACAAAAAUCCUAAUUUUGGGAGUGAUUCUAAAUCUGUGCUAGGUAUGGUUUGCGAUUAAGGGCUUCGAGAAGAUGAAUAUGCAUUAUGUGUCGAAGGCAGGAGUGGUUCUUGAUUUCCUCCUUAUUUGUGCUAGGAUGAUGGUUGAAUCUAAUGCGUCAUGGUGGUGGAAGAACGAAGUUCCUCUGGUGGUGACUUCAAUGGUGGUUGCAUUCACGAUGAUGGAGGAACGAAGCAUUGUCGCAUGGCCACAAAAGCAAUUGUACAGGAUGGACGUAAGAAACAAUCCAACAACUCAUUUAAACAUUAUAGUCUGUCAUUAACAAUUUAGACGAUGUCAUGAAAAAUGACUAAAUUGAAUAUAAAUUACGAAAUUUAUGACCACAUUGAACAUAAAAAAAAAAAACAAUUUCACAUUGAUCAAAGUUGACAAAAAUAGGAACCAAGAGAGUAUUUAAACCUAGAUUUUAUAGGUUUGAUAGCUUUGAACUUUAACUCAUAUACUUAUUUUCCAAGGUAUAAGGUGUAACAAUAUAAGUGAUAUGGUUUAUAUAAGAUUUGUUCUAAGUUACAAUUUGUUUUGUUGUGAGUGUAGCGGUUUUGUUAAUCGUGAUUUUUAUUUUUCAAUGCAUUUCUUGAUGACAAAUAAAUCAACAUAUAAUGUUUUAAAAUGUUUUAACUUGAUGAUGGGAUGUAAUACAUCAAAGGAAAUACACACUGUGUUUAAAUAUCACAUUAUUCAAUUCAAAGAGUUUAUAAAUAAUUUUCAGUAAGUGACAAGAUCCUCCUGAGUAGAGUUGUCAACUUGAUCCAUGACUUGUGGACCAACCCUAGCUCAUCCUCAAAAAAGUCCCAUUUUAGGAGGCCUCCUCAAAUGAGGACCAAAAAAAACCUAGUCCCAAAGUUCUCUCUCAAAUGGGUUAGGGUUAAGGUGUGUUUGACUAUACUAUAAGACUUUAAUUAACUCUUAAAAAAUAAUAUUAUUUAUGUACACGUAUAAAAUUAUAUAUUUUAUUAGAUAGUCUAAUAUAUUGUAAUUUUAUUAUAUUUAAAUCAAUAUUUUUAUAUCAUACUAUUUAUUAAAUAAAAAUAUGUAAUAUAUAGUUUAAUAUAGUUAUUGACUAUAUUCUAUUUAUCAAUUUUAUCAUUUUCUUAAAAAACAAAACUUAACAUUUGAUAAAAUAGUACGUAAUAUAUUAUGAUAAAGUUCUAAACCCGAGUAAAGAAAAAUGAAGUAUAGUCAACAUAUGAGACUAUUACAUUAAUUCUUUUAUGAUAUUCACACUAAAGUUUUUUUCAUAAUUACUAAAUAUUAUAUAUAUAUAUAUAUAUAUAUUAUCAAAAAAAAAAAAUAAUUGAUAGAAUUUAAGUAUAAAUUUAAGUCAUACAUAAAAAAACAACAUAUAAACAUAUAAAAGAAAUCAUAAGUUUAUUAUUCAGAAAUUCAUUAUUUUAAACUUUCAAAUUAAAAUGUUUUAUUUAGUUUUGAUUGAGAUCUAGAUAAAUUUUUACACCACAAAAUUAAAAUAUUAUCUUAUAUACUUUAAAAAUAUGUUUAGUCAAGAAAAAUUAAAUAUGUUUAGCCAAUCAAUAAUUUCAACUUUAUGUAUUAUUGUGUAAGUUUUUAUAUAAGUAAGCAACCUACUUUAUUGAGACCAUUUACAAAGUUUAUGUCUGAUUAAAAUGUUUGUAUAUAAUUAUUUAACAAAUUAAAAAUAUUUAGAUUUGUGAAAAAUUAAGAAUUAAUUACAUUUUUUUCUUGUAUUCAAAAUGAAUAUUUUUUCCUAAAAAGAAUGUCAUGGACUAGUCAAGGCUUUUGUAGAUAUUUUGAUAUCUUAUUUUUCUUCAAUUAAAGACUUCUUGGUCUUAGUGAUUUUUUUACCCCAACCCAUGUAAACCAUCAUCAAACCAUUUGAGACAGACGAGGUUAACAUAUCUAUAUAUGUCCAAAAUUUUGCACUCUUAAACCUUAGGAAUUUCUUCUCCUUUGUCAUGCUAAAAAAUCUUAUUGUUUCUAUAUUUGUUUUAGUACUUUGUGAAUUUGGAUGUCCUAAUAUAACUUUUUUCUUUUUGAAAAAUAUAUUUUAUAUGAGAUUUUUUAUUAUAAUAUUGGUAGAUAAAUAUAACACAAUAUUAACAUUACCCUCAAAUUAAAACUUCAAAAUAAUAAAUUUAUUAAUUUUUAUUUUUAUAUAAUGUUUUAUUCAAUGACUUAAAUUCAUAUUUUUAUUUUUUUAAUAUAUGAUUAAAUUUUUUAUAGAAAGAUAUAUGAAAUGUGAUUUGUGAUUGCAUUAUCUUUGAUUAUACACAUUAUAUAACGUUUUACAAAAGUCACUUUUAUUUAUUGUUAUGGGUUAAACAAAUGUGAUUUUAUAGAACUAAAAUUAUGAAACAAAGGUCCAUUUUUUUGAAGUAUUAAAUUUGUUUGUUGAGCCGACAUGUAUGUUCCUUGUUGUAGAUUUCGAAAGCAGUUAAAAGCCAUGGUAUAUUCUUAAAAUCCCAUGGAAGUAGCCUUUUGGAAGGGAUCCGAAGCCCAAACGUGUGGCAUCCUGGUUGAGAACUUGAUGAUGAUGAAUGUGAGAAAGAAGCAACAUGCAUCAUGCUCUUUAGUGCCAACUGCAUAAUGCCACCAUCAUACAGUAUGAGCUGGAUAUUAUUAUGAUAUGAUGAAAAGAGGGGCAAUUUGGGAAAAAGGAAAAGACCCCACCAGAAAAGUAAAGUAAACCAGGGCGUGUUGCUAGAAGAAGCAGCUUUUCUUGUUCUGGUGUCUGUGUAAUUUUCACUCUUAACUUUUUAGACUUGUGGGAGUAAUCAUGCAUGGGACGGUGCCAAAAGCGACAUGCCACAACGUUGCCAACUCAGCAUUCAGUUUGCAACUGUUCAUAGAUCGUGUCGGGCUCUUUUUUAACCUGCGCUCGACUCUACCUAUACUCUCUGCUCCCUUCUCGUUCUAUUCACUGCUAUCGCAUCCUUCGUUGACUGCUUCAGAUUCACUUUCCCAUCUCACGGUUCAGGCUUCUUCUCGUUGCUGUUCUUCAAGACGUGCAGCGGAUAACUACCAACCAAACAUAGAACGUGGUUUCCCGCUUCGGACAAUCCCCGUCCCCCGUUGACUGCUCUUUUAGGUUGUCUAAUGCUUUUCUUUAUUUGAUAGGAAAUUUAAUCAAAUUAGAUUAAAUAUUUUUGUUUGUUUUUGAAAAAACUGUAAUAAAAAUUGUUUUGUUUUAGUUGUGUACGAUAAAAAAAAAAAGUUAAACUUUUUUUAUUCGGUUGAGCUUUCGUUACAUUGGUUGGUAAAAGUGAAAGAAACAGAAUGGAAUUAUAUGUAAUUAAUUAUAUCAGGUCAAUUUUAUAUCAUUGAUUAAGAAUUUUGGUUUAGUUUAGUGUAUAUAUGAAAAUAAUUUUGUUAAUCUUUCCUUUUUAUAUGUUUAUUAUUAUUAAAGUAUAUAAUUUUUUUUGGCAGUGACAAAAAAUGUUUUUACUCGUUUUUAAUCAAUUUUUUUUAGGAACAAUACCAGUGUAAUACAGUAAAAAAAACAGACAUAUCAUUGCUGAAAUAACAUUAGGGUUAAAUAUGUUUUUAGUCCCUAUAUUUUGGGGCGAUUUUGGUUUUAGUCCCUCUUUCAAACUAAGGUACAAUUUAGUCCUUCAACUUUAGAAAACUUUGGUUUUAGUCCUUUUUAUCAAAUUGUUGGUACAAUUUAGUCCUUCAACUUUAGAAAACUUUGGUUUUAGUCCUUUUUAUCAAAUUGUUUUAACAAUUUGAUAAAAAUGACUAAAACCAAAGUUUUCUAAAGUUGAAGGACUAAAUUGUACUUUAGUUUGAAAGAGGGACUAAAACCAAAAUCGCCCAAAAAUAUAGGAACUAAAAACAUAUUUAACCCAUAACAUUAUUAGUGAAAAAAUAGAAAAAUAAUUAUUAAUAUAUAUAUAAUGACAAAAUAUACAUAAAAGUUUAUUUAACAAAACAUGUUAAAAAGUAUAUUUUACUUAAUAAUUUUAAAUGAAGAUCUUAGUUUACUUUAUUUCUUGAUUUAUAAUUUCAAUUUUCUUAUUUUUUAAUCCAGUGAUUUUAGUCUGUAUUUUAAAAGAUCCAAAAUUUUAAUAUUCAAAUUAUAUUUUUUAAGUUUUAAUAAAUUUAAUUCUAGAUUUGACAUGUUCAUUUAAAAUAUAACUAGGAAAUUACUUAAUAAUUUAAAAUGGAAAUAAAACUAAUAUAAACAAAAUGUGAUUAUUUAAAAAUUGAAUAAAAAUUGCAAAUUUUUUAAUAAAAUAAACUCAAAAUUUCAAUUACUUAAAACAUCUUAUAUACUUUUUUACCAAGUAAAGUAUUUUUUUUCCUUAGAAGAUUUUAAUGUUUUUUUAUUGGUAAGAAUUAUAGUUUUUUUAAUUUACUUGUUUUUUUAGUAAUUAUGUCUAAUUUCAUCUUCUCAAUUAACUAUUACGCUAACAUAUAAGGAUGAAAAUAGUGUUGAGUGGUUAAGUUUGAUUAUCACUCUUAUUUUAAAGUAUAAAUUCAUCUUUUUUUCAUACCGGGUAUAAAAAUAUUUAUAUGCAUCUUUAUUGAAAAAUAUUAUAUUUGUAUCCAUGUAAUGUCCUUUGCUUCAAAUAUUAAUUAACUAUUUUUAAAAAAAUUAAAGAAAACAUUAUUUUAUCAAAUAUUUAUUGUUAAAAAAAUAUAUGCUUUUUCUCAAUAUCAAAUAUUUAAAAAGUAAACUAUAAUGAUGUAAAAAAUAAUUAAAUAUGUACCUUGAAGAUAAGUUAUAAAAGAUUUUCUAAUAAAUUAAAGAUAAUUAUAUAAUAUGUUUAUGUUUAUAUCAAUUUAAAAAAUCAAAUAUAUAUUCAUAUAUGUAUCUAGGUAAUAUGAAUUUUUUUUAUCAAAGUCAAGAUGCAUUCUGCAAAAACAAUUACAAUUGAAGAGAGAGAAGGAGGGAGGGAGAGGGAGAGAGUGGAAGAGGGAGAGAAGAGAGAGAGAAAAAAAAACAAAUAUAAAAGUAAUGUAGAUACAUACCAUUGAAUAUAAAAUAAUAGUUAAACAUAGGUAACUCAAGCAAAUCCUAAGAAUACAAAUAUUGACUCUAAAAUUGACAAUUCAGAUACAUAUAUUGAUAUUAGAUUUUAGGGUCCAACACUUGUGUGUAGUACAACAAUUGACUACCCAAGCUACCACACAUAAGGUUAUUCCGUCAAACAUUUAUGACCAAGAAACAACCACUAAACUAAGGAUCUCCUACUACUUUUCACGACAUGUCCCACCCUUUCCUAAUUGAGACUGAAUGGUUAUUAAAAGUGUCAGAAUAACCCUAAAUACGGAGUCCCUACAUCAAUACAUACAUUAUACAUAACCAUUACAAGAACUUCUUCUUAAAAUCCUUCUCACACCAUAUUUCAUACAUAUUCACAAUCAUAUCAUAGUACAAGGAUUCCCCCCAAAUUCCAAACAAACAUACGUUUAAUUUGAUUAAAACUACUGCAAACAACACAUGAUUCAUUGAACAUAGAAAAUUGCAUAAACUUUGCAAUAGGGAACACUCAGCACAAGGUAUGGCGCUCAACGCCAAAGCUCUCAAACUUUCUAUUGCUUAGCACCAUCGCUCAAUAAGUUAUCAAGAAAUCAAGUUUCACACAUGUAGUGCUAUUUGGCACUCAACAGUGCCUUGCCACCGCUCAACGUUGUACCAAAAAUCUGCAUACUUUCAAAUGUGAUCUGAUUACACUCAAGACUUGUCCAAAUGACUAAUUUUUCAUUCAUGACUCUGUGAUUGAUUCCAAAAACAUGUUUAACUAUUAGAUUGAAUACCAAAUUGCUCAAAUGCCCAAUGACUCGGUUCAUCAGUUCACUCAAAUGUCAAUCAAAGUUCAAACAACACACUCAAUAUACCAAUUUGCCAAAAUUUUGCCAUAAACCAGUUUAACAUACUACGCUUUCUCAACACAACCAAACAUCAAAUUAUACAUAAUUCAAUGACUCACAUCAUCUCAAUUGAUGUCUCAAAUAUACAACCUAUCUACAAUUUAACAUACAAUCACCAAUGACAAUUCAACCCUCUUAACCAAAUUUAGCAAGUCGGAUUUCAUCAACCAUUCCAAUCACACAAACUCAUUAUCAUAUACACAUACAAUCCACAAUUAAAAGUUGUCUAUAGUUAAAAUCAAGUUAAUUAGUUUCCUUACUUGUUAGAAACUCAAACAACUCUAUAGAACCUAAAAUUGCUCCCAUUGAUCAAAGAACUCUAUAUGUUCUUACAAACCACAAAAUCAUGAUCAGGAUACGUCGUUAAAACCAUUGAUAAACCAAGAACCUAAUAGAAGACCUAAAUGACACAUGCGACAAAGCCAAACUCACAUACAUUGAAAAACACAUAACUAGAGAAAAGAGCAUAAACUAACUUAAUCUUUUGCAAGAAUUGAUUAGGUAAACUUGAAGACCUCGCCUCAAUGAUCAUUUAGGAGUUCCCUGAUCUUCAAAUAGAAAACUCAGUGGUUAGAAGACUAAGAUAGAUGGUAGAAAACUCUUAGAGAAUGAGUUUUAAAGAGAUGACAUGUGUUUUAGGCAAUGAGACUCAUUAAUCAAAAUUAAAUUUAUAUUUUAAACUUUUAUUAUUAAAAUAAUGGAGUCUCAUCAUUUAAACAUGUUAUCAACUCUAAUAAUUUAUUUUUUAGACUCUUACAUUUUAUUACCUAAAUUAAAAUGUUUGAAAAUUAAAUAAGCCAAGAUACAAUUUUUUUCCUAAACAAUAUUAGUGUAUUGAAGUUUGUAAUAAUUUUUUUAAAGUAGGUAAGUUUGUGAAGUUUGUUGCGGUUAGCACAUUUUCCAUUUAUUACUUUGUGGUAUUAACUCUAUUUUCAAAUAAACACAAAACUAUUAGGAAUACCGACUUUAUCGACGAAAUAUUAUUGAAGGAUCAUGAUCUGUCAAUAAUAUGCAGUUAUCGACGGAUAUUAGAAACAUAUUUUGAUAUUUUAUUUACCAAUGAAAAUUUUUGUUGUAAAUGAGUUGGGUAUUAUGGACCAAUUAUCCAUCAGUGAUAUUUGUUAAUAAGGUUGUUAUGACUGUUUACCGAUGAUUUUUGGUCGACAAAUGGGGGCAGUCGAUAAUUGAGGGAAGAAUUAAAAAGAAAUUUUGAGAUUCGGAUGAGGCAUUUCAUUCUUAGUGUUGUCAAAAUGGAUUGUAUGAUACUUUUUAUGAUAUGCUCGGAUUGUAUGAUAUUUUUUUUAUUAUUUUGAAUUGUAUUUAGAGUUUAACAUAUUCUAGUGUAAUUAUUAUUUAGAUUUCAAUAAAAAAAUUAAUUGUAAUUUUUUAUUUCAAAAAAAACUUAUUAUUAAAUAUUCAACUAUUUAAUAUAUUGUGUUAAUCAGAUUUAGUUUUUUUUUAUAGUAGGUUUAUUCAAUCAUAUUUUUCAUAUUGCAGAUUUAUAAUAAAUUAUUUUUUUAAUAAAAAAAAAUCAUUUUUGCUUUGAAUAAAUAAUAUAAAUAUAGUGAAUUAUUAACUAAAAAAUGACAUAUAUAAUUUUAAUAAUGAUUAUUGUAAUAUAUUAUGAUUUCAUAUAACUCAUUAACAAAAUUUAACAAAAUAGUAUCGUGUUAAAAAUAAAAUUUAAAGUUUAAAAUGUAUAAAUUCCAGUAUUCAUAAAGUUUUAAUUCACUUAUUCAAACUUAUCAAAAUUAUCCUUUUUACUUAAUUUUAUUUAUCUAAUAUUACUGAUUUAUCAUCUAUCCAUAAGUUUAAUUUUACUUUGAAUUUUUUCUGGAAAAUAUGAUGUUUUUCUCAAUCCUAGUCACAAAAAAAGAAUUUUUAAAAUGAAAAAAUUGACACGUAUUUUAAUUUAAACUGAAAUGGUAAAAAAGUGUCAUGAUCGUAGUAUAUUUUGAUUUAAAUUAAAGUUCUUUAGUAAUAAUAAUUUUUUUAAUGAAACUGUGUAAUGCAAUUUGGAUUCAUUCAUGUGGGUAAAUUUUUAAAAGUAAAAACCAGUAAGGUAAAUUUUCCUUUAUGUUAGCUGGUAGUAAUUGUACCAUUAUGAAGUGAAUUUUUAAUACAAACAUGUUUAUCACAAAUUCAUCCAUGAAUAUUGAAUAAGAAAAGUAAAUUACACAUAAAUAUAAAUAAUAAAAAUCACAUUUUAAAAAUUUAAAAUAAUUUUAACAAAUUCAUCCAAACAAAUCAAAUUUAGUUAUAAUGAGUUCAAAUAAUAAUUAAUUAUUAUUUAUAUGCAAUCGAAAAUACCUUCUAAUAAUAAUAAAAAUAAUUUAUUUUUCAUAUGCCCUUUAAAGGUUAUUUAAUAGUGAAGUAAUCUAUAAGAAUAAAGUGAUGGAUUGCUCAAAUGUUUUUGCCUAAUGAAUAAACCACGAUUUCAAAUAGUUUGUGGUCUUUGAUGACCAUUCUGAUUCUGGUUAGGUCUAAUUUAGGAUUAUUCCAAUUUUCGUCUUAAACAAGUUCCAUCGACAGCCCGAGGUGGGGCAAAACGAAGGACUCGAAUUGCAGAGAAAAUGAGCAGCGCCAUCUUCAAAGCUUCAACCAGCAAUAAUCUUCAUUCCUCUCUCAGGGCACUCUUCCAUUCAACCCCUCCCCUGCAACGUAAACGGCGCAAUUUUUGGGACACCGUUAGUUUCUCUCAAUUCCCUAUGCUUUAUGUUGUCAUUUCACUAUUUUUCGUUUCAUUCAACAAUUAUUACAUUGGAAACCAUUGUGUCUUUUGAUAGUGGGCCUCACCGCGUCAAUCUUCUAUGUCUCUUUCUGAUUUUGUAUGUUGGGAACUGUUUGUGACCCAAAAAUGUUAUUUUUAUUGAACUAAUUAAUGAGAGUUCAAUGUCUUUUGGUUGUGUAGAAAGUGUUGUCUAUAUGUUUUGUUGGGUUGAGAACUGUUUGAUUGCAGAGAGGCAACAAUCAUAACUCCAGAAGGUUUAGACGGAUGCAAGCAAAACAUAGAGUAAUGAACAGUAUCAAUGAUUAUGCAGAAUCCCUGUUUCAGGUUCACCAUGCUUCUUCUCCUUUUCAUGUUUUUGUAUGUGUGGGCAUGCGCAGUUUCUUGUAAUUUUAGCAUUCAAUUAUAGUCUAAUAUAUUAUAUAGUGUUGCCAGAGUUAGGUAAUUCUGUGGUUUUUUGGCUUGGUUUCUUUCCGAUUGUUACGAUAUUUAUAUUUCUCCUUAAUGUCUUUUCCAUGCUGCACUGGUUUAUUAAGAAGUAGGGUCAGUGAUGAACAGCCCCGUAUUUAGCAUUUAGAAACUGCUAAAAUCUGUCUGAAUAGGUUAAAUCUCUGUGUUCUGUUUAAGCAAGAUGGUUCUGGACAAAUAUAUUGUGAAUUGGUAGGAUGGAUUUCUAUGUUUAAUCUGGUGACACGUGUUAAAUAAGAGUGUACAAUGACGAUAUGUAUGGGCUCGCAUUGACUAUUUGGGUUCAUAAAUGUACUGUGAGCUUGUGAUCUCCGAUCCCAAGUUAGGAACAACAUAUUGCAACUUCAAAAUAUGCUGUGAGCUUGUGAACGGCACUUUAAGGAUAAAAUAUCGAAGGUUAAUAUCAUCAAUGGCCUCUUGUCAAUACAUCCAGCCGGUAAGAAAGCGUUGGUCAUUCUUUCUUCAUGAUCACUAUCAGAGUAAGAACUGAGGCAUCAGACCUGAUGGAAUCUUCAAUGUAAAGGAAAAAUAAAUUGUAUAGAGAAAUAAAACAUAGAAUUGAAGAAGUAAAUAUUCUUCUCUUAUUAUGACAUAGUCAAGAGCAUCCAUUAUAUAUACAACGAAAGAAGAGAGAGAAUAAGUAUAACAGAAAGAGCAGAGCCUGUGCAACGAACUAACAAAGUGCAAAACAGAUGUAAAAUCAAAACAGAAAGAUAUUGGCACUAUAUACACUAACAAUCCCCCUCAAACUCAAGGUUCUUGAAAAUAAUCAAGAACAUUGAGUUUGUUAUGUAAGUGACAGAACCGGACAUGAGAGAGAGGUUUAGUGAGUAUGUGAGUGAUUAUUAAUGAACGACCCAGGACUUUUUCCCGCACAAAAAGGAUGUCUAGCUCCAUGUGUUUGGUCCGAAAGUGUAAAACAGGGUUGUGACUUAAAACAGCAGUGCUUUGAUUAUCACAAUAGAUGAUAGGUGUAGCACAAUUAAUGUUUAGCUCUUUAAGAAGAGACUCCAGCCCUAAGAUCUAUGAUGCAAUGAUAGAAAGACUGUGGUAUUCUGCCUCUGCACUUGACUGAGCAACCAAAGUUUGCUCUUUAGACUACCAAGAAACCAAAUUACUUCCAAAGAAUAUACAAGCACCAAAAGUGGAUCUUUUGUCAUCAAUAUCAGAUGCCCAAUCUGCAUCACAAUAAGCAGUAAGACUGUACUUUUCAGAAGAAGGUGCAGGCUGAAGAUGCAAGCCAUAAGAGAUAGUACCCUUGAGAUAACACAAUAUUCUUUUGACUGCUUUCCAGUGUUCAAGCAGUGGCUGUGACAUAAAUUGACAAACUUUAUUCACACUAUAACCAAUCUCAGGUCUGUUUAUAGUUACAUAUUGCAAUGCACCGACAGUGGAUCCAUAGAGAGCAGGGUCAUCCAUAUAAUCAGAACCAUAUUUGGAAAGUUUUAGACCUCUUUGAACAGGAGUAGAGAUGCCUUUUGCUGCUUACAUUCCAGCUUUGUAAAGCAAAAUAUGAAUGUAUUUGGAUUGAGAAAGAAGAGAUCCAUCAUUGAGAUGUUUGACCUCAAUUCCCAAAAAAUAGCCUAGAGCACCGAACUGUUUGAGAGCAAAGGCAGAAUGCAAAUUAUAUACGACGGAUUGCAGCAACAAAUCAGAGGAACAAGUGAAGAUUAUGCCAUUUACAUAGAUGAGAACAUAAAGACAGUGUCGAACAAUUUGAAGAGUUAAUAAAGAUGGAUCACAUUUGUUGUGGACCAAUCCAAAACCAAUCAAAGUGGAAGUUAGUCUUUCAUACCAGGAUCUUAGAGCCUGUUUUAAGCCAUAUAUGGACAUGUGAAGCUUACAAACCAGAGUAGAAUCUGCAGAUUCAAAACCAUGGGGUUGAGUCAUGUAAACAUUUUCAUGAAGAAUGCCAUUUAAGAAAGCAUUGUUUACAUCAAUCUGUUGAAUGGACCGGUUGUUGGCAAGAGCUAAGGUGAACCAACUGGAUAGUAACAAGCUUUUCAAUGGGAGAAAAUGUUUCAGAGUAGUCAUACCCAAAUUUCAGAUGAAACUCCUUUGCCACUAAAUGAGCUUUGCACUUAUUAACUGUGCCAUCCAGAUUUUCUUUAAUACGAAAGACCCACUUACAGCCUAUUGCAGUCUGCCCAGGAGGGAGAGCAGUGAGGGACCAUGUAGGGUUAUCCAUUAAAGCAUCAUGUUCAGCUUGCAUUGCUUCGUGCCAAGGAGGAGAGAUCAAAGCUUGCUUGACAGUGUUGGGUUCUGAAAGAGUGAGAAGUAAGGUAGGAAAACGACAUGGUUUGACAAUACCUGACUUUGAACGUGUUUGCAUAGGAUGAGUAGGUUUAUGAGAUGAAGAAACACUAGGAACCAGAGGAACAAAUUCAGUGGAUUAGAAACAGUUGGAGGAACAGACACAUCACGAGUUUCAUGAUAAGUGGUACGAAACAGAGAAUUGGAUUCAUUGGGUGGAUUAGACUCACUGGGAAUAUUAACAAAAGGGGAUUCUUGAGUAGCAUGCUGAGAGGGAAAGUCAACAAAAAAUGGUAUAAUGCCAAGAGAAAUAAUCCAAGAAUGAACUUGAGUAGCAUAUAGAAAAGUCUUUUCAUCAAAGACAACAUCUUUGGACAUAAAGAUUUUACCAUUUGAGUUAAGACACUUGUAACCUUUGUGACAAGAGGAGUAACCCAUGAAUGUAAAAGCAGUAGAAUGAAACUGCAAUUUAUUUGUGUUAUAGGGCUGAGUACGAGGAAUACAGGCACAACCAGAAAUUUUGGAAAAUUAUAAUUGAUUCUUUGUGAAAGAGGGUGGAAUAUGGGACAAAAUAAGGAGCAACAGAGGAAGAAAGUCUAUUAAUUAUGUAAACUGCAGUGUGAAAGGCAUGAUCCCAAAAUGACAUAGGAAGAGAAGCAUGAGAAAGAAGAGUAAGACCCAUUUCAACGAGAAGACGGUGCUUAUGUAACUCGGUGUGUAGCUGGUGAGCCCUAGCUUUGGUUUGGGAAGUAAAGUGUGCAUGGAUCUUUUUCCCAAACUUGAAAGGAAUGCUUACAACUGAUAAUAUGAGUCAGGAAUGAGGCAGAUAGAGAUGAUAGCAACCACGAAAGCAACAUUUGAUCUUGUGUUUCCCAAUAGUGUAUUUAGGAUUUUCAAUCCUUAAAUCACAAUUAGAAAGAGAAAGAAACUGGGAAGGAAUUUGAGGACUAACAAGUAAUAGGUGGAGACGAUGUGCUUUAAUCACAAAUUCCACUUGCUCUUUCCAGAGUAAGAAGUUAGUGUUGGAUAAUUUCUUCCAUAUGGAGUACGAGAAGAUGGCAGGUGGUGUCGUAGCCAUGGAAGAGAAUGAACACAGAGUCUCGGGAGCCAUAACCAUAAAAAAGGGGGUUUCAAGCUCUGUUACCAUGAUGGAAGAUGAUCUUCAAUGUAAAGGAGAAAUAAAUUGUACAGAGAAAUAGAAUAAAGAAUUGAAGAGGUGAAAAAUAUUCUUCUCUGAUUAUGACAUAGUCAAGAGUAUCUAUUAUAUAUACAAUGAAAAGAGAGAGAGAAUAGGCAUAAUAGAAAGAGCAGAGCCUAUGCAACAAACUAACAAAAUGCAAAAUGGAAUGUAAAAUCAAAACAGAAAGAUAUUUGCACUAUAUACAGUAACAAGACCCAUCUAUUAGGUUUAUCUUAUCCCACUCUUCCUCAAUAAACUUAUUGUAAAAUGCAUCAAUGUCACUGCCAACGAUUGACAUUAGACCCCUUCAUGUUAUUACAUGUUUUUUGGGAUCACGUGAUUUGGGAGGUGCAACAUUUGGAGAAGCCAUGACAUAGAUUAGGGCACCCGUAUUUUAUUGCUGAUAUUCAAGUGGGAAGCUUUCAUACAUAUAGCGCGUAGGCGAACAUACAUAUCAAGUUAGAAGGCCUUUUUAUGUGAGAGUGACAGGAACAAAUACUGUCUAUUAGAUUUUUUCAUGAAUAUUGAAGAUCAGAACAUAGAAGUGAUGUUUUUAUGUGGCCAUGCACCUUUGAGUUGCCUUCAAUCGCAACUGUUCAUGUACAAUUGUAUGAUCUAUAUUUCUUCCCCUUUCACUGACGCCAAAAUGAUCCUCACAAUAUAUACUGCAAGGUAUAUGGUGUUUAUGAAAUUGGUAGGGAUGGGUUCAGUUUUAAUGUAAUAAAAUAAAUAAAAUAAAUUUCUUUGUUAACUACUUAAUUAAGAAGUAAACUCAACCCCUUCUCUUCCGUGAUUUUGUUUGUCCUAUAAGAUGUUUUGAUGCUUAUGGUUGCACUUUUUUCUGCGUGGUUUAGAGCUGGAAGCAAGGUAUUGAUCAGGACGAGCUGCCAUCAAGCCAGGACCCCUCAUGGUUUCGUAAAAAGCAAUAUUUUGAUGGGGGCUCUGGAAGGUACAGGAAUGGCAAACAGGGAUCAAACCAUUGGUACAGAAGUAAGGAUGCUUGAGAUUUUUGUGCUGUAACAGAAUAUAUUACAUGUAUCUUGUAGUAUUACCUCUCUUUACAGGUGGUUGUAUCUCUAAGAGAUCAUGCUACGUAAUAUUGCUGGAAACUUCUUGUUUACUCAUUUAGGAUUGAGAGAUUUAAACUUGUGGAUAUCAUGAAUAAGAUUUAAUUUCAAGUUGCAUCAUAAUCUUUAUGAAAUCAGUGUAAUUGUUUACGUUGUUUUUAUUAUUUUCAACAAAACAUAGAAGCUGCUAGAUACUUAUGAAGUGUACUCUGGAGUCUAAUGUAUUAAUGGCAAGUUGGUAACAAACCCUAUUUCUUUCAGGAGAUCCUUUGUUUUGUGAAGAUGAUUUUGAUGUGGAAACCAUUUUCCGUUCUGCCUUUGGUGGGAAUAGAUUCUUCUAUUGGUCCUUCAUCAAUGAGGAAAAUCCUCAGUGGAGGAGGGCUGAACGCUUCUCUAAUUUUGGGAGAUCAUGGAAUUGGAGGCAUGGAAGCGAAAAUGAUUAUGACUCUUCAUCCGAGCCUGAUAGUCCUGGUUCAGAUUUAACUCCGGAUAGAUUAGCACUUGGAUUGAGUGCUUCUGGUCCUCUGAAACUUGAAGAUGUAAAAAAUGCGUGAGUUUUUGCUUCUUCUGUAAUUUCGUCUUCAUCAAAAUGUUAGGAAGCCAUAGUUCUUUACUACGAUAUUCUCAACAUUUUUAUAUAAUCAGGUACCGGGCCUGUGCUCUAAAAUGGCAUCCAGAUCGUCAUCAAGGCUCUUGCAAGGUGCUGCGAUGCUCUAACCACCGAUUAUAUUCCUCCUCCUUUUUAUUCAAUUCGAUGUUCUGGAGUCUCUAUUAUUAGUUUGCUAAACUUCCUAAUUCUUUUAAUUUUUUAUUCUGUACAUUGAUACUUGAUAGGCUAUAGCAGAAGAGAAGUUCAAGCUUUGCAGUGCAGCUUAUCAAUCUUUAUGUGAUAAACUGGCCUUGGAUUGAGGAUCCUUCAGGCUUAUGCUAAUCCUUUUCUGGAAUUCUCCAGCCAGAUCAAACCGGAUGAUUGACCGUUCUAUAUUAUUUAACACAGCAAUCCUGCUUUCACUGUGUUUUGUAGUUUUAAAUAAUUUUAUUAGAUUAUCAUGCAAAUAACAUGUAUACUAUUUUACGAUUACAAAUGUACCAAUUUUUUGAUAGGUCGAAUGUACCAUUUUUUACCAUCUAUUGUCUCAGCUAAUUAUGUUAAGAAUCUCUAUUGUUCAAAGUUACCAUUUAUUGUCUCAGCUGAUAAUAUCCAGAAAACUCCUGUUGGAGUUGCAUUUUUUUGCAACAUUUGAGUUGAGUAGGAGUACUUAUAAACUAAAUAAGUCUAAAUGUAAAUUGAAAAAGUUGAAAAACAAACAAUCUAAAAGUUAGUGGUGUUAUUUUAAGAAUUAUAUAAUAUUACUAGUUUCAAGACAAGAUAAAAUACAUUUUUUAAUUUCUUCAACUUAACACAUAGUUUCCCCGAAAUCUCAAAUUGGUAGCUUGGGAUUGGAAGAAAAUGAAAUAAAGUAAGUAAAUGAGAAGUAUACGUGUGAAUGUGCCAGUUUUCAUGCAUAGAGUGUAUCAUAAUCACCUAACAAUUUCUGUAGAUAAUGAUGUUUUUCAUUUAUUUGAUAUAUAAAAUGUUUUUCCGAAAACUAAAAAUAGAUACUCUUUAUUUUUGAAGUAAGAAGAUUUAGGUCUUAUCGUUUGAGGAUUUUGGAUUAAGAAAAGGGGGGAAAGAGAGUGGUUUAUUCUAUUCGUUGAAUUGGGUGAUUUUGAAUUUGAAAACGGAACCGUGAACACCGAAAAAGGUUUGGUUGCGUAUAAUUGCGUGUUCCAAUUCAUACUUGAAUAACAAAAAUGAUGAAGGGAAUCCAGAUUCAGAUAUGUGGAUUGGUAAGUCAACGAUGGAUUCAGAAACCCCGGGCAUUCUCAUCCUUCUCAUUUUCCCCAAUUCCACACCCUAACCCUUAUUCCAAAUUGCUUCCCACCAAAACCAUCGUUCGUAGGGUUCGAUUCGCGCCAUUUCACGCUUCCUCGACACCGCUUCCUUCUGCCGUGAGUUCUCUUCGCGCAUUUCUAAUGUUAAUUUUGUGACUGAGUUAUUUAUAUAUGGUAUAUGUCUAUUGUUGUUAAUGAUGCAAAGCUAGAAUCUUGCAAUUGUGGAUUUUAACGGUUCGCUGAAAUGUUGUUGAUCGGGCUACUGUAGGGAAAUGUUCGACACAUUAACUUCUGUCAGUGGUGUGGUGGUUCUACGAAGAAUGAUAUUCCCGAAGGGGAAGAAAAGUUGAGAGCUAUAUGUACGGUUUGUGGGAAGAUUGCGUAUCAGAAUCCGAAGAUGGUGACUGUCUAGAAAUAUCUCUCUAGCUUCUGGUUUAUUUGAUUUAGUGCUUGCGAAGUGAUAAUAACUGGUAUUUAUGUAUUUAGCGCAGCCGAAUGAUGUCGUGCAUACGUUCAGUAGAUUAGAAUUCCCUUAGUUGGGAUAAGAGUUGUUGUUGGUAAAGUAAUGGCGGGUAUUCUAGUAUGUUUGAAGUAAAUUGUUUUUAAUGUAUAUGAAUUGAUUUACAAAAUUAGUGUUACGGUGUUGCCGUGAUACUGUUUUGAUACUGUUAAAUGUAGUCUUAGCUAUGUUGUGUGGUUUGCAACAUGACAGUACCGCGGGUAGUGUAUCACUUAUUUGUGUACCAGGAAAUUGUGUAUCACUUAUUUUUGUUUUUAUGGAAAAAUAGUUGUUCCUGUUCAUUAAAGUUUUCUUGGGGAGUUUGUUUGUGGCUUUAGUUGUAAGUAACUGGAGAACAACAGAAUUAUGUGUUGAUAACCUAAAGUUCAAUCUGAAAGAUUUUUAUGGUCGGUUCAUGGUAUAGAAUACAGUGCAUAUGAAAUAUAACUUGGAAUUGUUGUUUCUUGUUAAAUUAAAUGUUCUGAUUUUUGCUUGAGUUUUAAGAUGCAUUAUGAAUAGAGAUUUGAGAGAAUGAUAUUGAUGUUUUCCUAUAUUAUUAUUCACUGAUCUGAGUAAACAGGUUAGUUGAAACAUCUUUAGGAUAAAGGUUUCCUCUUUAUUAAAACAAAAUGGUAUGCCAUGCUUGAAUUUGAUGCUGAAAUGUAUAUGGAGGUUAAGGUAUCUGCAUAUAACAUGAUUUAAAAUGGUAUAGUUAUAACUCUCAUUCUUUAAGUAUUUUUCUUUUCACAAAAUAGUAAUGAAAAUGUAUAACAAAGAAGGAUUUUGAGGAGUAUCAUAUGUUUUUAUUUAUGUUGUCUGAAUGGAAGCAUGGUUGAUUUAAAAUGGUAGCUGUACCUGUAUUGGAUUUGUAUUCGGAUUCUUCAGAAACUCCGACCGGAUUUUAUAAUUUUUUUCACUUCUUUUAGUGUUUAUGAUUCUCCUAUAAUUAGAUGAAAUGAUAAUAUUUCUCUUUGUCUACAAUAACUCAUCAACAUCAAUUUCGAUGUUGAUGAUUUAUUUUGUUUGUCAUAGCUCUUCUUUCACUUUAUUAGUUGAUGCAUGGUUAUUUACUUUCUUCUAAACAUGACGUGAUUUUGGUUGGCAAAGUAGGUAGUUGGCUGCCUCGUUGAACAUGAUAACAAGGUGCUCCUUUGCAAGAGGAAUAUUCAACCAUCUCAUGGCCUUUGGUAGGAAUGGAUUUUAUGUUAUACUUCCUAUUUUGGUUGCUUCUGUCUAUCUGCGUGUUACUUUCCUGUUCCCAAAACCAUUUUUAAAACAGUGAUGCUGUUGCUACUAGUUUUUUUAUAUUAUAAAUACUGCAUAUCUUUUCCUCAAUGAGGUAUUUUAAUUUCAUAUUUUGGUUCAACAAGGACACUUCCUGCUGGUUAUUUGGAAAUAGGAGAGUCGGCUGUGGAUGGUGCCAUAAGAGAAACAAGGGAGGAAGCAAAUGCAGAUGUGGAAGUAAUUUCACCAUUUGCCCAACUGGAUAUUCCUUUAAUUGGCCAAGUGAGAAAUUUCUUAUUAUUCUAUUUAUUUUUUGUUUAUUUCCUUGACUAGUUUGAGAAUUUUUAUCAUGAUUAUAGAAUGUUUGAGGCAGAUUUAUUUGAUAUUCUUGGCGAAGUUGAAGAAGCCGCAUUUUUCACCUGGUCCAGAAUCAUCAGCAUGCCAACUUUUUCCACUUGACGAUAUACCUUUUAAUUCUCUAUCCUUUUCAUCGAUGGUGGUUACCUUAAGUUUGGUAUGAUUCAGAAUCAGACGUUUCAACUUGAUGGCUUUAGGUUUUAUUAUGUCACCUACUCAUUCUAUAACUUGUAUUAUUUCUCAUGGUCACAGUAUGUUGAGGAUAUUAAGACUGGAAAGCUCAAAUUCCAUUAUGGAACCAUUAACAAAAGGUAUUUUCUUCCCAACUCCAUAUUAUUCUUCCUAAAUCUAAUGUAUUGUCUGGUUUUUGAGGGCAGGACACUAUUUUACAUGUGAAAUUAAUUGUACUUUCGGUUUAGACAGAAAUCUGUUAACUGGUUUAAUUAGACUCAUCUCAUUUAGUUUGCUUGGUUUGGUUACUAGUUUAAUGGCUGUUCAGGUCCAGAGUGUCCGGGGAUAAUUGUUAGCAAAAUACAUGUAGAUAAGUUAAAUAUUUUGCUAACUAUUGUUUACCAGUACUGGUUAAUAAUUCAAUACGUAGAAAUUUUUAUUGGAAAUUAUGCUUAGAUGAAUAUAAAUCACGAUGAGAUUGCAUUAGUAAUACUUUACUUAUUUUUAUUUUUUUUUAAUAAAAAGCUCAUAUUGUUGAUUUAAUUAGCCGCCUACGCUUUUGCAUAAAUUUGAUUAGGACAAGAAAGGGCAACACUUUGUGAGUUUGGACCUUCAGAUAUGUUUUUGUGCAAACGCAAACUGAUGAAACCAACGGGUGUUUCGUAAUAUUUCUGAUACUUGGCUUCUUAGACCUUUCAUGCUGUAUAAUAUUAUUUUGAUGGUUGUUGUUAGGCCGGGUACAAGUCCUUCUGAUAUUCGGGCCUAUACGCUGGAUCAUCAUAUGCAGUCAUGAGUACGAUAAGGAGGUGAGCCUCAUAUAUAAUAUCUGAGGGCAGAAAAAUAAAUGACGAACAUAAUGAACUAGGUAUCAUCAUCACAUGCGUUUAAUUUUCAAUUAUCAGCUCGUAAAGACACCCCAGCAUUGCAUCAAAAUUCUAAAAUAAAAGUAACAUUGAUCCAUACAUACAUACAUAUAUGUUAUAUUUUGGAAGACAUUAAAUGCAUUCUUUUUGUGUAUUUAAUUUUAAGAGGAUUAUUAAGAGAAAGUUUCAUUCUUAUUUGUUUUCCAUACUGAGUUGUCAAAUAUUUAUGGUCAUGGUUUUCUUAACAUUUCACUUGUUACAGUGGUGUAUCAGAAGAUUGUAAGUAAAAGGGAAAAAAAAAAAUUCCUCUUGUGAGAAAUUUCACGUCUUCUGCAAGAACUUCCGAGUGUUGACUUGUUGAAUUCACCAUUAUCACAAGCUUCUUAAACUCAACAUUGUAACGAGGUAGACUACCACCGUUUCCAUUCCAGUUCACAUGUUACACCAAUGUGCAUCAUUGCCUGCGAAUCCCAACUGCUUUUUGGACCUACCAUAUCCUCAAAUUGGUACGCAGUUGCCAUUACAGUAGAAAGAAUGACAUCUGUUUUGCUAUCUGCUUUGGUAUUGUAAACAUAACAUUCAUCGAGAUUAAUUAAAUUCUUUUUGAAAAUGGACCCCUUUUUUAAAUCAGGCACUCUAGUUGGCACUUUGGUUAAUAUGCACGAUGCAGUAUGGUAACAUGACCCAGACACUGGAACCAUCAUACAACUCUAGAAGGAAAAACAUACUUUUUCUUUAUAUAACUGUAUAAAAAGUACGAGAAAAGUAUAACUCGGGGUUAAAGUAUAUAAAUAUUGGUAAUUACUUAUUAUUUUUAUUAUUACUUAUGAAUUAUAUCUAGUAUUUGUUGGUCACCUUAAUAGGAAAAUUGAUGUCACCUGCAACAACGUUGCAAUAGGAUUCGAUAAUGAAUGAUAAUAUCAUACGGUUAGGCUUCAAACUGGAUUGAAAACUUAGUCACAAUUAUUGGUAGUUGUUAAUAACUACUCAUUUAAAGACUUGCAAUAUUUGAAGUUUUAUUGACUUGGUUUUGUCCCAAGAAGCUAAUAAAGAAAGUCAAAAUAAGGAUAAUUUGACACUGUCACAAAUCCAAUAAGAAGUAUACUAUUCUAUUUUUCGUAAAUUUGUAGAUUCUAAAACUGUAAAAAAUGUGAGACACUUUAAAGUUAUCAUACAAAGGAAUAAAGAAGGUGUAGGAAUCUAAGUUGCAAUAUUAUGAAAGAGAUUAUUACAAAGGUGAGAUGUUCAAUUCAUAAAUUGUUGAACAAUAUUUUACUCUUACUGUCGACCUCAUUAAUAAAAUGAGAAUGUUGUGGAGAAGAAAUUUCUGGCAACAAGGUGAAGAGAAAUUUUUUGGUACUUUUCCACAACAUAAACACUGUUAGUAGCAAAUUACAUGGAAACAUUGCAAUUCAUGUAAGAAAAAUAUUAGAGAAAUAAAAAGAUAAGUGAAGAGGCGUUGAAGAGUCAAGUCAAUUUUAACAACACAACAAAAUCUAGUUAAAGUGUUUAAUGCAGAGGUCAUAAUUUCAGUAGUAGAGGAAGAAGUAACUUUAGAAGAAGUGGUCGUGGUAAUUUUUGAGAAAGAGAACAUGUUAAUUUUAAUCAAUGGAGAGGCAAUGAUUUCAUACCAUCUAUUCAAUGAAAAACAAAUCAUUAUUACCAUCUUUUUAAUCAAGAAAAAAGUAGAAACACUUUCUACCAAGAUAGUAGUUUUAACAAUUUUGAUUGUGAAAAGUAAGACCACAAAGCCACAAAUUAUAUAUUCUAACAUGAAGUUAAUAUUGUUUAAAAUUAUAUCUAAAAUAGAAGGGUUAUUCUUUGUAUUUUUUCAUAUUUCUUCGUGCACCAUCACAUAUCAAAAAUAUCUUUCUUUAACAGAUGUCGACAUUGAUUAAAGGAUUUUUCGAAAAUUUCAAUGGAGGAAAUUUUUUUCAAAGAAUGUCGACAUCCUUUGAAGAAAAGAAGUGGAGAUAUAAGAUUUUUUAAAAUAUAAAAGAUAGUUUUAGAGUUUUUAAAAAAUGUGAUGGUGCAAGGAACAACGUGGGAUGGUGUAAGAAAUAAUUCUAUUAAGAUGGUGAUGGUAAUUCAAACAACCACAAAGAAAGGGUGACAAGUGGGUUAUGAACCACACUAACCCCUAGCCCAUCAAAAUUGUGGAUCGGUUGAAGUUUUCAAUUCUCUAAUUUGCUUUAUCUCUCGUUCUACUUAGUCUGCCAAAUUGGUAUGUCAAAAAUGAGAUAGAUUGACCUAUUUUUUAUUUGGAAAUUGAAAAGAUAGUUUUCUAUCUUAUAUUACUUUAAGGAUACAUAUAUGCAUUAAUAUUGUAACUUAAAUUAUUAAUAAUUAUAAAUUAAAUUUCAAUUAUUAGUUAUAGUAAAGUAAUUUAAUAUGUAAAUGUAAAAUUAUUUUAAUUUAUUUGAUUAGAGUCACUAAUUAAAUAAUUAAAAGCUUAGAACAUAUUUAUAUUUUAAAAAAAAGGUUGAUGGAUUGACUUGCCAAUCCACGACUCUUUGUCACAAUUUUGCGUGUCAAUGGUAUAACAAGUCAAAAGAGGAGUCUGAUCCAUUUUACUAUCCUUACCAUGAGGUUUAUUUUUUAUAAGUAACAAAUUUUUAGAAGAUGAAAAUAUUUGGAAACUGAUUAUAAUAGUCAUAUAUGUGGAAACAAUGAGUUAUUUUCUUUUCAAGAUGAAUAACCAAAGUUUAUAGUAAAAUUUACAAACUAUGCUAAUUUUUAAUUUUGGGGAAAGAUAGAAGCACACCUAAAUUGAAUAAUGAAAAUAAAUUUUUUAUUUAUGAUGCUUUAUAUGUUUUUAGUCUUUAGUGUAACUUACUAAUGAGACAACUAUAAGGGAAAAGCUAUAAUAUAGAGAUUCAUCAUGAAUAACUAAUUAUUAUUUUUCUUGUGUGUUUCAACUAAUUAUUUUAUUUUGUCAUUUCUCUAAUAGUUGUCCCAUGCUUAUUAGGCUGUGAUAGAAUUUUGAGUAUCAUCCUUUAAUCUAAUUGUGAUUCAAUUUCUUUAAAAUUGGAAUAUUAGUAUUCACUUAUUCAUCUAAAAAGAAAAAUAAUUCUUUGUUUCCACAUAUGUGGUUUUUACAACUAGUAUUUAAAUAUCAAGAGUGUCAUAUAUUGUACUUGGAUUAUGAUUGAUCAACAUAUUCAUGGAAGAGCCAUGUAUCUGCCAUUUGUAAGGAGCUCAAAGAAUUAUAUAUUAACUAAAUGUACGUUGACAAAUGGGAGUUCUUUUAAUUCUAGUAAUAACGAAGUAAAACUUAUUGUCUAUACAAAAUACCCAAAAAGAUAUAUUUUGGAAGUAAUUGCAUUAAACAAAAAUCUAGUAUUUUAUGAAUGGUUCAAGCACAUCGAUAUUCAAUUUUACAAGAUUUGAGAGUUAGUCGAAGAAAAACAAAUAGAAGUUGAAUAUUGUCCUAUUGUAAAAAAAAAGUUAUAUAUACUUUCACUAAAUCAUUAAAAGUUGAGUUAUUUUCAUAAUGAAAAAAAAAAGUUUGAAAUAACACAAACUUAGUUUAAGGAAAACAAUGAUAACAUUAAAUCAACUUGAAUGAGUAUUAUACUUUAAAGACAUUUCAUGUUUCUCUCCAUUUGCUUAUGCAUUAUUAAGAAAACUAUAUGUUAAUUUUAUUAUUUGUGUAACCUUUAUAAAUAUGAUGUAGUUCUUAAAGCAAAAAGUAAAUAUUAUGUAUUUAAUCUUUGUUUUGUUUCCUUCUUUAAUAAAUUCAGUUGCGUGAGUGUAUAAGAAAAUUAUUAGUGUUAAGAUAAUAAACUAAUAUAAUUUAGAGUUGUUAAUUGACCUAUUCCAAAGGACUUGAUUAUGACUUAUGUGGGUUAGGACUAAAAUAGGUCAUAAGGUCAAAAAGUCUCCAAUUGAAAAAGUUUAUGUCGUCAAAAAAUUCACAAAAGUCCUAUAAGGUUAACUUUUAGGCUUUCUUUUGAAACAUUAAAAAAGUAUUAAUUUUUUAAAAUAUAUCAUUAAACAUUCACAAACAUCUCUUGACUUUCAAUUUGAAUAGCCUUGUCUUUAUUUUUAGCCAAAUUGGCCAAAGUCGACAUUCAGUCUAAGUCAGUCCAUCUCGACCUUUGGUGUAAGUUAUCUUUUCUCAAACUUCAGUCCAGAUCAACUUGUGUCCAAUUUUGACCUUAGUAAAAUUGACCAAUUUUGACUUUUUUUACGAGUUGCACCAAUCUUGACCAUGAAGUAAAAUUUAAAAAUUGAUAAAUAAACUUUUAAGAUUUCAUUAAGAUAGAAGUUAAUAAAUUUUUAUUAAAAAAAUUAUGUUUAGAGUUUAAAAAUUGUGUUUUUCAAUUGAGUUAUUUUCAUUUAUUUUUUCUCACCAAUUAAAAUGAUUUACAUUAUGAUUUAAUACCUAGUUUGGUAUCUAUUUUGUGCCAAUUUUGUUUAAAGUGGUCAUUAACUUUUUUGGACGUUCAAAGUUGUCCAAAUUUUUGUAAUUUUUGUUCAAUUUGUUUCUUUUUCGUGUCAGCACAUAAAUCGACAGUGUUUACCUGAGCCAUAAAUGAGUGACGUGGCUGGCACAUCAUCUCAUCUUUUUUUCCAACAUCCUCGACUCCAUCGUCGCCGUAUCACCAGUCACUAAACUCUCCUUGCCCGCCAUUACGCUACCGCAACGCACCACCAUCUUCUUCCUCAUACCACUACCACGAGACAACCAUCAUCUUUUUUUAACAAGCCACAAAUCUUAAAUCAACAACCUCAUAAGCAACCUACAUGGCCAACCACCUAAACUAAACACAAAGUCACCAACUCUGCAACCACGAACCACUACACAGACCUCUACCAACCACUACUUCCUUGCACCACCAAUAUAAGCCAUGAAAAAACCUUAACUACCCAUUUCAUGCCUCCCCACAUGAAGCUCCAUUGCGAGUUUGAACCUGCAAAUAAGAAAGCCUUAGACCACAAAUUGCAAAUGAAACUCAACAUCAUCACCGCAAAUUGUAUCAACCACAACGAGACACCAUGUUCGUUCAACCGCCACAAAUUCACAUAAUUGUGAAAUCCAACUCGUGAAUCAUCAUCGCGAUCAACCACGAAAACCUCACAUCACCACCUGCAAACACAAGCCCCAAAUCGCAAACUAGAAAAUCCUAAUCGUGAAAUCCAACUUCGUGCUGUCAUGGGAGGCCAAAUCGCAAACCCGAAAACCCUAAUGCCAUGGGUAGCCACAUUAGAAAAAAACUGGGCCCACGCCAUUCAUUGAUAGCUCAUGUGGACAUUGUGUCAUUAACAAUUUAAACACGGUUAAAUAAAAAGAUUAAAUUAAACAAAAAUUAUAAAAAUUAGAGCAACUUUAAAGAAGUCGAAGACCGUUUUUGAAUAAAAUUGAGAAAAAUAGGUAUAAACCUUACAUUAUUAUUCUAUACAUUUUUAUAUAUAAAAAUUAUUGAACUAUGUUUUAAGUUUUUUUAUAAAUUUUGAAUAUUUUUACUUGAAUUUUUUUAAAAAAAUUAUUUUAUUUAAUGUUCACAACUUUUAUAUAUUUUUUAAUUAAACUCUUAUUAUUAAUAAGGAUUAAGUGACUAUUUAAUUUUGAAAUUUCGAAACAUAACACGACAAACUUGAAUUACAAGAUAAAAUUGAAAUUUUAAAAUCCUAACUAUCUUAAUAACAAAUAUUGUGUGAUUUUAUAAAUUAAAUAUUAAAACAAAAAACAAACGAAUCAUAUUGAAACAGUUAUUUUAAUGAACCAUAUCAAAUUUUAUAUAUUAACAGAAAUUCAACUAAAAAUACUUAAAUUUAUAAAAAAAACUCAACUGUUAAUUUAUUUUUUAUUCCUAAAUAAAUAAGGAAUGCCGAUGUUCGACUCUAAAUAAUGAAAAAAAUAAAAUAAAAAUCAAACAAUGAAUAUUUAAUUUAAAUUUUACUACUUAAGUUGUUGUAUCUGAUCUUAGAAUAUGUGACAGUGCACCUUAGUUGAAUUCUGGAAGUAAAUAAAUAACAUUUACUUAUGUUAGGUAGAUAACUAUGUUUUUCCAUAAUAUUAAAAAAAAAGUAGGGAGUUUACUUUGACUUCAAUCGCGGCACUCUCUGGAACAGGGGAAGUUUCAAUUUGAGUGAAAGAACAAAAUCUGGUUGUUUUUCGUUCGCAGCUAUUUUACAAUCCUUCUUCAAACCUAAACCUCAAAGCCGCAAUCAAAUUCCAUUGUUUCCAUUCUCCCCCGUCGAUCUUUUCCGGUUUCCUAGAUGGAGGAAGCCAGAGAGUCUCUCACUUCCAUCAACGGCGAUUUCGGCUUCGGUGGCGCCGCCGAUCGCCGAUUCGCCUUUUCGCGCCAAUCUUCCUUCCAACAACCUCACACGCCGAUAGACAUUCCCGCACACGGCCUACACCACCACCUCUACUGGUCCGCGCGUGACGAUAAGCGCUCAACCUCGCUCCAUAAAUCGUCCUUCUCCUCCUUCGUUUUCUCCGUCUUCCGCAACGUUAGAUCUGGAAACAGGUUUAUGAAGAGGCUUUUCCUGAUGAUCUCGCUCAAUGUCGCGUACUCCACUGCCGAAUUGCUCAUUGGCCUCUUCACAGGCCGCAUAGGUCAGAUUCAAUCAGCUUUGAUUUUUCAUUAAACUUUUUCAAAUUCGAAUGUUCGUUACUUUUUAUAACUUAUAUUCGUCAUUUCGCGAGUUUGUGUACGUGAUGCAUGGAAAUUAAUUUUACUUUUCAAAGCCGUUCUCUGGUUUGGGUGUAACGAUUAAUGUCAACUGAAUUUGAAAUAGAAUCUCUGCUGACGUUUUGAUCUAUGCGUUUACCUUUUCAGGUUUAGUGUCUGAUGCGGUUCACUUGACUUUUGGAUGUGGUCUUCUUACAUUUUCGUUAUUUGUUAUGGCUGCGUCUAGGAAUAAAGCCGAUCGAGAGUAUACUUAUGGGUGAGAUUUGUUCAUUUAUUGUCAUGUACUUGUCAACUGUGCUCCAUCAGUUUUUUGUACUUAAUUACGUGACGCAGUUUAUUGUAUAACUGAAUUUUGAUUCCUAAAGUGGUUGUUUAAACAGUUCUUCUGGAAAUACCCUAUAAUUGUCUUUUUUCCCCUAUAAUUGCUUUUGUUACUAUUAUGAUUACUAGUAUUGGAAAUUUUCGUGUACAGUUGUGCCAUUUGUGAAAUUGCAGAAUUCGUAAGGUAUGAGUGAAUAUAUAUAUGGCAAAAUUGUACAUUGACUGCAUUCUAUACAAAACAUGAUUGUUUUCUCCCAUGUGGUAAAGGGAACUUGUUAGUUCUUUACUACCUGAUGCUCCUCAGUUUUGAGAGCUGAAGAAUCUACCUUUGGCUCUUAUGUUUCUCUUGAGUUCUUGUCCGGAGAGCUAGUUCUCAAUUCCCAUGAAAGAUUAAGGGAUCGAGUUAUGAUUUUUUCUGAAACAGGAACAAGAUGAACUUAUUGAAUGAGGAUGUAGGUAAACUGGCAACUGUAGGAAGUAUGUGUGACUUAGUUGGUUCACUAUUGUUAUAUUUGCACUUAGCUUGAAUCUAACACACAUAUUCAUGUGUCCAUAUCUAUCUGCAUGCAUCUUAUUUACUAAAAGAUAACAUUUUUCCAUCCGUCUGUGUCAUUGUUUAUAUUUUGUAUUCAAGGUUCAAGAAUAUCAAUCUGCCCCAACAAUUACUUAAUCCUAGACUAUGAAGCAUGGACUUGACUCUUUAAUGGUGUGUCUCUGUGUUGGAUACAUGUUUGACUCUGACAAGCAUAUGACUCGUGUGUGACACAAUAGUGACACAUGCAUGACAUGUGUCAGGCACCCCAUUGAAGUGUUGAAUUUUAAAAGUGUAUUUUUAGCUGUUCCAACAUGGUCAGACAAGAUUUUCACACAACAUUAAUGAGAGUAGACAUGAUUUUUAGAACUUGGAAAGUCAGAAACCUAUUGUUUAAGUUUCUGUUAUAACCAUAGAAAUAAGGAGCACAUGUUAUAUAAUUAGAAAUAUCUUGAUUAUACAUAUAAUUAGGAAUAUUUUUAUUUAUUCUCCUAUCAUAUCUUUAAUAUUAGAGGAUAUCAAAUCUCCUCUCUUUAUUGUAUUAAUUUCUUUUUCUCAAUAUAAAUGAAGUAUUUGUGCUCUCUCAAAUACGGUUUCAGCUCAGUGUCUCUCACUUUCCCUUAGUUGCCCAAUUAUUAUUUCUCCUUUAAACAAACAAACAAACCAUCUAUUUUGCACUUACAUAUUCUUUUUACUGCAAAUUUUUACUUUCCCCUUCUCUACAUAAAAAUAAUCCUUCCAUGCAUUCUCAACUUGAUCUUGUUGCCUGUCCCUCUUCUCCAAUCAGCACUUACAUAAAUCUUGUUUGUCAAUUUAAAUAAUUAUAAUGAUUUUCAACACACACACACACAUUAUACACACAAAAACAUGUCUAAUUAUCGAUCCUUGUGUGAGCACAUGCGCAUGUGUAAUAAUACUAUAGGUAUUAUUUUGAACUACUAUUACCUUUUUAUUAAGCAUUUCAACCCUGUCUAUAAUUUUUGAACUGAUAUGAUUUAAUUUCAGGUAUAAAAGGCUAGAAGUCUUGUCUGCAUUUACAAAUGCCGUAAGUAUUCCUUAUUUCAUUUACUACAGCUGUUGUUACUGUCUAUCUAGUGAAGUUAUUGGUUGCUGUUACUAAAAUGAUGCUUCUAUAAUAAAUUAGUAACCAUGUAAAAGUAAGUUGGGGAGAUUAUGGUGCUGAUCUCUAAUCAGGUUUGGUUCCUUUCUGGUUUUUGAUAAGGUGGUAACAUGUAAUUUUUGUCCCUAAUGUAAACACAGAACAAAUUCUUUGUAUCAGUGUGGAAAUUAGUAUUUCUCUCAAAAUCUUGUAAAAUGCUGAAUGCUAUUGCAUAAUAAAUGGUAAAAUACAUUUUUAGAUUGUCACGUUUAUCUGAAUUGAGUUGCUGAAAGCUAUCUUUUUGACUAAGGAUGUGUUUGGAUCAACUUCUCCAUUAACACUUCAAAAAGAAAAUUAAAUAAACUUUUCAAUAAGCUAAAAUUAGCUUAUUUAUAAGCUAAUUUGUUGAAAAACUCUCAUAUUAGCUUUUUUCAAAAGCUAAUUUAAUUUGUCUAUAAGUUAAUUUUACUUAUGCAAAAAUUUAUAUAAUUUCCUUAUUGUUUUCUUGUUUUAUGAGUGCUUAUAGAAAUGUUUAUUCAAACAGACCCUAAGCAAAUGCAUAGAAUGGAUAAUUCAUGGCAUUCUGGUUUGGAUUUUGCAUUGUUGAGUUGAGUAUUUAAAUGAUCACUUGUAUAAGGGGCAAAAAAAUUUGUGUGACUGUUUUAAAUUAACUGUUGCAGACUUGUUUUACUUUUUCUCAUCUAUUCCGUACAUUUACAUCAUAUGCGCUAACAUAUUGAAUUUUCUUCUUCUGCUGCUUGUGUAGACAGCUGUUUCUUUUGUUUAUGUCAUUCUCCCUAGCAGUUGAGGCCCUUCAUGCCUUCAUACAAGAUGAAUCAGAGCACAAGUAAGUUUGUACAGAUUCAGUGUUUUAUUUCUUACGAUUAAGUAUCGUACAUAUCCAGCAGCAGAAAGAUUGACUAAAUGGUUUUCAAAGUUAGAAAUGAAAAUUUUGUUGUUGAGCUGGGUUCCAUUUGAUGCUAGCAAAGGAUUGCUAUUGGUGUCAUAAUUGGUAUGUUCUAUCCAUAUUGUGAUGAAGAAAAGCACUAAGCGCAGGAUUUAAGAGAGCAAAAUCAGGGUUUGUUGAGAAACCCAAGGUUAUAACAUAGGGGUUGUAAUGAGCUUGUGCUUAUUACAUGGGCUAAAGUGUUUAUCGAUGGCUUUGAUGGGGCUGUAAACAGUAUCUGUCUGUUGAUAUUAGGAUUUAGGAUUUGUUGGAAUGGUUAAGAAGUUGACCAGGUGGAGGUUUUAUGCUUCCUCUGAAAGGGAUCAAAUAUUUGUUUAACCUAGACUGAUAGGCAUAAGUAAUAAAAAUGGUAUAUUGAUAGGUUUAAAUAGUAAGUUUGAGGGGGAGAAAUAGCUAGAUGGAAUGGUAUCCUAUUAGUAAAGCAGCACAGCUCUGAGUAGUUAGGCAGCAAACUGAAGAAGAAGUUAGUUAAGGAGAGACUCUGGGUUAUCUAGAAUAUGCCAGUGGUUAACGGCACCUUGUCUAGAGUUCUGAACAAUAUUCUUGGGGUAUCUCUAGCCUCUUGCAUUCAUGUGUUUCUCUUUUUUCUCUAAUACCAGUUGAGUUGAUCAUAGGCGUGAAGGUUCUUUUUCAUUGUACCCAAGAGAAAGCAAUGAAUUGCUGCCUUAUCACGUCACUUUUGCUGAAGUAGUCAAACUUUAUCAAAAUAUUAGGAUAAAAUAAGUAACCCUGUUCUAGUAAACAUAAAUAGAAUUUAAAUAACAACAUAAAUUUUGGAAAUAUCCACCAAAAAAAGGCCCCAUGAAAGGCAACGAAAUUAAUACGUUUCUUAAGGAUGCCUACUGUAAAUGGCUAAAAGUUACAAUUGACUUUUAGACGUGAUCUUCAAAAAUAUGUAUUCUAGAUUUUGCUGCUGCCUUCACCACGUUUGUUGAUUGUGUUCCUUUUAGAAUGGGAAGGGAUUGCUUGUUUGUGACCUUUUUCAUUUUAACAGCUGUUUUUUUUGUUUGUUUUCCUUCUAAUUUUUAUUUAUGUCGACUGCGUUCUUCUUGUAGGCAUUACUUGAUUGUUUCUGCAGUGACCAAUUUAUUUGUGAAUCUCGUUGGUGUAUGGUUCUUCAGAAACUAUGCUCGGAUUAAUCUUGGUUGGUAUUUAUUAGAUGUUCUUAAAUUGACUUGAUCUAACCUUUUCCUACUUUUGAACUUGACCUAUAAUAAUUAAUCAUUAAAUGUUUCUUCUGGAAAAUGUUUUGCAGCUUACAGAAAUGCAGAAGAUAUGAAUCACCACUCUGUUUUCCUGCAUGUUCUUGCAGAUUCUAUUCGCAGGUAGAUAUUCUUUGAUUUAUGUUGUUUGCCAUGUGUAUGAUAGUAACACCCCAUGAAUGCUAGCGCAUUUUCUUAACCAUGUACAAAUAAUGUCGAGCUUACAUACUUCAAUGGUUUCUCAGUGCAGGUCUGAUAUUGGCAUCCUGGUUAUUGUCAAUCAGGUAAAUAUAAUUUCAUUUUCUAAUAAUCUAGAGUGAUAUAAUGAAAACUUGAAAAUAAAAAAUUGACAGCUUUCUAACAUUAUUACUUUAGAUAUUGUAAUUUGACUUAUUUCUUUUUCCUUCAUUAUAGGGUUCAGAAUGCAGAAGUCUUGUGCUUAGGGCUUGUUUCUGUUGCUGUUUUUAUUCUUGUUCUGCCUCUCUUUAGGGCAACUGGUGGUAUCUUGCUCCAAAUGGCGCCUCCUAGCAUCCCAACUACUGCUUUGAAUAAAUGCUUGAGACAGGUUGUUACUUUUUCUUGAGCAAAUUGUGUUUUGCUCCACUUGUUAAAUGAUAUUUAAGUUUCAAUUUAUUUUUUGGGAACUGUUUUUUUUAACUUUCUAUCCCAGAUCGAAUCUUGGGGCUGUGGUGAUUGAUAUACUUUGCUUGCUUUAGUCUGUUAUUUAUGUUUUGCGUUUUUAAUUUGAUACAUCAAUGUGCCACUUCUACAUUUUGUAUAUUCUGUUCAGAUUUAUGCUCGGGAAGAUGUAGUGGAAGUCUCCCAGGUUCGUUUUUGGGAAUUAGUACCAGGUCAUGUGGUUGGUUCACUUGUAGUGCAGGUAAUUUAUUAUUUGUUCUCCAAUCCUUUGUCAAUACAGGUAUUUGACUAGCGGUAGCAAAAAACUGAAACUUCUAUACCAUUAGAAUAUAAUAAAUACUAUAUAUGUCUAGAUUUACAUACCUCUAACGCGUAGUAGUCUUGUUCAAGCCGGUACCCAAGUGAAUCGCUGUUUAUUUGUUGUACAAACCUGAAUUUUAUUUUAAAAAUUUGGUCAUGUUAGUGUGGCAUGUUUUCUUUUCUUUUUAUUAAGUUGAUUUAAUGUAAAUGUUGACUAUUUAGUGGGUCAUUCUGACAGGUAAAGCAAGGGACAAACGAUCGGCCGAUACUAGAAUUUGUGCAUGGCCUAUGCCAUGAUUUGGGUGUACAGGAUCUUACAGUGCAGACUGAUGAUGCGUGAGACUCUCCUUACAAUUUUAUGCUAAUAGUUAUUACUAAGGAUUGUAUACUCAUUAUUCUCAUUGUUUAUUACCGGUGGCAAGAAUAGUAACGUGAUUUCUAAUUUAAAGCGAUUAUUGAUUCUUAACAGGCAUGUUUUUUCCUGUCAAAAUUAACGACUUUAGUUAUAUAUAUAUAUAUAUAUAUAUAUAUAUAUAUAUAUAUAUAUAUAUAUAUAUAUAUAUAUAUAUAUAUAUAUAUAUAUAUGGGGUUUGUUAACNNNNNNNNNNNNNNNNNNNNNNNNNNNNNNNNNNNNNNNNNNNNNNNNNNNNNNNNNNNNNNNNNNNNNNNNNNNNNNNNNNNNNNNNNNNNNNNNNNNNNNNNNNNNNNNNNNNNNNNNNNNNNNNNNNNNNNNNNNNNNNNNNNNNNNNNNNNNNNNNNNNNNNNNNNNNNNNNNNNNNNNNNNNNNNNNNNNNNNNNNNNNNNNNNNNNNNNNNNNNNNNNNNNNNNNNNNNNNNNNNNNNNNNNNNNNNNNNNNNNNNNNNNNNNNNNNNNNNNNNNNNNNNNNNNNNNNNNNNNNNNNNNNNNNNNNNNNNNNNNNNNNNNNNNNNNNNNNNNNNNNNNNNNNNNNNNNNNNNNNNNNNNNNNNNNNNNNNNNNNNNNNNNNNNNNNNNNNNNNNNNNNNNNNNNNNNNNNNNNNNNNNNNNNNNNNNNNNNNNNNNNNNNNNNNNNNNNNNNNNNNNNNNNNNNNNNNNNNNNNNNNNNNNNNNNNNNNNNNNNNNNNNNNNNNNNNNNNNNNNNNNNNNNNNNNNNNNNNNNNNNNNNNNNNNNNNNNNNNNNNNNNNNNNNNNNNNNNNNNNNNNNNNNNNNNNNNNNNNNNNNNNNNNNNNNNNNNNNNNNNNNNNNNNNNNNNNNNNNNNNNNNNNNNNNNNNNNNNNNNNNNNNNNNNNNNNNNNNNNNNNNNNNNNNNNNNNNNNNNNNNNNNNNNNNNNNNNNNNNNNNNNNNNNNNNNNNNNNNNNNNNNNNNNNNNNNNNNNNNNNNNNNNNNNNNNNNNNNNNNNNNNNNNNNNNNNNNNNNNNNNNNNNNNNNNNNNNNNNNNNNNNNNNNNNNNNNNNNNNNNNNNNNNNNNNNNNNNNNNNNNNNNNNNNNNNNNNNNNNNNNNNNNNNNNNNNNNNNNNNNNNNNNNNNNNNNNNNNNNNNNNNNNNNNNNNNNNNNNNNNNNNNNNNNNNNNNNNNNNNNNNNNNNNNNNNNNNNNNNNNNNNNNNNNNNNNNNNNNNNNNNNNNNNNNNNNNNNNNNNNNNNNNNNNNNNNNNNNNNNNNNNNNNNNNNNNNAUAUAUAUAUAUAUAUAUAUAUAUAUAUAUAUAUAUAUAUAUAUAUAUAUAUAUAUAUAUACUCCUUUAAACGAAGAAAGCAUAUGACGAAAAAAAAAAUGGAUGCAUAUGAAAAUUUCGUGGAAGUUUUGGACAAUUUUGAGGAAUGUUUCAAACGUAUGAAAGUCUUUUUAUCUCACCCCCCCUUUAUUUUAAGUGCGAACCACCUAAUUGGUUUGGAACGUAUUUUAGUUUCCUAACAUUCUUUACUUGCCUAUAUUUCUAUAUGAACACAUCCUUACCUCAACACUUGUUUUUUGGAAAUUGUUUUAUUUUUCUUGGUAGAACUAUGGUUGACCAAAUUCAUUACGCAUCCUUUGCUUGGUAAAUAAAUUUCGUAAUACAAAUUUGCUUAAUACAACCCUUUUCAUUACGCAUCCUUUCCUUUGCUUUGUAUUACGGAUGUCUUCCAAAUUUGUAUAUGCUGUGCUCCCAUUAGUUAUAGCUCUUUUAAUUUUUCUUAUUCAAAAUAACAGUUUAAUGAUAGCUCGUUUAACUUUUUAAAAUCAUUCUUUUCUAAACUAUAAAUAUAACUGAUUUAUAAUCACCACACGAGAACUAAAUUGACUUUUGUAUACUUUGGUUGAUAUAUACAAUAAUACAAAUGCAAAUCGCAUAAUUUUUCUCCCAAGUUUUUGCUGGGCUUGUACAUUGAUUGAUAUAUACAAUAAUACAAGGCAUUUGGGUUUGAAAGUUCCCUCUUUAAGACGAAUAAUAAAUAAAAAAAAAACAAUAAUUUAUCUCUUUUCCACUAAAAGGACAUUUGCAUGUUUGUAACCGCAAACUAAACACAGUAUCUACAUCAAAGUCUCAGAAGAUACACAAGAUAAAAUAGUACUUGCACAAACGUUUUCAAUAGGUAGUCCAUAUACUGACAUCACUUGUGAGAAAUGACAUGUCUUACAUUUGAACAAGGAAUGUCUUGUAUAAACAUAAAUAUGAGAAACGCGGACACUAACUAACAUUAAAUCAAUAAAUUUAAUUGCACAUAUAACAUGAGGAACAUUGAUUUUCUUAAUUAAGAGGACAGUGAUGCAGUGGUUUAUCUUCAGGCUCUCGCUUUGUGGUUGGUUAUAUAUUGGGCGUGGAGGCUAACACAUUUGCUGCGUACCUGUGUCUCGUAAUUCCUGACAACUCCAAAUACUUGGCGCUCUUCUUAAAUUGUUUCCAAAAACACUGUCCUUCACGAUGAAAGUAGAUUUUGCAUUGUCCACAUUCAAGUGUCCAGCCAUUGCAGCUUUCACCACAGGCUUCACAUUUACUGUUUUGAUCAGUUUCUUCAACCAAAGCAAGAGGGUGUGAGUGAACAUCAUAUUGGAAACUGCUUCCGAACUUCACUAGCCUAGACUUGCCUUCAACACAAUAAGGAUGAGCACCAUAAUCACAGUCAUCGCAGUAAUAAAACCAUCGCUUCGGACCAGUUUUUUCAUUGCAAAUACCACAUUCAUAUUCCCUCAAACCCUCUUCAGCAAAAUAGUUUAGACUUAGAGGAUGCUUGUCGUACAUGCACCAUGCUCCACGCGGUAGAGUAGCACAUCCACAAUCAAUGGCAAAAUCCUCACAAACUUCACACACAAACACAUGCUUCGACCAACGAUGACAACCUUUGCAUUGCCUAGCAAUGGUCGUCUUCUUGAGGACCAAGGGAUGCAUGUGACUUUCAUGUUCAAUUCUCUCUUGAAGAGAACCACAACAAACAUCAAGGUCGAAUUGACACACAUCACAACGAUACACAAAACCAUUGCUCAAUCUUUUGCAUCCAUCGCACCUAUAAAUGCCAUCAUAAUUUGGUGCCUUGGGUAGAAGAGUCAGAGGGUGUGCAUGAAACGGAUGCAGCAUUGUUCUUGGUAAUUCAACACAACUUUGGUGCAAAAUGAAGCCACAAUUUUCUUCUUCACAAGAAAAUAAAGGUGGCAUGAUGGGUUGGUUACACCCAUCACAGAGUUUACCAGAAUAUCGCUGAUCACUCUCUUCAUCCUUCAGCUUCAACAAAUGUUCAUGACCAAAGAAACUAUAAGUAAAAUCAAUAUCCAAGGACUCCUCAGUUUCAUAGUACGUGGAUGAUUUCUCAUCCUCUGCUACGGCCUCCCACUCAUCUCUUAAAUCUUCUUGUAGACAUUUCAAAUGAACGGGAAAUCUGCACGUUGAACAAAAGUAACCAGCAAAAGCUGCACUCAUUGCUCCAUUACAAACACCGCAAGUUAUGCUACCCCAGAAACCAUAAAUGUGAUGAAGGUCAUAAGUGAGCUUCAAAGGGUGGUCAUGGUUUUUUAUUCUAACAGCAAGAGGCAAUUCAGCACAGCUAGAAUGAACCCAUAUCUGACAAAUGGUGCAUAGGCAAGCGAGACCCUCGUUUCCUUGCAAGCCACAAGCAUAACAAACAAACGAUUGUGGAUUUGUCACUGACAUGAACUCGUGCUUAUGGCCAUCAUCUGGGUUGCAUUGAGAAGCACAUGAGACGUCAAGGUCAUAGCUGCAGAUAUAACAAUGGUACACGAAGUUUCGGAAGAGGCCUCUACAGGAAUCACAUAUGUAACGUCCCUCAUAAGGGGAAGUGGAAAGGAGAACAAGGGGGUGUUGAGGGUGAAAUGGGUGUUUGACAUGGCGUGCCAUUUCUGCGCAUGUUUUGUGAAGGAUAUAGUUGCAUUUGUCGCAGCUGAAGACAGGACCUGAAAUUGGGUUUUCACAAGCUGAGCAAAGGACUAGGUUGUUGUUAUCUAUCUUUUCUUGCUUUAACAGAAGAGGGUGGAUAUGGCUGAAAUGUUCCAUCUUCUCCAUGUUUGAAAUUCUGGGUGAUUUUCUGCUUUUGUUUUUGAAUAUUUAAAUUUGAUUCUUUGGGGUUGUGAGGGAGAAAGUCUCCUGUUGGUUAGACUUAUUCUUGUUUUAACCCACUGAAGAACACAAGGAAUUUCGCACGAGAGGAAGGAAAUACUUCUGGUUUUUGAUCACGUCCAAGUAAGACAUUGAUUUCAAUUAAACUUCUUUAUUUGAGAAUUUAUGAAUAAUGAUAUUUUAACAACUCCUUUUUAACAAUUUUUUUAUAACAGGACACGUGUCACUAUUUUAUUGGUCUGUUUGAAUUUAUUCUAAAAAAAUAUUUAAAACAGACCUAUCACAAACUGUCACGUAUGCAUUGUCAAAAAAGAGUUGUUAGAGAGACAUUUUUCUUUAACUUUAGUCGUAUACAUAGUAUUUUUGGAAUAUUAUUUUGUUUUUUUAUUUGCCUGAUCAAUAAGUUAAAUAAUAAAUAUAUUAUUCAAGAUGUUAAAAAAAAUAAAAUUAAUAAAAUAUUAGAAAUAACGAAAAACUUUCGUAUUCAUGUUAGGUCAUUCUGGAAGUAGGAAAAAAUUAAAUUUGAUAUGAACAGUAUAAAGAAUAAGAAUUGUUACCAUUAAUUACAAUAUGAAAAGCUUUUUGGUGUUAUAAUAAAGAGAUAAACUCUUAUUAAUCUAGAAAACAAAGAUAUUUGUGGUUAACUAUUUUGAAGUAGAGAUGCAAUUGAAGAAAGGAAGACACAAGCUUGAAUGGAAAGACAAAGCACAGACCUAUAUGAUACAAGUAAAAAAUAGGUAUUAUACAGCGUAACGGUUUACCAGAAACCGUAACAUAAUGGUACGCAGUGGUACUUUGGUAAAUAAUUCGAAUAUAUAUAUUGCGGUUCCUCUCCUAACCGUGACAUAUAUUCCAGUCAACCAUCAGCCUUUGAUGUCACGUCAAAAAAAAAAUUAAUAACAGAAUAAUAGACCGCGAUUCUCUAAACAAUAUAAUAUAUGAGUGAUGAUCCAACUUUGUUUCUUCAAAGCUUUGAAACAUGAGUGAUAAUAGAUGUUAUCAAAUUAAUUCUAUUUUUUUCAAUGCAAUUUCAGUGUUGUUUUAGAGUAGUAAAAAAUACUAGUUAGAAUAAAAUUAACCUAAAUUAUCUUCUAAUGAAUAUUUAAUUGAUUUAAAACUACACUAAGUUCUUAUAAAACCUAUACUUAAGUUAGGAAUAUAAAACAAAUUAAAAAAAUAAAAAUAAGUAAAAUAGUGUUAGAAUGCUAUGCACAAAUUAAAUAUAAAUAAAUAAAACUAAAUGAUAAACUACCUAAAUGUCUACAAUGAUAAUUCUAAUAAAAAAACUUUAUAGGCAUUUCGAAAACAAUUAAAAAAUGCAAAAUGAAUUAAAAAAUUUAGUUCAAUUGUUGAUUUUCUUGUCUUUUCAAAUUAGGAUUAUUCAUUGAUUUCCAUUCAAUUUAAUUUAAAAGUUAAAGAACUUAAAUUAAUUAAACAAACUACUCAGUUGAUCUUUUAGAACAUUAUUUAUUCCACCGUAUAUUAUUAAUUAAGAUUCAAUUUGUACUUUACUAAUUCCAUUAUAUAUGAUUAAAAUAUCAAUUUUUUUAUUUAUCUUUUUAUUGAGUGAAAAGUUGUUAAAUAUUUAAUUAAUUAGAUACCACUAAUAAUUCAUUUUAGUUUUUCUCACUUAUUCCACCAUAAACGAAAAGAACUAAUAACAUUUUUAUUCCAUAUACAUAAAAAAUAUUAUUAUUUAACUCACAUCAAGGUUUACUAAUUGAAAAUUAAUACUAGUUAUUAUUAAUUAUUAUGCAUAAAAUUGACUCUCAAUAUUAUUCUAAGACAAUCUUAAAAGCUAAAAAAAAAAUUCAAGAUAAAAAAACUCCAAUAAAUAAAUAAAUUGAACAACUCGUUACUUAAUUGAGGAAAAUAGCUACACAAACUACCUGAGAGAAUGGAUUUUCCAAUUGUCUCUUUUAGGUCUCCUUUUAUAGAGUUGGCUCAUGGACUUAUGUUGUUGUAAAUAUUUAGAGCUAGUUGCGAAUUUGGAUUCUCUAAAUAUUUAGGAAAUAUCCAAAAAAAUUUAUGUUGCUUUGGAGAUUUGAAAGAUUUGGCAAGUUUUGUUUAUAUUUUCUAAUAUAGUUAAACAAAACAUAUUUAUGUAGUUAACAAAUUAUUUUUAACACAUAUUUACAUCUCAAACUAAAUUAACCAUUUUAAAGUAAAUCCUAAUUAAAAUAAGAUUUUAAAGCACAAAACUCAAAUAAAAAAAUAGAGAUUAAAAAGGAGAUAAAUUUACACUUACCACAAAUGGAGGAAGUCUGUGGAGUGAAUUGAAUUUUCAGGAUAAAAUUGAAGGAGUAUGGUGAAGUUGUUAAGUAUAGCACAUGAUUAAUUAGUGGUAUAUAGGGAAUUGAUUAUUCUAAAGUUUUAUUCCCAUGUUGCAUACAUACAUAUAGCAAUGAUGUUUGUGACACUUGCAACAUGCAUAAGAUGAUACAUCUUUGAGUGAGAUGCAAAUUAACCUAAAGUAAACACCAUGAGCAUUGUUCAAUCAUAUAGAGUUUCAUUUGAAGGAAGAAUUUAAAAAAAUGUCCAAACGAGAAAACAUUGUUCAUAAAAGGACAAUGAUAUUUUAACAAUUCUUUUUUAACAAUUUUUUAAUAACAGGACAUACGUCACAAUUCUAUUGGUUUGUUUGAAUUUAUUCUAAAAAAAUAUUUGAAACGGACCAAUCACAAACUACUGUAUACGUUGUCAAAAAAUUGUCAAAAAAGAGUUAUUAAAGAGACUUUUUCCUUCGUAAAAAAAUAAACAUUUAAGAUAACAUAUUAAUUAUUAUCAUUUAUGUUCAUGAUUUGAUUUAUACAUGAAGGCAAGAUGAUUGAGUUUAAGAAGUCUAUUAUGCAAGCUUUUCAUAUGACUGAUUAGGAAAUAUGUGAUUUUUUCUUGGAAUUGAAGUUUUGCAAAAACCAAAAGGAUUUUUUAUGUCUAAAAAAAAUUGUCCUUUAUUCAAGACGUUUGGAAUGUUUUAGAAAAAGGAUACAUGUAAAAAGUCCAAUAAUUUCUAGAUUUAAAAUUAGAAAAGAUGUCGAUGAUGCAAUUAUAAGUGACAUUUAUUUUAAACAAAUUGUUAGAAGUUUGACGUAUAUUACAAUUAUAAGGCUACAUAUAGUUUUUUUUUUUUUUUUUUUUUUUUUUUUUUUUUUUUUUUUUUUUUAACUCAUGAGUGUUAUAUGUGUCUAAAUAACAAUCAAUUGUUACUCUAGCUUAUACAUGUCAAUCUAUGUGAAAGAGAAAAGUUUUGAUUAACAUAAAUCAUGCUCCAAAAGUAGCAUGAUAUUCAUGUAUAAUAAUAAUAACUCAACUAUUAAACCUUUUUUUUUUUAAAUUCAAUCAUGAAGGAAACAAAUAUAUUAAAAUACAGUUUUCAAUUUCUAAGAAAUCUUAAAAACAUAAAAGAAAAAGUCACAUUGGUGUAUUGUGAAACACCAUGUUAGAUUCCAAAUUUAAUGACUAAAUUUUGGAAACUUAAAAUCUUUGACAAACUUAGAAUGGUAAUAAUGUUUAAUUUUAAUAAAGUAAAUGAAUUAUAUUGCAAUUACCAUUAGUUAAUGAGAGAGAAUGAAAAUGAUUUUGCUAUAGAAAUAAUUAAUGUUAUUAUUAGAAUAUGAAACUGUCUUUGAAGUUAGAGAAAAUAAAUUGGGUUUAAUUGAUAAGAUAGUUCUUACUUUUAUAGUAGUAUGUCUAUUUGAUCUCUGUUUUUAAAAAGUGUCAAUUUAAUCUACAUGUUAAUGUGUAUUAAUUAAGUUUAUUCAGUUAACUUUUCAGAAACGAUGUUAAUUGUGUGACGACAUGGCAAAGCACAUUUGUAACAUAGUAAUAUCAAAUUUGAAUCAUCAUUUUCUUUAUCUCUACACUCACUUACUUUACAUCUAUUCCUCCUCUUUAUCUAUGCACACACUUACUCUACUUUUUUUUCUCUUCUCCUCACACAUUUUAUUAAUUUCACCAUCUUCCCGAUGCAAUUUGAAAUUAAGGUUAGGGUUUUCACCAUCUUCGCCCUGCAAAGGAAGGGGGAAGAAGGAAAAAGGAAAUGGUGGUAUUACAAAAGGUGUCUCAGAUUGUCUUCUUCAUCAUCGCGAUAUUAAUCUUGGCAGUGCAACCCUCUGAAACAUUUCAGUGUAGCAAAAACAACAUCAUGAAGGUCCACUUUGUUAUGCAAAAACACAACAUCUCAAUCCAAUUCGGCAUAGACAGGGGAUAUCCGAGGAUAUUUGCAACUAUUUUAAAAAAAUAUUUUUAUAAAUUAUUAAAAUAAAAUUUAAAUAGAAUUACAAAAAUAUAUAAAAUAUAAUAUAAAUUAAAUUAAAUAUAAAUUAAAAUUUAAUUUUAAUUAAAUUUAAUCUUGUAAAGUAUAAAUUAAUGUCAAUUUUAAUUAAAUUUAACUUAAUAAAAUAUAAAUUAAAUUUUUAUUUUUAUUUUUUGCAGAUAAUGGAUAUCAGUGGAUACGAAUAGUAUAAUACCUGUAUCCGAUCCGUUUAUAAGCGAGUAUUAAAAUACUCGCUAACCGCACAUUAUGGGUAGUAAAUAUCUGCAGAUUUCAACUAUCAGUCGCAAAUUUUAUCCUCAGAUAUCUGCGGACACAAAUUUUAUCCUCAGAUAUCUGCUGGUGCAGAUUUUUUUACCAUCCCUACUCUUGCACGUGUUUAGUUGCAUCCUAGAGCUUCGUUCCACUCCGAUGUCGACACGUGGUGGAGGAGGCCCUUGACUACUUCCACUUCGAACUCAAUAACUUUUUUUCUAAAUCUUAAUCCUAAAUUUCUACAUCAAAAAAUUCUUAUGGGUUACACAAUAGAAGACAAAUGUCACGACACUACAAAAUUUCAACCACAUAUGUCCAAUAAAUCAAAAUUAAGUAUUAAAUGCUAUGAAAAAAAUGGACUUGAUUAAUUUUGAUGUACGUUAAUACAUUUGAUGAUAAAAUUGACACUUUUUUAAAAACCAAAUCAACACGUUCCUUCCCUGAAAAUAGGAAUUACCCAAGCAAUCAAAUAAAAUAAAUUUUUAUUAAUAAGAAGAAACAUUUCUCAUUACAUAUUUUGAAAGCUAUACAAUAGUCUUUGUUCAAUAAAAUUAUCAAGAAACUUUACAAGUUACAUAUAUAUUUUUUAUUCUUUUCACUAAUAAAAAUAACUAUUUUUCGUUAUUAAUGCUUAAGGUUUAUGAUGGAAUUAUAUGCAAGAUUGAUAAAUAUUUACAAUGUAAAAAUAAUAAUUAUAUUAUAAAACUUAUUAUAAUUUUAUUUUAUCAACUUAUAUAAUUAAAUAAUAUAUAUAUAAUACAAGUAUUAUAUUGUUCAUAAUUUUUUUCUGCCCAUACAAAAAAAAUCCAGAAUACUAAAAUAUUGCAAUAUUUCCAAUAGAUAAAAUUGGUGAUUAUGCAUUCAUUUAGAUAAUUUACUAUAUAAAAACAUUAAACACAAUAAUUAAAGUGAAAAUAAAGGAAGAAUGAUGUAUGAGAAAAAAAGUAUAGAACGUGGUUAAAGACUGAAGACAGACAGAAAGAUAAAAUGAGAGCGAGGAAGAGAAAAGAGAAAAUAGGGCAACUGUAUCUCUCACCCAGAUCAAAGUUCGCCAUAGUCAAACUCAACAACCUUUUCUUGCUUCUCCUUAUCUCUUUCUCUAUCUUUGUAAUAAUCCAUACCCACUGUUAAAUAUAUAUUUUUUAUUUUUUUUCAUCUUCUAUUUGUUUUCUAAUAUUAUUAAUCCAAGAAUUUUUUAAAUCUAUUUAACUUGUAAGUCAGCAAUGUGACGUGACUUUUGUUUGCUCUAUGUAAUAAAUUUUAAUAUUUCGUCAACAUAUGCUAUUUUAGUAUAUACUAUACUUAUUUGUAUUAAUAUUUCUUUUAUCCGAUUGGAUACUUAUGAAAUUAUAUAUUUAAUAAAUUAUUUCACAUAUCAUAUUUAGAAUUAUAUGUUUUACCAUGAAAUCCAUUUGCAAUAGUUAUUUUAUUGCUAUUAGCAGUUAAUAUUAUCAUUUUCAUUAAUAUUUACUGGUUUUCUAAUGCGAAGUUAUACAGCAAAAAAAUUUCUAGAAAUUUAUUUUCCGUUAACAUUAAAGUCAAAUGACGAUUAAUCUCCUCACGUUUCGUUAGUUUUUUUUUUUUAAUUUGUUCUCAAAUUUCAUUGAAAGUCCUAUAUCACUAUAAGUGAAAAGUGAAGUGCAAAUCUAACUAUAUAAUUUUACACAAGAGAAAACUUUAUGAUAAAUAUGAUUGAUUUAAAAUAGUGGAAAUAAAUAGAUGUUAGGUUAUUUAAGCAAUUACAAUAAUAAUCUCCAUUAUGUGACACUAAAUAAAUUAAUUAAUCAUGAAGAUUCUCAUCGUAAAUUAUCUACUCAAUUUUUUAUUAUUUAUCUAAGUAACUUAAAUAAGCAUUGUAAAGUCGUAACCACUUUUUUUUUUAAGAAAAUUCACUAAUCAUCUGUUAAAUAAAUUUAAACAUAUGAUCGGUAUAAAAUUUUAAUAUAUAUUAUACUCAUCCAUAUAAAUAUUUUUAUUAGAUUAGAUAUUGUUUGUUUUAUAUUUACUAUAUAUAUAGUAAAUAUAUAUAAAAUUAUUAAGAUAAUAUUAUAUGAUUUACUAUGAAAUUGAUUUCAAUAAAAGUGUUGAAAGUUUUAUUUUUAUUAAACUUAGUCAAUCUAUGCUUUUAAUAUUUUCCAACUAGUUUGGACAGCAAAGUAAUACCCGCAACGUUUUUUUUCUGGAGGUCAUUUUUUAAUUUUUUAUAUAUUUUGCUUUUGUUUUCUUCGCAUGAUGUUUCGUUUAUAUAUUCGUGAAGAUCCUUUCUCAAUACGUUAAUGGAUUAGUUAUUUAAAUAAAACCAUGUGAGUUCAAAGCUGAGGUAAGCGGUUGAAAUUUAAUUAAAUCUUUUAUUGUCAGAAUUGAUAUGAAUGAUUUCACUUUCUUAUUAAACUUAUGUCACACUUUGUUAUUUUAUUCAGGAAAAAAAAAGUCUUUUUAACAAUUUUUGUGUUUCAAAUAUUUUUUAAAUAUAAAUUUAAACAAAUCAUAACACGUGUACUAUUAUAAAAAAGUUAUUAAAAAAAAACUGUUAAAAUAUGAUUUUUUUUUUUAUUCACUAUGUACACAAACUUUUUAUCAUAAGUAAAACGGGAGUAUUAUGAUAUUAUUUUAACAGUCAUAGAAAGAUUUCUCUUUCUAGUAACAACAUGUAAAUAAUGUAAAUAACCUGUGAUAGUAAAUUUGAUUUAUUAUGAUAAAUAUAUAAAUAUUAAGUCUAACUUUGAUACAUUUUUGAAAACUUAUUUUAAUAAAUUUAGUUUAUUAUGAUAUAUUUUUAAAAAUUUGUCAUAGUAGGUUUAUUUACUAUCACACAUUUUCACUCGUUAUGGAUUAGCAAUAAGAUAAUAGUAAGUACGGAAUAGAGGUAUCAAACUAAAUGCAGUUUAUGGUGAAAGGUAACAUUUCCUAAAGUAUUUAGAACAUUUUGUGUUGUAGUUAACCUUUACUUGCAAAAUGAGCUUUAGAGGUGAAAGAUAUUUAUCAUAAGGAUUGUAUGUGUGUGUGAAGAACAUAUAAGUACACCCAUACAGAAAAAAUGAGGUUUAAUACUGAAACUAUCUUUAAGUUUUCAGAAAUGCAAAAUAGAUAGAUAUUUGAGAGAUUAGUUACCAAAUUUGAGAUAAUCCAAUUCUAGAGCUAAGAAAUGGUACUAGAAACGUAAGAUUUAUUGAGACAGAAUUGACACAAACGAUGCGAGAAAGAGGGGAGAAUCUAACAAAACAAUGCUACCACUCUAUAAAUAAAAAAGUAAUUUUCUUUGGUUGCAAAUCCUUUCACCUCGGUUUGACAGAUGAAGAAUCGAAAACAUAAAAAUUACGGAGAUUUCAAUUUUGGAUAAGUACAAACAGCAUCGAGAGAGACCAAAGAAAGCGAAAAAGAAAACAUUAGAUGAGGGAAACAGGACAACCUCAUAACAAUGCUGCAAUAUAUAGUAUAUAGAGGAGACAGAAAAAGAUGGACUUUGAGAAAAAAGAGAAGAUGGGAUCAGCACAGGAGGACCCCAAUGUUUUCCACUUUAGCCAUCCACAUCCUUUGCAAUUGCAAUGCACCACCCUACCAAAUAUUGUAACCUGCUUUGGAUGCAACAUCAAAAUUAACUCUGGUCACGACUAUUACCAGUGCAAAACAUGUGCUUUUUCUCUUCACCCUCUCUGCUACAACAUGCCCUUAAUCACCAACCACCCUUCACAUCCAACCCACCAUCUACUCCUCCUUCCUCUACCUUCCACCAAACCCACUCUCAACUGUCUCGCAUGUGGCCACCGUGUCACCGCCUUUUCCUACCACUGUGCUCAAUGCUCCAUCUUCUUCCAUGCCUUCUGUCUUGCACUCCCUCUCUCCCUCGCAAUCACAUCCCAUCCCCACAAAAUCAACCUUGAGUUUUCACCACCCUAUCACUUCUUCUGUGACUUGUGCAACCACCCCAGUAAUCACAACCACCGCUGGCUCUAUAGAUGCAACAUCUGUGAAUUCGACACACAUAUACCUUGUGCCCUUCAAAAUCUGAUUGGAGGGGGACCAAGUAGAGAAAAUUUUGAUAGUAAAACCGCUGCUGGAUGGAACAAGAGAUUGUACGACAGAGCUGCUGAGAGUGAGAAGAUGAAUAAUGGUGAACUUGAAUUACUGGGAAAAGAACUAAGCCCUGCUGAAGUUUUAUCAAAGUUAGAAGAAAGAACACCGCUUCGGGAUAAAUGGACUCCACUUUCUGAUCAUUCACAGCUUAGUUACCAAUACAGCGACUCAUACUUUUCAAUAGAUUUGGCAAAGUCAUAUUCAACCCAUUCAGUUCAAAAAGAUGGUGCUACUAACUUUGUAAGCAAUUCCGUUCCAGUUAAUAUUAAUAAGCUGAAUGCAGAUAUUUUCAUGAAAGAAGGACCAAGAGUUAUGAUCAAAAAUGCUAACCAAAGCCACGCUAAACGAUCUGUUCAAGACCACACAAUAUCGGAGACAGUAAGUUCCAAUGAACUAGUACUCUAUAUAUAGUACCUUUUAUUUUUUUCAGCCUCCACGCUUCAAAAUAGAAUCUGUUCAAUCGAUUCUUGUUUCUUCAUCUGAAUCACAAAAGAAAAUCACUCCACACAGUGUGGAAUAUAUAGGUAAAGAAAUAGAUGUAAAAAUAAAUGAAAAUUAAGCAGAAAAAGAAAGUGGUAUAGGAAGAUGUAUAACAGUAUAUAAACCAAUUUUUUAAUAAAUAUAUUUGAAUCGGCUGAUAAUAAUUUAAUAAAUAAUUUAAGUAACGGUCAACUAAUUGCAAAUAUCUCUGCUAUUGUGAUAUUUAUAUAUUUUCUAUGAUUGCGAUUUUUCUAAUUUGUUCUUUCAUAUCUGUUAAUGGGAAUAUUGAUGAGUGUUGAAAAUAUGAUAUAAAGAAUCAUCAGUUUGUUUCUCUCUUGGUUUUUGUCAUAAAAGAAGUUGGUGCAGAGAGAUAAGCAUAAAAUAAAAGGUCAUGAAUUAUUUUUCUUGAUAAUAAUUAAGUAUGCUGGCUUUUUGGAAUAUCCGACAGGUAAAAACAGAAGCUAAGUAAGGAGUCUUUUUCAUUAUGAUGACACUAAUUAAAAACACAAUAACUAAUGUUAAACAUUGAUACUUUCAGGGAAGAUCCAGCUGUUCUUGUUGGAGGAAAUUCCUAAACUGCUGCCUUUAGCAUUGACAAGUGGUAGGCACAACAUGUGGAAUUGUUGUUUUCAAAAUGUUGAAGUAAUCAGUCUUAGGUGGUAGGAGUGAAUGAAAAGAUAUCUUUAUUAGCUGAUCGAUCAUUGGUGAGGUCAUCUUAUGAAUCAGUCUUUAAAAUUUUAUGCAUUUGGUCACUUUAAGAGGCAGAUUCAAGAAAAAGAAAAAGAAAAAGAAAGAUAUAUAAGUGUAUAUCUAAGUCAAAAGAAUGGUUCUUCUUUCUAGACUAAUUAAGAUUGUUGUAACUAUUUACUAUAUACUUAAAAUGUUGAUAGUUUAUACGAACAUAUAACUUUGGUUAUAAUAUUUUAUGUUUAAUUUCAUUUUUCUCUAUGUAAAUACCUUUCAAUAUAUUUAUGUCUUUUAAGCGAUUUAUACAUGUGUUUCUAUUUAUAAAUUUUAACAUCAAAUUUGUGUUGUUUUUAUUUUGCACGAAUCAUAUUUCACUAUAUGUAUAUAUUUUACUUUAAUAAUAGUUCAUAAUAUGUAUAUAUUUUACUUUAACAAUGUUAUGUAUCUCUUCAAUAUAAUAUAUAAUUCAAAACUCUAAUUUUUAAUUAUCUAAAAAUAUUAUUUUACUACCCAUCACCAAUUAAUUAUUAUAUAAAUUUUAUGAUUUAGCGCAAACAAAUUCAUACCUAAACGCAUAAUUCCAAAAUAAAAAAUGUAAGUAUGCUUCAAUAAUUAGUUUCCACAGUGUUAAUAUAAUUGUCAAUAUCAAUACCAAUAUUAGCACGUAUUUUUGUUUAAAAAUUUUAACCUUAAAUUGAUGUUACUUUAACAUUUUUUAAUACACAUUACAUUUCACAAUAUGUUGUAUUUUAUGCAUAUAUAGAUGGUACUUUUGUUUAGAAUAUUUUAAGUUUAACUUUAUAUAACUAAUACAUUUUCAAUGUUCCUUUCUGUUUUAAGUUGUUUAUAUUUACAUGUGUUUUUAUUUAAAAAUUUAACAUCAACUUUGUCAUAAUUUAUUUUGUACUAGAUCAAUUGUACAGUAUGCUUACAUUUUCCUUUAACAACCAUUUAUUCAUUUUUAAUAUAAUAUAUAAUUCAAAAGUUUAAUGAUAAAUUUUAAUCAUAUAACAAUAUUGUUUUACUACACAUCACUAAUAAAUUAUUAUGUCAAUUUUAUAAUUUAAAAUAAAUAAAUUCAUAUUCAAAUAUUAUUUUUUAAUUUUGUCAUUAAUAUUAUUAUUAUUAUUAUUAGUAUAGUCUAUUAUUAUUAUUAUUAUUAUUAUUGUUGUUGUUGUUGUUGUUGUUGUUGGAGGUGUUUUAGUUGUAUUUUUUAUAAUAUAAAGAAAUCAAUAUUAAAAUUUCAAAAAGACCUAGAAAAUGAUAUUUUAGAAAUAAUAUUGAUUCAAAAAAUAAUGACACGUGAUUAUUUUAAUAUCAAAAGAUUUUAAUAUAAAUAGUUUUGUUAUGAACGAGGUUCAUUAUUUUGAAACAUAAUCUUUUUAGAAACUACUUUUCUAAAGUUUUUUUAUUUUUCUCGAAUAGUUCUUUCUCUCCGCUCGUCUGAUUGAAGAACCGAGAUUGUAAAAUUGAUCUUUGUGGCAAACUCAGACUAAUCAGUUUCUUCGUUCAUGAAAAUGAGAUGGUUUGCUUGCAAGGGAAUUGAGUUUGAAAUGAUGGUUUUUGUGAAUGCUUAGAUUGAUGAAGGAUUGCUUCGGUGGGUGGCAUGCCUCAUGAUGGUCAAAGGAUCUAGAUCCAAAGUCUAUUUGAUUUGUUUCCUUUGCAAGGUUGGGGCAUAAUCUCGCUAAUGAAUUAGUUUCCUUCUGAUCUCAUUAUGGCGGAUUGUGGUACCAAAGAAGUGUUGUUCCAUGUUAUGUUAAAGAGUGUUGUCUGACAAAGGCUGGUAGAGAAUAGACGUAAUUAAGGGGACAUAAUGGUGGAAGAACUUUUAUAAUUGUUUUGAAGCAUAUACUAAGACUACCACCUAAGAGUGGUGAGGUUCACUAUUGCAUUAAUGUCAGAAGUAGGACCAAUGCCAAUAGUUCCUUAUUGGAUAAUUUCUAUUAAGAGUAUGGAGUAGAAAAAGAAAGUAGAGAAGUUGUUAGAAAAGCAGUGGUGUAGUCUUUAUCUGUCAUCGUGAUAAUCUACAAAGUUUGGUAAAUCGUGAAGAAGAAGUAAGUGUAUGUCAAUCUGUUCUAGUGGGAAUUGGUUCUAAUGAAUGAAAACAAUAUUUAGAAAAGGGAGUGUUAAUGCUAUCUAUGAGAAAGGGAGUUCCAAGGGGUUUUGCAAGUUUAUACAAAAUGAUAAUCCUUUUAAGUAAACAAAGGAGUAGAAAUGUGUGUGGAUCAAAGUUACACAACAAAAUGGUGGUAAGUUAUGUUUAUCGAUAAUGGGAGGUACAUGAGAAGAACUGUCUUACUCAUGACUUGGUGGUUGAUGCAUUAGGGAGUUCUUUAAAACAACGAAGAUGUCAUCUUUGUAAGGAUUAAUCAAAGGUGUUUAGUGAUCAUCAAUAGCUAGCAAAAUGAAGUUACACAAGGGAAGUUGGGUAGGAGGUGAAGAAUAUGAAUCGAGCUAUAGUUUUGUAUUGUAGUGUCAACCUAUAAGUGAGAAAAUAAUAGUAAAUGCUUGAAUAGAAGAGGGAUUCAAGUCACUGGUUUGAUGAUGAAGAUGUUAAAGUUGGUGAAAAGUUCAAGGGUGGAGGCUUAAGGCAGAGUUAAGGGAGACUUCACUCGUUUAGUCACUUGACUAUAGAUAAUGAGUGUCUCAAAAUGUUUGGAAAAAGGUAAAUCAGACAAUCCAAGGCUAUGAAGUACUUUAGAGCUAAUAAGUAUUGUUCAAGCUAGUGAUUUCAACUAAAACAAUAUGUUGUUAAGGGGUGGUUGCAAGUUAAUGGAUUGGAGACCAUAGGGAAGAUGAGUUUUGUAUAGCAGAUACAAAUUGUUUGUCAAGCGUAAAUGAUCAUUCAAGCCUAAGAAUUAAGGUUGAGAGUGAUGGUUAAGCCAAUCUACAUUGUUGAACACUUUACCAUUUAGCACACAGGUAAGGUUUUCAAUUAGUUAAGGUGUUGGGGAUGGUAACUCGGUCAAGUUUAGGUGGUUCUUAUAAGAGAAAAUGAGGAGAGCAUACUUUUCUUUCUACCUGAUAAGUGCAUUUUCGAUGACAAAAAUUUUUCUUGUUAAGGAGAAUGUAAAGACCUAGAAAAUGACAUUUUAGAAAUGAUAAUGAUUUUACAUUAUCAAGGUUCUUACAACGGUUAAAAGGACUAACCUUGUGUGUGAUAGAGUAAAACCCAUUGACAAUGACUCUACAUGUAGUAGAGAUAACUGCAAGUGCAUAAACCAAUAAUCAUACAUCAAUGUUUAGAUCCAAAUAAUUGAGUCUAGUAUAUGAGUUUUUAUGUGAUAUGGUUGUCUUUAUAAAUGAGUGAUGUAUGAUAAUAUCUUUGUUUCUUUUAUGAAAACUGUAUUGCACAUAAUCUUACCUUGUAGUCUCUUUUAGUGUUUCUGGUGUGUUUGUUUGUUCUUUUUGUGAUGAUCACCUUAUUUGUGUGAGUAGAUGAGAGGUAGGUAUUGAAACAUCUCUGGUGAAAGAUAAUGAUAUGCGAAAUAUUCUUUCUUAUCGUCUAGUAGUUUUCUUUAAUUGCUUUAGACAUAUUUUAUUGUUAUCGUAAUGGUUUUUUUAGAUAACUGUAUUAAUACCAUGUUGGAAAAAACUACUUUGUAUAUCAAUCUUAUAAUGUUUUAUUUUAUCACUUGUAAGUUGUUAAAAUUGGAAUGUUACAAAAAUAAUAUUGUUUAUUUUUCAUUAAUUUAUUAUAAAUAAAAAGUGAAAACUAUCCAUAAUUAAUUAGUUUUUUUCUUCAUAUUAUUAAACUCUUCAUUUAAAUAUUAUAUUUAUAAUUAUGCAUAAUUAUAAUACUUAAAUUACAUAAAUUAUUCAUUUUAAAUAUAAUAAUAAUUGCAUUAAUUUUUUAAUACAAGUUAACAAUUAAAAAAAAACAACGACACGGUCUCAUACUAGCAUUGGGUUGAAAGUUUUAAUUCAUCCAUAUCAUAAUGGUUGGAUAUUGACGCAACAAAUCUUUUGAAAAUAAAGAAAUAAAAAAAAAGUGACCAACCAAAUAAAUAUAUAUAAUCUUUAUAUAAUGUCACUGUCACAAGAAUAUUACUUUAUUAGAUUAACAAAAAAAUAUUUUAUAAAGGUUAUCACGAGGUGAAUAAAUGUAAAGUAAAGCAAUAAAUACAAUAAUAGAAAAAAAUGUAUAAUACUUCAUAAAAUUUUAUACCCCUUAAAUAAUCUAUAACAGAAUGAACUUGAUGGUUAAUAUUCAACUUGUUCUAAGAACGGUGUAGUGAGGAAGAAUUGAGUAUAUGCGGUGUACACAUAAUUUUAUUCUGUCUUAAUUUUUUUUUUAAUUUUACAAUGUCAUGUUAUUUCUAAAAUAGUUUUUAAAAUUUUUAUUUUAAUACAAAAGUCUUACUGGACUUACAUUUUUAUUCAGUUAUUAGCAAAAAAAAUAAUUUGUUCGUUUGAUUUAGGAUUUUAUUUAAUGUAUGAAUGCUUUAAUGAAUGAGAUCAAAGUACAUAUUUUUUCUAUAAUAAGGUGUACCAUUCCUGCAAUGAAGGAGACCUUGAAUUACCACUAAAGUAGAAGUGAUGAAAUUUGUCUCGAAAAUUAUCAGUGAAAUGAGAUCGAAUAGAGGUUGCAAGCAAAUAUUAAUAACUUAAAAAAUAAUAUGCUAAUUAUGCAUGGCUGGAAUGAGAUGCUUGACUAUAAUUACUUUAGUGAAAUGAUCUCUUAAAUUAUAAAUAAAGUUAAUUUAUAGUUUAUAGUAUAUUUAUAAAAUCUACUAGCAUAGCGAGGGAUUGAAGAGAUAUAUAAUAUGGAUAAUGAUACUUUGACAUUUAGAAUGAGACAAAUUUUUGACACCGUCACGUGUCACAAUCUGGGUGGUCCACGUGUUUUAAAAAAUAAAAUGACAGAAUAACGUGGAUUCACUGUAGAGUUCAAAACAAGUAGCAAAUUCAAAGAUGUCCUUCUCUUGGUGCUAAAAGCUAGCCUAAACUAUCCAGUUAUUUGCACAUUGCUACCAUUUUUCUUUUUGCACCAUCACUUUAAAGAAAAAUGUUUCCUUCGAUAUAAACUUCGAUAUAAAUGUGUUCUUAAAUGAUAAUUAAUGAAUUUUAUUUAAUAAAAUUGGUUAAAAAUAAACUGUGGAAUUCAAAACAAGUGACAGAUUUAAAGAUACCCUCCUUAUACUAAAAGUUAACAUAAACUAUCCACUUAUUUAUAUAUUGAUUCCAGAUCUGAUACUACAUAUUAUAUUACGUAAUUCUAUCAUUUUAUUUUUUAAACCACUUGUAACACCCAUAAUAUCAGACGGUGUAAAAGUUUCAUUACCCAUAUAAUACAUGUAGGUUUGGUUGUGAAGAAGAAAAAGUAAUUAUUGCGUACUUUUCUGAGAGGUAUGAUGAUGAUGAUUUCAAAGAAGCAAAAGGCAUCAUUGCAGAAUCAGAGGUAGCUAGAGAGAAGCAGUCCCACCAUAGUUCUGAAUUCUCACAUUCCACCAUUUUAACCACAUAGUGCUCACACAAUCAGAUGAUAAAAAUGGAAAUGGUAAAGGGAUCUAUCAAUUAAUUCUUUUAUGCAGUACAACCCUUUCGAGGACUGAAAAACCAUGGAAUUUCAAAUUCUCUUUAUAAAAUAUGUUAAAAGGUUAUAAUUAAGUUACUUAGAAAAAUACGAGAUAGAUAAAGUACUUGUUUGAUGGUUGUGGUGUGGCAUGAGAAAACAUCCAAAAUGGUUAUGUGGUUAAUUAAUUUUGCUUAAGUGUGUGGCAUUGGUGGACCAUGUAAGCACAUGCAAUUGAAUACAUUAUCCCACUGGGGUAAGUGAAAGGAUGGUAUUGCCUAUUGCCAAGACUUGCUCUGCUGUUUGGGGGCCCUCUCAUCUCAUCAAGCUUAACCCAUUUUUGCCCUUUUCACUACUGACAAGUGGCAUCCACAUACCCAAAAUAUAUCAACUUUUUAACCAUCUUAAUGCAUGUGAGUUUCAUCAUCCAUCAAUGCCACAAUUUAACACCCAAAGCAACACGCAAUAUACAUGAUGGAGGACUUUUUCUUCAGCUUCUUUCAUCAGAAACCUUAUCACUUAUUUAGUCUUCUUCAUUUCAUUACAGUAUUAAUUUGUUGUAGCUAAGACUCCCAGAGCAAUUGGGUGGAAGGCAUGAGUCUUGUGGUUUGUGGAGAACUGCUGGUAUAGGGUCUCCAUCUCAGCCGUCUCCAUCCAAGAGAAUCUCUCUCUCUCAUAUUUAAUGCCUAAGCCACAUAAAUCAAAACCUUUUUGAGAACUUUGUAAAACUGUAAAUGAAAGUGAGAUAGACUCAAUGUGUUAAAUAAGAACUAAAAAUAGAAAAGGUAAGAUAGAGUAAAAAAGAGUAACAGUGCAACUCAUUUUAGUCAAAAACAAAUAUCAAAUAUCAUCACCUUACACUAUAGGCUUUAAAGACGUGCAUCCAAUGCGAUGCAACACUUCCAAACAUACAUAAUACAUAAAAUCUCUAUCUGUUCUUUUACUUCUUGCUUUUAGCAGACAUUCUUUCCUUUUCAUCGUUACCCUUAUAUUAAUAAUAUUACCAACUAAUUUACAGUAUUUUAGGGUUCAUUUCAACUUAUAAUAUAUAUGUGUGGGUGAGAUAUUCCUUUCGCAAGAAAAGUGAAUUUCAUGUAAUGCUGCGUCUCUUUCUCCCAAACACAGAUAACCUACGAAAAACAAUCCACAAAAUUUAUUAUAGUUAUGAACAAAACCAAAACAAACCAAGUUAGCAUAUACGCGCCUUUUAAACCCUACCUUGCUGCAACAAGUCAACGGAAUACAUGAGUAUAUAUAUAUACUAUAGCCUAUAGCCACUCAAAAAGAUAGCAACUUUUUCAGUGGCUGUCCUCUAAAACCCUUCCCCAUCACCUUCUAAUACUAUAUGCAAAAGGAUAUAUAGACUUUUCUCCAUAGAACUCCAUUUAUACUGUGUGAAAAAAAAGGAGGAAGAACAUCAUAAGAUAUUUCAAUGGCUGUCAUAUAAACUUUACUAGGAAUUGGCAUGGA